UUUCGUCUGCUAAUAACAGCUUGGUUGCUGCCGAAUUUGGAAUGGAGGUUGAGGCCAAGGCUUUAGAGUCACCUCAGUAGCUUCCCUUGGUUCUUUUGGCCAUUGUCCUUAUGUUUAUUACAAGCAUGUUCUGGAAUACUCAAGGUGCAGCGUCACCAUCUUUUCGACGUUGUUUUUUGACGUUGGUUCAGAAUUAUAAGCCUUCGCUGGUUGUGUUAUUGGAGCCCUGUAUCAGUGGUUACAAGGUUCACAUUUUAUUAAGAUAAGUGGUUUUGACAACUCUUAUAGGGUAUAAGCAGAGGGUUUUGCAGGUGGUAUAUGGGUCCUUUGGAAAGAUUUUCUUCAGAUCAAGAUAGUUGCUAGUCACUCUUAGUAUGUUCAUCUUUAAAUUUCUAAUAAUCACAGCUUUCUCUCUUGGUUGACAGCUAUUUAUGCUAGCCCUCACCCGAAUAUUAGAAAACAUCUUUGGGGUGAGCUAGAUAAAUUAGCUCAAACAGUGCAUGGUCCUUGGAUUAUGGGUGGAGACUUAAACACUAUCCUGUAUGAUUCGUAAAAAAAAAAAGGCUCCCUUACAGGCAUGGGAGCUUGCAAUCUUUUCCACUCUUGGUUCCAUCUUCAUUGCAUGCAUGAUCUUUAAUUCCACAGGCCUCGUUUCACUUGGUCCCGUGGAAGCCUUUUCAAACGCCUUGACCGCGUCAUCUGCAAUAGUGAAUGGGCUCGUAUCUUUUCUGACUCCACUGUGCUUCAUCUUCCAAAAUUGAGCUCUGGUCAUAGGCCCUUCCUUGUGCGAGGGCAUGUUUCGUCCUCAAGGGUUUCAAACUCUCGUCUGUUUCAGUUUCAAGAGGCUUGGCUCACUAAUGAGGGGUUUAGGGAUUUUGUGGCUGAAUCCUGGAAUCGUAACCUCCAGUAUGUAGAUGCAGCUAAUCAAUUUUGUCUCAAAGUUAUUGAAUGGAACAAACAAUGUUUUGGGAAUAUUUUUUGGCGGAAGAAACGUUUAUUGGCCCGCUUAUGAGGGAUUCAGAGGGCUUUGGAGAGCUAUCAUUCUUGGGGGCUUGUGGACUCGGAGAAAAAGUUAAAAGCUGACCUUGAAUAGGUGCUUACCCAAGAAGAAAUCAUCUGGCAUCAGAAGGCUCGUCGUGACAGGCUUUUUCUCGGGGACCGUAACACUUCUUAUUAUCAUCAUAAAACCUUUUCUAGAAGGAGAUGCAAUAAUAUAGAUGCUAUUCAAAAUAACGCAGGGGUCUGGCUUUAUGACAAGGAUGAGAUAAAAGCCCAUGCUAUUCAGUUUUAUUCUACCUUGUACUCCUAUGAGUCUUCUGAUCUUCGGCAGUACCCCCAUCCUAAUUGCUUUCCACUAAUUGAGGAUGACUUGCUUCAAUUUUUAAUUAUGGGUAUAGAAAAUGAGGAGGUUCAAAAGACCAUUUUUGGAAUGCACCCCAUGAAAGCCCCGGGUCCAGAUGGCCUCCAUGCUAUUUUUUAUCAGACGCAAUGGAGCAUUGUUGGUCCAUCUCUUUGUCGAUUGGUGAAAGAUGUUUUUCAGAAUAAAACUCUUCCUGAAGGGCUCAACUCUACGCUGCUUGCUCUUAUUCCUAAGAUAGAAAACCCUUCCUCUUUGAAGAUGUACCGUCCUAUCUCCCUUUGCAAUUUCGCUUACAAGACUAUCACCAAGAUGAUUGCAAACCGGCUUCACUUUAUUUUACCUCAUUUGGCUGGCCCUCACCAAACCAGUUUCAUCCCUAGCCACCAUAUCACAAAAAAUAUUGUAAUUGCUCAAGAAGUUGUGCACUCUAUGCGUAAGAAGACGGGCGCUACAGAGUUCAUGGCUAUUAAGGUUGAUUUAGAGAAGGCCUAUGAUCGUCUCAGUUGGGAAUUCAUUAGUGAUACUUUGCGAGAAGCUCGGAUUCCUCCCGAUCUAAUCCAAGUUAUCAUGGAAUGCAUUACUUCGGCUACUAUGAGGAUUUUGUGGAAUGGGGAAGCUACUGAUGAAUUUAUUCCUUCUAGAAGAAUUCGUCAGGGUUGCCCUCUAUCUCCUUACCUCUUUGUUCUCUGCAUCGAACGUCUUAGUCAAGGGAUUCACAAUGCUGUUAAUGUCGGGAAGUGGCGUCCAAUCAUGCUAUCUCGUACUGGUACUCCUUUAUCCCAUCUCUUUUUUACUGAUGACCUUCUUUUGCUUGCAGAGGCUACUGUUGAGCAAGCUAAAGUUAUUUUGACAGUUUUAGCAGAUUUUUGUUUUUGCUCUGAUGCUAAAGUGAAUACAAGCAAAACCUUACUUUAUUUUUCCAAGAAUAUGGGUGCUAGAGAUAUAUCCUCCAUUUCGAAUCUUCUUGGCUUCUCAGUUACAUCUGAUCUCGGCAAAUACCUUGGGGUCCCUCUGCAUUAUUCUAGAGUCUCUACUAAAAUGUUUCAAGAGAUUAUUAAUAAGGUGGAAAAGCGGCUAUCGGGCUGGAAUGCUUCACACUUGUCCUUGGCUGGUCGCAUCACUCUAGCUCAGUCAGUUCUCCAGGCAAUCCCAAUUUAUAUUAUGCAAACUGUUUCACUUCCUAGUAUUGUUCGUGGGCGUAUCGAUAGGGCUUGCAGGAAGUUUAUUUGGAGCGGGGUUUCUUCUCAGCAGAAGCUUAGCAUGGUUAGUUGGCAUAAUGUGUGUAAACCUAAAGCUAUUGGCGGCCUUGGUUUUAAGUCCUUGACAAUGAUGAAUCGAGCUUUACACAUGAAGCUUGCUUGGGGUAUAAUUUCUUCUCCAACUAGUUUAUGGGUCAGGGUCCUCACUACCAAAUACAGAAUUGACCCCUUCAAUUUGCCUCAUGAGCUUCCUACCCGUUAUGGCUCUCACUUGUGGAAAUCUCUUGGGCAUGUUUGGAGUGAGGUCCUUGCGAGCAGGCGUUGGUGUUUGGGAGAUGGUCUAUCUGUUCACUUUUGGUGGGAUCUUUGGGUUACUGAUAAUAUUCCCUUAAUAGCCUACGCAACUGAUUCUAUACCUGUGGAAAUUCUGGAUUGCAAGGUGGCUGAGUUCGUUGAUGAAAAUGGGAGUUGGUGCUGGUCCAGCUUUGAGCAGUAUCUUCCUAAUAAUAUUAUCCUUCAAAUAGCGGCUCUUUAUCCCCCUUCUCAUGCGAAGGGCAUGGAUACCACUUUUUGGGCCCAUUCGAAACAUGGUGAGUUUACUACAAGCUCCGCUUAUUUGGCUCUCUCUGGUUAUAACUCAGCUGCUGGACGUGGAAAGGCCCUCAGAGCGUGCGAGUCUUCUUGUGGCAGGCCUUUCAUGUGAGGUUGAAGACUAAGGCUGAACUGGCUAGACGGUAUCUUCUCACCUCGACUUGUUGCGACCGAUGUGGGGCUUUGUGUGAGGAUGACAUGCAUGCUCUACGUGACUGUCCUUGGGUUAAGCAGUUUUGGCUCAACAUCAUCCCCAUAAGUCAACGUCAAGGCUUUUUUAACGUUCGGCUCCACCAUUGGCUGCGCUCGAAUUUGGUUGAUGAUAGUAGAAUGGGAGAUGUUUCAAGUUGGGCUAUUUUCUUUGGUUUUGCAUUAUGGAGGAUUUGGUAUUGGAGGAACCAGUUUCUUUUUAACCACACAAAGAUGAACUGUGUGUAGUGGAUGUUCAUUCAAGAGCCGAGGAGACGCAUAAGCUUCAUAACAGCCCGUUGGUCACAAGGAGCAUUAGAAUAAAUAAGUGGAUUUCUUGGCAUCCUCCUGAGUGGCCAUGGUGUACUUUGAAUACGGAUGGUGCUCACAAGUCUGAUGGGAUUUCUACUGCAGGAGGUCUGAUUCGGGAUCACUUAGGGCGCUGGAUAUCUGGCUUUGGGAUGAUGAUAGGCUCUUGCUCUAUUACGGUGGCAGAACUUUGGGGCCUGUAUAAGGGGCUUAAGCUUGCUUGGGACUCAGGCAUCCGUAGAUUGAAAGUUGAAACAUAUAGCCUGUGCAUUACUCAAUUGGUGGCUAGAGCAUCGGUGAUGAUUAAUGAGUAUGCUCCCUUGGUCCAGGCUAUUAAGGACUAUCUCAAAUUGGAUUGGCAUGUCUCCAUUGCCCAUAUUUACAGAGAAGCCAAUUUUCGCUGCAGAUUAUAUGGCAAACCUCGCUUUUUCUCUUCCUCUUGGCUUUAUUGUGUAUCCUAAUCCCCCUUUGGGUGUUCAAUCUCUUUUGUCUCAUGACUUUUACGGGGUUUCUUACCCUCGUUCUGUUUCUCUUUAGCUCUUUUUAGAGCCCCAGUUAUAUAAAAAAAAAAAAUAUGUGUUAGGUUAUCUAAUCAAAUUUAUAUAUGAAAUAGAAUAAAAACAAAUAUAGGAUUUCGAUAUAGAGAUGAAUUAGUUAGUUAUUUGUGGGGGUGUUGAUGUGGAGAUAUAUAAUUGUUUUUAGAUGUGGACACUUCAUUUUUUUAAUGUGGACAUGCUCAAAAAAUAAGGACACCCACAAUAUAUAUAUAUAUAUAUAUAUAUAGUAGUUUUCUGGUCUAGGAUCAUAAAGUGCGGGAAACGUUCGGGAAAACUUUAAAAUCGCGGGGUUUUAAAGGCUUAAAACUUAAAGCGCUUAAACCGCACGGUUUAUGCAUUUUCCCGGACGUUUCCACACUUUAAAAUUCUGGAUUGAAACAUUUAUAUAUAUACAUAAUUAUUUUCUUGUGAGAACAUCUUCACUUUAACAAGUAAAAAAUAAAUAAAUAAAAAUUUCAAUACACUCUCCAGAGGCUGCUCUAUAGCAUAAUUUUAUAUAAAAUAACUACUUGGUAUUUAUAAAAUUAAAAAUUUUAAUGAUGGGAAAAAAACUACCUAGUACUUGUAAGUUUCCAUUAAUUAGUUUCUUGACUUAAAAAAAUUACGACAAAGAUAUGUGGGUAAAAAAUGUCCUUUUCAUCUAAAAGGUUUGAGCCUAUUAAUGAAUUGGUGUUUUUAUUUCGAAUAUUGUCCAUAUUACCUCUUUCACUAUUGUUUCAAAGGUGAAAUAAUAUUUUUAUUAUGGAAUGUUAAAAAUUCAAACACACACUAGCUGACUAGCAUGUACCAAGACUUACAAUGUGAAAGCAAAGAAAAGUUAUUUUGUGCAAGCGAUUUUAAAAUAUAACAACUAAAAAAAAGUAAUGUAAAAAGAAAAAAGCUAAUUUUGUACUGAUUAUUUUAAAAUACAAGUAACUUUGUACAAAUGAUUUUAACAAUCACUUAACACUUAUUUGUUAAAGACCUAAAAUUUAAAAUUUUAUUAAUUUUAAACAUAUUUUUAAAUUUAUUUGUAUAUAUAUUUUUUAACUUAUCUUAUUUUUAAACAAUUAUAUCUAAAUUAAAAAAAAUUGUUAAAAAAUAAACCCUUAGUUUAUUGUGACUUUCCUUUCAAUUUCCACUAUCUUUUUGCUGAAGAAAUUUCAAGGAAGCCUAAAGAAGCCAAGCAAGUCAAAGUCUGUUGAGAAGAAAGCAGAUCCAAGCUCUCAAUACACAUCUGCCCUCAAGAAUCACUGUUUCUAUCAGAAAACUAAUCUCUAAAAUUUCCCGUCAUGGCUUCGGCUUUAUCGUCAUCUUCUUACAAAUAUGAUGUCUUCAUCAACUUUAGAGGGGGGGAUACUCGCGAUAACUUUACUAGCCAUCUCGUUGCCGCUCUACGCGACAGAAAUGUAAAAACCUUCAUUGAUGAAGAAAUUAGGAGAGGAGAUGAGAUAUCUACUGCCAUUUCGGAUGCAAUUGAAGCAUCGAAGAUUUCAGUAAUCAUUUUCUCCAAAGACUAUGCUUCUUCGAAAUGGUGCUUGAACGAACUGGUCAAAAUUCUUGAAUGCAAGGAAAAAAAAGGCCAGAUUGUUAUACCAGUUUUCUACAAAAUAGAUCCAUCAGAUGUGUGCUAUCAAAGUGGAAGUUUCACGGAUCCUUUUGUUAUGCAUGAAGGACAGUUCCGGGAGCAUCCAGAAAAUGUACAGAAAUGGAGGGAUGGGCUGACAGAAGCAUCCCUUAUAGUUGGAUUGGAUUCCAUGGAUUUCAGGUAGCUCUUAAUCUCUUUAUCUGUGAGUUUGAUAAUAUCGUAGUUGUAGUUAAUUUUUAAAAUAAUUAUUGUUAGUUAUAAGAUAGAAAUAAUUAAUCAUGAACAAAAUUAAUAAGGAAUUUAGUAAAGAGUUGAACUAUUGGCGUUCCUCUCAAAUUCUCUUGGAACUCGUGAUUGAGAAAAAGAAAAAAAUAAAACACGUGUCAAAAAUACAUGUACCUCUGGUUUUCUUAAAAAACUUUACCUUUCAUCUGUAAUUUUGUUUCUGUUUAAUGAAUAAAUUCAUGUAUAUCUGUGAUUAAUUUUGUAAGAAAUCGAUGAAACAGAUAUGUACCUACAAAAUGGAAAUAAAUUAUUAUACAAAUCUCUUGUGGGCACUAGCAAAUCGAAACAUUUCCCAGAAGCCCAAACGCAAUCGCAAGUAGAUGUUCUUCUCUAUUCAAUCUAUGAAUCCGGCUGUGGCAGGGUUUGCAUCGCCGAACAAUUGUUCAUUUAUAAUGAAAAAGAGAAGAAAGAUAAAGACAAAAGAAAGAUAAAGAUAAAUCAAAUUUGUGCGUUAGUAAAAUAAAUUAAAGAGAGCUUCUCCCCGCCCCCGACCCCCAGACCAAAACCCCCAAAUUUGAUUGAGGAGAGAGAAUAUAAGCUCCAAAUGUAAUUUUAAUAAAAAUGUAGGUUUUAUAAGAUUAAUGAAGGGGUGUGGAUAAUUCAGUUUUUUAGUAAAUUUUAUUUAUUUAUUUUUUUUAUAAGGUAAAUUUUAUUUUUAAAGUAUCACAUUGGUUAGAUUUGGACUUAGCUAAAUUUGGCCCAGCUCGACCCAAUUGCCAUCUUUAAUUUUUUACAGUCACAUUGUUAGAAUAUAUAUGUAUUUUGUAUUUCAAGCCAUAUGAUAUUUAACAUAGAGGUGGUAUAAGAUUAUCAUAUUGUCGAUAGAUGAUAAAAUCAACUAACUUUGGAUGGCAGUUUUAUAUCUAAUUUUUUUAUUUAGGAAAGGGACGGAUAAAAUUUAAUAUCCAAUAUCUUAUUUAGGGAGGGGAGGUUGAUUUGGUGAAAUCCCCCAUUCCCUCCUCACUCAUUCUCCAUUUGUACUUUUUAUUUUAUUUUAUUUUAUUUGUUCUAAAACUUGUAGUAAAGACAUUUAAAAUUUAAAUUGUAUACGGUGUGGAUGUAAAUAACAAAUGUCAUAACAUUUGUGAAAUUAAUAUAAAUAAAAACUAAUAUAUACACUUGAAAAUUUGCGAAGGUAAUUCUGUUGAUGAUCCAACCGUGUGCCUUGUACAACUUUGAAGCUCUAGUUUUGCUUAAUUUUAUAGAUCAUCUAAUAUUUUAUUAUUAUUAUUAUUAUUUUUUUUUUUGCUCUGUAGUUUUAAGUACACUUAUUAUCUAUUUCCCAAGUUUUUAAAUGCAGUCACACUAUUAGAUGAAAUUCCUCUUAUAUCAAAACAGAAAAAUAAGAAGGAAUUUAGAUGUUAUUCUUCUGGAUUGCUUUUUCUAUUUGUGAGUUAAAUGUGUGAGUAAAAUAUUUACAAUUAUUAUUAUUAUUAUUAUUAUUAUUAUUAUCGGUGUUUCGGGCUUAAUUAAUCCAAUUUAUCUCAUUGCUUUUCGUCUUCUCAUCUUGUAGGUCCGAGGCGCACCUGGUAGACAAAAUUGUGGAAGAUGUUAGGAAGAAAUUGAAUAUUUCAACCGUCUCACUUGACUUUUCAGAUUUUUUUUCUUUUUUUUCCAGACAAACUUUUUUUUUUUUUUUUCAGAUUUCAUUACUGUUGGUUCUGAUCGUCGGGCGGUCUUAAGACUUUUUAAGUCAACUCGACCGCUCUUUGAAAGAUAUGUUGUCACUUAGUGACUCCAUGUGGUCCUUCUCACUCUCUUUUCUCUUCCUUUUUUAAAGCCGUCUGCCUGUCCCCCUCAUCAACGUCGUCAUAUCGUCUCUCUUCCCUUGUUGUUAUUUUACAAAUAGAACAUUAAUUCGGCUUUCGGGUUACGUCGUCGUAACUCCGUAAUUUGUUGUAAAUUUUGAAAUUUUUAUUUUGUGAUUUGAACAGGAUGCAUGCGCAUUUUAUAAUUUUGAGAUUCCCACCCAGUGUGGUUAUUAUAUAUCUUUAAUUUGUAUGCACUAGUGUACCUUGCAUGCUGUGCUUUGUGUAUUGAACAAACUUGAGCAUAAUUGUGACAAACUUAUCAAUUUGAUUACCUCACUGGGAUACAAGUAGGUGUGACGAAAAAUUAAUUGAAUGCACACUAGCACGUACCAUCCAUUUGCAAGCAGCCUUUCAAUGUGUUUUGGUUGUAAGUAAAGAAAUUGAGAUAUUAUUAAAAAAAAUAAUAAUAAACUUCAGAUAAAAAUACGUACAACUCGCAUCUUUGAAUAAUUAAUUAGUUACUUUAAAUAUCAGAAACCGAUCGGUGGUGAUGAGCUCUUUAAUUGGAGUUUUUCGACAUAGGUUUAUCCAAUAUUUUUUGUCACACAAAAAAGAACAACAUCAAAAAAUAUCUAAAAUUACCAAAUAUAGGUUAGCAACAAAUUAAUGUGAAUAGUAUUAUAAUACUAUACAAUAUUAUAUUCCAAACACACUUUUAAUACAGUAACCAUUGGAAUUUUUUAAAAUUAGUAAUUCUCAUUUUUAAAUAUUACAACCGUUAAUUAACCAAAUAAAUUGCUUACACAAUCAUCUAUGAACGUGUUCAUUCAAACUAAUAUUUAACUAUAAAUAGUAUUUAGUUGAGUAUUUCUAAAGAAAUUUAAUCAAAAAAUUAAAACUAAAUUUUGGUUUGAAAAUUGGAAAAUUGGAUUAGCUGAUGAAGGUACAAACUAAAAUUGAAUCCACUUAUUUGUAAAGCUUAUGAUUUAGCCUCCUUAAAAAGCAGUGGUAUGUACAUGGUAACUGUUGUAACAUGGUUUUAUCUAAAUUAUUAUAAGCCUCAACUUAUCCCAAAGGCUAUUGUCUCUCAAUCAAAUUUUUACAGCUAAAAGGACAAACAGGUAUUUACACAUUCUCAAAGUAGUCAAUUAACAAAAGAAAGUCAAACUUCUAUAUAGGUAAUAGGUUAGUUUUUAUCGGACCCAAAUCUUUCAAAAAAUAAUAGUUCAACCCAAUUGCUUUAAAAAUAUUCAUCUUGCACCUAUAUCUUUAUUUUUUUUUAUCUGAUUAAUUUUAGUAUAAUAAUUUUUACAUUUAAAAAAUAUUAUUUAGAUGAACAAGUCAAAUUGUCCAUUAACAUAUUUUCCCUUUGUCGUGUCAAGGAAUCGACCAACCCCAGUCAAAUUUGUCCAUUAGCAUAACAUAUUUUCCCUUUGUCGAGUGACUCGUGUCAAGGAAUCCACUAACCCCAGUUAAAUUUGUCCAUUAACAUAUUUUCACUUUGUCGUGUCGAUGCUGCUGGCAAAGAAAAAUUAAACCGUUUGAUUUCAAUUCAAAAGAAAAUAUCUUUUGGUUUGAUUCUCACAUGCAAAUGCAAUGAAGGAAAACAAAGUAGAUCAUUUGAUUUCAAGCUUAAUUGUUUUGAGCAUGGAACUCAAAAGUAUGAACUUGAAUCAACUAGUCUGUGACAUUGUAAAAGAAAAUCAUCUGGAUAAAUGAAUUUUAGAGAAGUGUUUGUCUCACUGUGCAUAUACCAGAAAAUAUACCCAAAAAAAUAAAUAAAAACUAACUAAUAGAAAUGAUAUUCUAGAAAUCUAUUUGUAUCUUGAGAUAGAAAGCCACGAAUCUUUUUGAGGAGGCUCUUGCCACCAAGUAAAACCCGAGUAAACCAAACCUAAAUUGUGAGACAAUCUGCAAGAUUGUUAUUAUCCAGUGUGAGUACAACAAAAAUUCAUACUAACAAGUAAAUGUUUGUAUGAUUUUAAAGUAAAUUUUGAAUUUAAAUUUAAUGUACUUAAUUAAUUCAAUGGUGGCAAAUUUAUAAUUUAAAUUUUUUUCCUUGAUGUUUUGGACUGAGCGUUUGUCCGAAAUUAGUACCUUUUUCGGAUUGUCAAAUUCAUAAUUUGAAUAGGUUGCAAUGGCGGAGCCACCGCUGCACGACAGUUUUGAAUUAGGAUUUUGUUCAUGAGUUGACGUGGACAGGUACACUUUCUCGGUUAGUCAUGGACUUGAAUAAUUUUGUUAACGACACAAUGCAGUCUGAUAUCACUCUCAAAAGACUAAACCAACCUGGAAACCUGCAUUCAUAUUUUCUGCUUUAAAAACCCAUCACAUGAACUUCAAACUAUCAUCCAUACCACUCACAUUACAUUACUCUUAUCAUCAAACUCUCCAGACAUGCUUAAUUCCAUUUCCAUUACCUGCCUUGCCACUUUCAUAUUCAGCUUCAGCUUGUUGCUUCAUUCUCAAAGCUUUUCUGCCCAUACAAACGAGACAGAUCGCCUUGCAUUGCUUGCAAUAAAGUCGCAGCUUCAUGAUCCAUUAGGAGUUACAAAUUCAUGGAAUAAUUCUAUAAACUUGUGCCAAUGGGCAGGCGUGACGUGUGGUCAUCGGCAUCAAAGGGUAACUGAGUUAGAUCUGAGCCACCAAAACAUAGGUGGUUCCUUAUCUCCAUAUGUUGGGAAUCUCAGCUUCCUCAGGUAUAUCAACCUCGCAACCAACAACUUUCAUGGUGAAAUUCCGAACGAAAUUGGUUUCCUAUUCAGGCUUGAAACUCUAAUACUAGCUAACAAUUCAUUUUCAGGUAAAAUACCAAACAAUCUGUCCAGUUGCUCUAACCUCUUGUCCUUUGUUGCCUAUAGAAACAACCUUGUGGGAGAAAUUCCAGAAGAUAUUGGCUACAGCUGGUUGAAGCUUGAGAAACUUGCCAUUGGUGCCAAUCAUCUAACAGGAACGCUCCCAGCUUCCAUUGGGAAUCUUUCAAUGAUUUAUCUCCAUGUAGGAGAAAAUCAAUUCUCUGGCAUAGUUCCUCCUUCAAUUUAUAACAUGUCUUCAAUUGAAAAGAUUCUCCUCGACGUAAAUAGAUUCACUGGAAAUUUACCACUAGACAUAGGUGUAACUCUUCCAAACCUUCGCGUAUUUGCAAUUGGGGAUAACUAUUUUUCAGGUUCUAUACCAGAGUCAUUCUCCAAUGCUUCGAAUCUUGAGAUACUUGACCUUCCCAUAAAUCAUUUUACCGGAAAAGUGUCGAUUAAUUUUGGUAGACUUAAAAAUUUCUCGUCUCUAGCUUUGGGAAGAAAUAAUUUGGGAAACGGAGUAGCCAAUGAUCUUGAUUUUGUAACCAUGCUAGCCAACUGCAGCAAAUUGAAAGUUCUUGCUUUCGAGGGAAAUAGAUUUGGAGGAGUUCUGCCACAUUCUAUAGCCAACAUCUCCACAAUGAUGACCAACAUCCUCAUGGGACAUAAUCAAAUAUCUGGAACCAUACCUUCUGGGAUAGGAAACCUUGUCAAUCUAAAUUUACUUGGUAUAGAGUCUAACCAACUAACUGGAAAUAUACCUCGUGAAAUUGGUCAGCUUAGAAACUUACAGGCAAUAGGCCUAAGCUCAAACUUUUUACAAGGUAACAUUCCCUCAUCUCUAGGAAAUUUAACACUUAUGACCGAUCUUUUUUUGAGUUCUAAUCACUUGCAAGGCAACAUACCCCCUUCUCUAGGAAAUUGCAAGAAUUUGGUAUCCUUGAACCUCUCUGACAAUAAGCUCAUUGGUGCUGUGCCCCAGCAAAUUCUCACCAUAACAACUCUUUCACGUUUCCUAGAUCUGGGUAAUAACCAUCUCAACGGCUCUCUUCCUCUAGAAGUGGGCAACUUAAAGAAUCUCGUUGCAUUGUAUAUAUCUGGUAAUCAGUUCUCUGGUGAGAUUCCUGUUACUCUAAGUAGGUGUACAGGCUUAGAAAUUUUUCAUAUGCAAGGCAAUUCAUUUAGGGGAAGUAUUCCUCUUUCUUUGAGAUCCUUGAAAAGCAUUGAAGAGUUAGAUCUUUCAUGUAACAAGUUGUCUGGCCAGAUUCCAGAAUUUCUUGAAAAUUUAUCCUUCUUGGAAUACUUGAAUCUCUCGUACAAUCAUUUUGAUGGUGAAGUACCAACAAAAGGAGUUUUCAGCAAUAAAACAAGAGUGCAACUUGUUGGGAAUGAGAAGCUUUGUGGAGGUUUAAAUGAAUUACAUUUACCAUCCUGUCCCUCUAAAAGAUCGAGAAAAUCAACUAUCCUUCUUCUCAUUAAAGUGGGGAUUCCAAUGAUAGUGUCAUGUUUGAUCUUAUCAACAUGCUUUAUUAUUGUUUAUGCUCGAAGAAGGAGAUCAAAACAAGAAUCUUCUAUUUCGGUGCCGAUGGAACAGUACUUUCCAAUGGUUUCUUAUUCAGAGUUGAGUAAGGCAACUAAUGAAUUUUCUUCAUCAAACAUGAUUGGUCAAGGAAGUUUUGGCUCUGUGUAUAAAGGGAUUUUGGGUGAAAAUGGAACAUUUGUUGCAGUGAAGAUCCUUAAUCUUAUGCAAAAAGGGGCCUUGAAGAGUUUUGUAGCUGAAUGUGAAGUGUUAAGAAAUACCCGCCAUCGAAAUCUCAUCAAAAUCAUAACUGUUUGCUCUAGCAUAGAUUUCAAGGGGGUUGAUUUCAAAGCUCUUGUUUAUGAAUACAUGCAAAAUGGAAGUUUAGAGGAGUGGCUACACCAAAGUAACGGUCAACCCGAAGUGUGCAAUUUAAGUCUGAUUCAAAGGCUUAACAUAGCCAUUGAUAUGGCCUCCGCAAUCGAGUAUCUUCACCACCAUUGUCAACCCCCAAUCGUUCAUGGAGAUCUAAAACCAAGCAACGUUCUGCUUGAUCAUGACAUGGUUGCCCAUGUGAGUGACUUUGGGCUUGCAAGAUUUCUAUUGGCUCGCCCAUUUGAUACUUCGAUGGAAACUCAAUCAAGCUCAAUUGGGAUAAAAGGAACUGUUGGCUACGUUCCUCCAGGCAAGUCUUUUUUAUGACUACUGAUAUUCAAUGAUUUAUCUUUGUAAUGUUUUAUUCAUUUACUAGAUGUCAAAACUGAUCAUCUAGCAUAGCUAAGAUGUUGAAUCUGCCAUGUUUAGAGUAUGGCAUGGGCAGCGAAGCUUCCGUGACCGGUGAUGUAUACAGCUUUGGAGUUAUGUUGCUUGAGAUGUUUACAAGAAGGCGACCAACGGAUUGCAUGUUCCAGGGAGGCUUGACUCUCCAUGAAUUUUGCAAGAUGGCUUUGCCGGAAAAAGUGAUGGAGACGGUUGAUCCUUCACUGCUGUUAGCUUGGAGCGAUGGACGCAGAAGAGCUAAAGUCGAGGAGUGCUUGGUUACUGUCAUUAGAAUUGGCGUUGCAUGCUCAAUGGAAUCUCCAAUUGAGCGCAUGGAGAUGAGAGAUGUUUUGGCGAAGUUAUGUGCUGCGAGGCAGACUCUUGUUGGCAGGUUGGUUUGAUGUAAAAUAAUGAUUUUUUUCUUUUUCUUUUUCAUUUGUUAGAUCUGGGAUUUGCAUUCCAGAUGUUUGUUAAAAGUCCUCUUACAGUUGCUCUUUGCGAGCUGCUGGAUAUACCCGGUAUCACGCUUUUGAGCAUAUGAAACAAAAUGAAACAUCACAAGAAUUGCCAUGGAACAAAGAAGAAAGAGCAUCACAUAAAGCCAACAAAAUAAAGCUUAUGUAUAGUUGUCAAAUUAAGAGCAUAUUUGGGAUUGUGUUAGUUUGCCAAAAAGUGAAUAAUUAUUUGACAUUCUUACGCCAAAAGGUGUCACCAAACACACUUUAAAUAUAAUUAUCAAAGAAUCGAGUUCUCAAAUAACAAGAUGUUUUUGUUGAAUUUUAAAAGCAAGUUAGGGUAACUUUUCUACAAGUUGAUUAUUUAAAAAUUAGAUUUUGUAAGCUACGCUACGAAAAUUGCUCUACGUGAAAAUGUGAAUUUCCCAAAAUACCCUUGUUGGUUUUCCACAAACAAAAUAUUCAUAAUUUUAAUUUUUUAAAUUAGAAUUUCCAAAAUUUUACUCAAAAUUAUACCUAUGAUUUGUUGACGAUACUCUUUAGCAAAAUAAAUAAAGUGAAACAUCCCGAGAAUUACCAAGCAAACAUAUCUAUAUAGGCAUUGACCACCUUCUUUGCCCAGUAUAGAAACAGCUGAAAAUGAGAAUUUGCAAAUUAGUGAAACUACUUUAUGAUUACAAAUUUCAAUUACGUAAAAUGAUAAACGCAGACAAAGCAAACGUAAAUUAAAAGCAUUUUGAAAUAGCUAUUAAGAUUUUUAUUUUAUUUUUCCCCUAUAAAUGGGUAUGUAAAUCAUUUUGGAAUUUAAUGGAAAGUUUGGUUCUUUUGUUGGUUUUGCAUUUUGCAUUUUAUAUUGUGUUGGCGAUAAUUUCUAAAUUGAUGGCAAUCCGUAGAGUUAAUUUUUGUCAAUUUAGAAGGCAAACUGCUUACAUUGAUUCAACAAUAAGCAACUUAACUGGAACGCAAAUUUUGUCUAGUUUGUUUACUGAAGAAAGUUUAAUCUUCCCAAAAGAUACAAAAGUGGCAAAAAUAAUUAAGCAAUUAAACUAUAUUUUUGCUUCAAGUGGGACUAUUGGCACCCCUCCAAGUACUCUUAAAAUCCCUUUAAUUGUUUCACAAUUUUAACCUUUAUUCAAAUUGUAUAAUAAGACAAUUUCUAAUUAAAUUCCCACUCAAAAGUCAAAUAAUUUUUUUUCCUUUCAAAAAUCUAACAUUUUAGAAAUAAAAAAGAUUAUUUUUUAGUGGAAGAAAUCCAACAGUUGCUACAAUGAAGAGAAGAAAACCAUCGUUUUUUUUAAUUAAAAAAACCAUUUUGUUAAAUAUAGAGUUUAAUAAUAAAAAAAUUUAGAGAAUGUGACUUACACUAAUAAGUUUUAAUUAAGGAUUUUUUUUUAUUGAUAGAGGUAUUAAAAGAAUUUUAUAAUUUUUAAAAUAUUUUAAUGAGUUAAUAAAGAAAAGGGUGUUAAGAGGUAUCCGGACAGGUGUAGUCCGUAGGUUCCCAGUUCCCCUAAUUAUUUUAAAGCUCUUCCCAUAUGAUGAGCUCUUGGAUUUGUCUUCCUUUUGGGCCAAUUAUAAAUGUCCAAGGGCUGACCCAUAAUGUUCAUGGCCUCGGCCUCGGCCUAAUGCAAAUAAUUUGGGGACAACAGACUUCAAAUCUACAAAAACGUUACGGAGUUUCUAGUGUGUGUGUGUAGUGGUGAUAUCUAACCCUCUCAAAAAAUCUCACCAAUUCCCAUUUAUCAAUUAACCCAUUUAAAAUUUAAAUAAAUAAAUAAAUAAUUUUUCUCUCAAUAUAGCCCAUAUAAUCCCCAAUUUAUCCUUGUUAUUAUUUUUCACACACUUCACCGAAUUUAACUCCAAAACUUUACUCCAUAACCAUAAUCUAAUCCAAGCAUAAUUGAAUAUUUCUUUAAGCGCUGGGUGCUCGCCAUCAACAAAAAAGGGUUCAAUGUUGAUCAGUUUAGUGUUCCUCAUGUCGACGAUGGCGGUAGUCAUGGUAAUGGCAAGGCCUAUUAAUAGGCGUACAUUGUCAGCUUGGUGUUAAUGGUGCAAGAUUUGCCCGCUUAAGUUUCAAGCAACCAAACAGACAAAAUGGGAUGCUGGGAGGGGAAAUGUAACCUUCUAUUUAUAGGCUCCAAUAUUUCCUCUUUUUUCUAAUUAUUAUAUUAUUAUUUUAAUACUUUAAAAUUCAAUUCUUGUGCACCUAAUUCGGUGCUGCCAUUGUUGACACAUAUGACGACUGGAACCACUAAUGAGGGCAACGGCCCACUACUCCAGAAAAAGCCGAGUUGCAACACCAAAGUUGGUUUAUGAGCAAAGGUUGGUAAGAAAUUUUAGAAUACAUCAAAGGUACUAUAUUAAUUAUAUAACAAGUAAAUGAUGUUAUAACACGUGUGUAAUAUUUAUUUUAAAAAAUUACCAUGUAAGUGGUGGUCAUAUUAAAUUUAUUUACAUAUGUCAUGCAUACAUUAAUUGGUUAUAUUCCUUCUUAUGUAUUAUAGAAUUCAUAAUGAUUGAGAGAAAAAUGAGAAAAAUUUUACAAUACAUUAGCGGUACUAUGUAGUCAUACAACAAACAAAUAAUACUAUAACAUGCGUGCAUUUAUUUUGAAAAAUCAUUAUGCAACUGGUGAUUACAUUAAAUUCCAUUAUACAUGUCAUGUAUGUAUCAAUGGGUUGUAUUUACUCUAAUGUAUUAUAGAAUUUCUUAGAAAAUGAAAUGACUUUUAAGAAGCUUCUAGCCAGUAGGCAGUAGAUAAGGUAUAGCUUUUGGAUUCUAAGUGAAAAUUUUCACGAACGCAAAAAAGUAAUUAAUUGCAAUUGGUUGUCAAGGAAUCCACCAACCCCAGUGAAAUUUGUCCAUUAACAUAUGCUUCCUUUGUCGUGUCGAUGCUGGCAAGAAAAAUUAAACCAUUUGAUUUCAAUUCAAAAGAAAAUAUCUUUUGGUUUGAUUCUCGCAUGCAGAUGCAAUGAAGGAAAAAAAAAUAGAUCAUUUGAUUUCAAGCUUAAUUGUUUUGAGCAUGGAACUGAAAAGUAUGAAUUUGAGUUAAUUAGUCUGCGAGAUAGUAAAAGAAAAUCAUUUGGAUAAAUGAAUUUUAGAGAAGAAUUUGUCUUUUUUGAAAAAUGGUGAUAGUCAUAAGUCAAUUAACAUUGAUGAUUUGAAAGAAAAACAAAAUCUCACAGUGCAUAUACCAAAAAAUAUACAAAAAAAUAAAUAAAAACUAACUAAUAGAAAUGAUAUUCUAGAAAUCUGUUUGUAUCUUGAGAUAGAAAGCCACGAAUCUUUUGAGGAGGCUCUUGCCAGCAUCCAAAGUAAAACUCGAGCAAAGCAAACCUAAAUUGUGAGACAAUCUGCAAGAUUGUUAUUCUCAGUGUGAGUACAACAAAAAUUCAUACUAACAAGUAAAUAUUUGUAUGAUUUUAAAGUAAAUUUUGAAUUUAAAUUUAGUCUACUUAAUUAAUUCAAUGGUGGCAAAUUUACAAUUAAAAUUUUUUUUUCCUUGAUUUUUCGGACUGAGCGUUAGUCCGAAAUUAGUAUUUUUUCGGAAAAUUUAUGAAAAUAACCAUAAAAGUUUUGUUAUUUUGACAAUUAACCCUCUCAACUUUUUUCUAUCAACAUUAGCCAAACACACGCUUUUCUCCCCAAAUUAUCCUUCUUUACAGACCAAAAGCAACUUUCUUUCUCCCAUAUCAUCAAACCAAAGACAGCUUUCUACUCUUUAAUCAUCAACCAACGGCGACGGCAAAAGACAAUGAUAAAAGUGAAAUCUGAUCAUAAUCUAUCCGGAUCCAAUACUAAUCGACAUCACUUAGUGGUAUGAGUUAUUUUUUGAACUUGCUCGAGAGUUUCAGUGAACUGAGUCGUGGGUGAAUCUGGCGAUAGGCUGCCUGUCGCACCAAGUUUUAUCUGAUAAAGCAUUUGUGAGUUACAGUGACCCCCACUAAAAAUAGAGAGAGAUAAUACAUUGCAAAACCAAAGUGGCCGGUUUGGUUGAUGAUAACAUGUCCUCCCCCACUAAUUGCUUACCGUUCUCAUGCACUUUAGAAUUAAUUAUUGCUUUAACAAGGAUUAAUCGCAUUUGCCUGUCGCACCAAGUUUUAUCCGAUAAAGCAUUUGUGAGUUACAGUGACCCCGACUAAAAAUAGAGAGAGAUAAUACAUUGCAAAACCAAAGUGGCCGGUUUGGUUGAUGAUAACAUGUCCUCCCCCACUAAUUGCUUACCGUUCUCAUGCACUUUAGAAUUAAUUAUUGCUUUAAUAAGGAUUAAUCGCAUUUGCUUGGUUAUUGUUUUGCUGGAAGAAAAUAGAGUUGAUGAAGAUGGAAGUUCCAAAGGCACGCUUGCUCAACAACAUGGCUUCAUGGCUUGGCACAUUUUGUAGCUUGAACCUUUGGCCGCAUUUGAGAUGUCAUAUGUUACUGUUCUCUCUUUUUUUAUUUCUUAAAUUUAUUUUAAAUGAAUCAUUGGCUGUCCAAGGUACUUGUCGCUAGUUAAAACUGCCAAUAUGUUUGUUUGGCUUCAGGUUUCAGGCACCAAUUUCUAACAAAUGAAAGAUUAAGAAAAUCCCAGAAUUUGGAAUCAGUAUCCGAAGAAAUUAAAAGAUUCAUGUUAUCGAUUAUCUCAAAGUAUCUAUGAAAAAUUUAUUAACAAAACUUAGCAUGAAAGAAAGAUUGACUGCAUUAUUCCAAGAGCAGUACUCAACUGCCCAAUCGUUCAUAGAACAAUAUUCAUCGCUUUAUGGUAUCUUAAAAAUUUUCUUCAGCACCUUAUCCAAGUUCCAGUCUUUACGAGACAUAUCAUCCUGAAAAUUUGAAGCAACCGUAAGCAGACCAAUAUUACUGACAUUUACCCUGUUAAAAUAAAUGAAAAAAAACAGCAAAGUUCAAAUUAUUUUACCUUAUAAUAGGCUUUAAGCAGCAAUCUUCACUCCCAGUUUAUUUGCAAGUUCCUGAGCCUCCGGUGUCACUUUAACAUCAAAUGCCAAGAUAGCCGCAUACUCCUUUUUUUUGUCAAGCAUUAUGCUGGCCGUUACUACAUCCUUCUUAUGCACAGGACCUAUGCUUAUACCCUGUGCAGCCUUGAUUUCUUUAUGAUGCUGAUAAGCACCCUGAAAUUAAACAGGCAUUGAAUCAUCGUGAUAAUCAAAAGAGUAAAAGAUAUACUACUUUUGACAUAGCCUAUUAGCCUUUGGUAACAUGAACAAAUUCAAAUUUUGGAAAAACUGGAUGCAAAAACAUAAAGAAUAUAGGGUGCGAGAGGCUUGCUGUCGCACCAAAACUAGUGCGACAGGCUUGCUGUCGCACCGAUUUGGUGCGACAGCGGGGCGCGCAUGCGCGCGCGCCCCCCCCCCCUCCCCACAACACUCAAAAAUCCAAAAACAAUACUCCCAAAACACCACCAACCACCACAAACACCACCACCACCACCAUUAUUCUCAAACUACAACCAUUAUUAUUCUAAAAUUUCAUUUGAAAUUAAUGAAAAUAAGAAAAAUGGCUAACCUAGGUUUUGUUGAGGGUUGUAGAUCGUAGAUCGGACGCCGAUGAGAGAUGGAGCCACCGCCGACAAGGGCUAAUGUUGCCGCCAAUUAUGGGAGUUGGUUCGGUUUGGGAGAGAUAAGUGAAAGGGAGUGUUGGGGGAGAGACGAAGGAGAGGGGUAUUUUUGUCUCAAAGGUUGUUUUAUGACUAAUGUUGAUAGAAAUUUUUUUGGGGGAUUAAGAUGAAAAAAAUCAAAACUUUAAUGGUUAUUAGUGUAAAUUUCUCAUUUUUUUGGGAUUGUCAAAUUUAUAAUUUGAAUAGGUUGCAAUGGCAGCGGAGCCACUGCUGCACAACAGUUUUGAAUUAGGAUUUUGUUCAUGAGUUGACGUGGACGGGUGCACUUUCUCGGUUAGUCACGGACUUGAAUAAUUUUGUUAACGCACAAUGCAGUCUGAUAUCACUCUCAAAAGACUAAACCAACCCGGAAACCUGCAUUCAUAUUUUCUGCUUUAAAAACCCACCGCAUGAACUUCAAACUAUCAUCCAUACCACUCACAUUACAUCACUCUUAUCAUCAAACUCUCCAAACAUGCUUACUUCCAUUUCCAUUACCUGCCUUGCCACUUUCAUAUUCAGCUUCAGCUUGUUGCUUCAUUCUCAAAGCUUUUCUGUCCAUACAAACGAGACAGAUCGCCUUGCACUGCUUGCAAUAAAGUCGCGGCUUCAUGAUCCAUUAGGAGUUACAAGUUCAUGGAAUAAUUCUAUGAACUCGUGCCAAUGGGCAGGCGUGACAUGCGGUCAUCGGCAUCAGAGGGUAACUGAGUUAGAUCUGAAACACCAAAACAUAGGUGGUUCCUUAUCUCCAUAUGUUGGGAAUCUCAGCUUCCUCAGGCAUAUCAACCUCGCAACCAACAACUUUCAUGGUGAAAUUCCGAAUGAAAUUGGUUUCCUAUUCAGGCUUGAAACUCUAAUACUAGCUAACAAUUCAUUUUCAGGUAAAAUACCAACCAAUCUGUCCAGUUGCUCUAACCUCUUGUCCUUUGUUGCCCAUAGAAACAACCUUGCGGGAGAAAUUCCAGAAGAUAUUGGCUAUAGCUGGUUGAAGCUUGAGCAUAUUUCCCUUGGUCGCAAUCAUCUAACAGGAAUGCUUCCAGCUUCCAUUGGGAAUCUUUCAAUAAUUUAUCUCCAUGUAGGGGAAAAUCAAUUCUCUGGCACAGUUCCUCCUUCAAUUUAUAACAUGUCUUCACUUGAAAAUAUUCUCCUCGACGUAAAUGGAUUCACUGGAAAUUUACCACUAGACAUAGGUGUAACUCUUCCAAACCUUCGAGUAUUUGCAAUUGGGGAUCACUAUUUUUCAGGUUCUAUACCAGAGUCAUUCUCCAAUGCUUCGAAUAUUGAGAUAAUUGACCUUCCCAUAAAUUAUUUUACAGGAAAAGUGUCGAUUAAUUUUGGUAGACUUAAAAAUUUAUGGUCUCUAGAUUUGGGAAUAAAUAAUCUGGGAAGCGGAGGAGCGAAUGAUCUUGAUUUUGUAACCAUUCUAACCAACUGCAGCAAAUUGAAAGUUCUUGCUUUCGAGAGAAAUAGGCUUGGAGGAGUUCUGCCACAUUCUAUAGCCAACCUUUCCACAACAAUGACCGACAUCUACAUGGGAACUAAUCAAAUAUCUGGAACCAUACCUUCUGGGAUAGGAAACCUUGUCAAUCUAAAUUUACUUGGUAUAGAGUUUAACCAACUAACUGGAAAUAUACCUCGUGAAAUUGGUCAGCUUAAAAACUUACAGGCAAUAAACCUAGGAGUAAACUUUUUACAAGGUAACAUUCCCUCAUCUCUAGGAAAUUUAACACUUCUGACCGAUCUUGCAUUGGAGUUUAAUCACUUGCAAGGCAACAUACCUCCUUCUCUAGGAAAUUGCAAGAAUUUGAUAUCCUUGACCCUCUCUGACAAUAAGCUCAUUGGUGCUUUGCCCCAGCAAAUUCUCACCAUAAAAACUCUUUCACGUUACCUAGAUUUGGGUAAUAACCGUCUCAGCGGCUCUCUUCCUCUAGAAGUGGGCAACUUAAAGAAUCUCGUUGCAUUGUAUAUAUCUGGUAAUCAGUUCUCUGGUGAGAUUCCUGAUACUCUAAGUGGUUGUACAGGCUUAGAAAUUUUUCAUAUGCAAGGCAAUUCAUUUAGGGGAAGUAUUCCUCUUUCUUUGAGAUCCUUAAAAAGCAUUAAAGAGUUAGAUCUUUCUUGCAACAAUUUGUCUGGUCAGAUUCCAGAAUUUCUUGAAAAUUUAUCUUUCUUGGAAUACUUGAAUCUCUCAUACAAUCAUUUUGAUGGCGAAGUACCAACAAAAGGAGUUUUCAGCAAUAAAACAAGAGUGCAACUUACCGGGAAUGGAAAGCUUUGUGGAGGUUCAAAUGAAUUACAUUUACCAUCCUGUCCCUCUAAAAGAUCGAGAAAAUCAACUGUCCUUCUUCUCAUUAAAGUGGGGAUUCCAAUGAUAGUGUCAUGUUUGAUCUUAUCAACAUGCUUUAUUAUUGUUUAUGCUCGAAGAAGGAGAUCAAAACAAGAAUCUUCUAUUUCGGUGCCGAUGGAACAGUACUUUCCAAUGGUUUCUUAUUCAGAGUUGAGUAAGGCAACUAAUGAAUUUUCAUCAUCAAACAUGAUUGGUCAAGGAGGUUUUGGCUCUGUGUAUAAAGGGGUUUUGGGUGAAAAUGGAACAUUUAUUGCAGUGAAGAUCCUUAAUCUUAUGCAAAAAGGGGCCUUGAAGAGUUUUGUAGCUGAAUGUGAAGUGUUAAGAAAUACCCGCCAUCGAAAUCUCAUCAAAAUCAUAACUGUUUGCUGUAGCAUAGAUUUCAAGGGGGUUGAUUUCAAAGCUCUUGUUUAUGAAUACAUGCAAAAUGGAAGUUUAGAGGAGUGGCUACACCAAAGUAACGGUCAACCCGAAGUGUGCAAUUUAAGUCUUGUUCAAAGACUUAACAUAGCCAUUGAUGUGGCCUCCGCAAUCGAGUAUCUUCACCACCAUUGUCAACCCCCAAUUGUUCAUGGAGAUCUAAAACCAAGCAACGUUCUGCUUGAUCAUGACAUGGUUGCCCAUGUGAGUGACUUUGGGCUUGCAAGAUUUCUAUUCGCUCGCCCAUUUGAUACUUCGAUGGAAACUCAAUCAAGCUCAAUUGGGAUAAAAGGAACUGUUGGCUACGUUCCUCCAGGCAAGUCUUUUUUAUGACUGAUAUUCAAUGAUUUAUCUUUGUAAUGUUUUAUUCAUUUACUAGAUGUUGAAUCUGCCAUGUUUAGAGUAUGGCAUGGGCAGCGAAGCUUCCGUGACCGGAGAUGUAUACAGCUUUGGAGUUAUGUUGCUUGAGAUGAUUACAAGAAGGCGACCAACGAAUUGCAUGUUCCAGGGAGGCUUGACUCUCCAUGAAUUUUGCAAGAUGGCUUUGCCGGAAAAAGUGAUGGAGACAGUUGAUCCUUCACUGCUGUUAGCUUGGAGCGAUGGACGCAGAAGAGUUAAAGUCGAGGAGUGCUUGGUUACUGUCAUUAGAAUUGGCGUUGCAUGCUCAAUGGAAUCUCCAAUUGAGCGAAUGGAGAUGAGAGAUGUUUUGGCGAAGUUAUGUGCUGCGAGGCAGACUCUUGUUGGCAGGUUGGUUUGAUGUAAAAUAAUGAUUUUUUUCUUUUUCUUUUUCAUUUGUUAGUUGUCAAAUUGAGAUACGUCUUACUAGCUAUGUAAAGAAAAUUAAUUCACAUUAUUUAUAUAUUAUCUAUUAAACAACGUUGAGAGCAUGUUUGGGAUUGUGUUAGUUUGCCAAAAAGUGAAUAAUUAUUUAACAUUCUUACGCCAAAAGGUGUCACCAAACACACUUUAAAUAUAAUUAUCAAAGAAUCUAGUUCUCAAAUAACAAGAUUUUUUUGUUGAAUUUUAUAAGCAAGUUAGGGUAACUUUUUCUACAAGUUGAUUAUUUAAAAAUUAGAUUUUGUAAGCUACGCUACCAAAAUUGCUCUACGUGAAAAGGUGUAUUUCCCAAAAUACCCUUGUUGGUUUUCCACAAACAAAAUAUUCAUAAUUUUAAAUUUUUAAAAUUAGAAUUUCCAAAAUUUUACUCAAAAUUAUACCUUUGAUUUGUUGACAAUACUCUUUAGCAAAAUAAAUAAAGUGAAUCAUCCCAAGAAUUACCAAGCAAACAUAUCUAAAUAGGCAUUCACCACCUUCUUUGCCCAGUAUAGAAACAGCUGAAAAUGAAAAUUUGCAAAUUAGUGAAACUAUUUUAUGAUUACAAAUUUCAAUUACGUAAAAUGAUAAACACAGACAAAGCAAACGUAAAUUAAAAGCAUUUUGAAAUAGUUAUUAACAUUUUUAUUUUUUUUUCCCCUAGAAAUGGGUAUGUAAAUCAUUUUGGAAUUUAAUGGAAAGUUUGGUUCUUUUGUUGGUUUUGCAUUUUGCAUUUUACAUUGUGUUGGCGAUAAUUUCUAAAUUGAUGGCAAUCCUUAGAGUUAAUUUUUGUCAAUUUAGAAGGCAAACUGCUUACAAUAAUUCAACAAUAAGCAGCUUAGCUGGAAUGCAAACUUUGUCUAGUUUGUUUACUGAAGAAAGUUUAAUCUUCCCAAAAGAUACAAAAGUGGCAAAAAUAAUUAAGCAAUUAAACUAUAUUUUUGCUUCAAGUGGGACUAUUGGCACCCCACCAAGUACUCUUAAAAUCCCUUUAAUUGUUUCACAAUUUUAACCUUUAUUAAAAUUGUAUAAUAGGACAAUUUCUAAUUAAAUUCCCACUCAAAAGUCAAAUAAUUUUUUUUCCUUCAAAAAUCUGACAUUUUAGAAAUCAAAAAAGAUUAUUUGUUAGUGGAAGAAAUCUAACAGUUGCUACAAUGAAGAGAAGAAAACCAUUGUUUUUUUUAAUGAAAAAAAUCAUUUUGUUAAAAUAGAGUUUAAUAAUAAAAAAAUUUAGAGAAUGUGACUUACACUAAUAAGUUUUCACUAAGGAUUUUUUUUAUAAAUAGAGGUAUUAAAAGAAUUUUAUAAUUUUUUAAAUAUUUUAAUGGGUUAAUAAAGAACAUGGGUGUUAAGAGGUAUCCGGACGGGUGUAGUCCUUAGGUUCCCAGUUCCCCUAAUUAUUUUAAAGCUCUUCCCAUAUGAUGAGCUCUUGGAUUUGUCUUCCUUUUGGGCCAAUUAUAAAUGUCCAAGGGCUGACCCAUAAUGUUCAUGGCCUCGGCCUCGGCCUAAUGCAAAUAAUUUGGGGACAACAGACUUCAAAUCUACAAAAACGUUACGGAGUUUCUAGUGUGUGUGUGUAGUGGUGAUAUCUAACCCUCUCAAAAAAUCUCACCAAUUCCCAUUUAUCAAUUAACCCAUUUAAAAUUUAAAUAAAUAAAUAAAUAAUUUUUCUCUCAAUAUAGCCCAUAUAAUCCCCAAUUUAUCGUUGUUAUUAUUUUUCACACACUUCACCGAAUUUAACUCCAAAACUUUACUCCAUAACCAUAAUCUAAUCCAAGCAUAAUUGAAUAUUUCUUUAAGCGCUGGGUGCUCGCCAUCAACAAAAAAGGGUUCAAUGUUGAUCAGUUUAGUGUUCCUCAUGUCGACGAUGGCGGUAGUCAUGGUAAUGGCAAGGCCUAUUAAUAGGCGUACAUUGUCAGCUUGGUGUUAAUGGUGCAAGAUUUGCCCGCUUAAGUUUCAAGCAACCAAACAGACAAAAUGGGAUGCUGGGAGGGGAAAUGUAACCUUCUAUUUAUAGGCUCCAAUAUUUCCUCUUUUUUCUAAUUAUUAUAUUAUUAUUUUAAUACUUUAAAAUUCAAUUCUUGUGCACCUAAUUCGGUGCUGCCAUUGUUGACACAUAUGACGACUGGAACCACUAAUGAGGGCAACGGCCCACUACUCCAGAAAAAGCCGAGUUGCAACACCAAAGUUGGUUUAUGAGCAAAGGUUGGUAAGAAAUUUUAGAAUACAUCAAAGGUACUAUAUUAAUUAUAUAACAAAUAAAUGAUGUUAUAACACGUGUGUAAUAUUUAUUUUAAAAAAUUACCAUGUAAGUGGUGGUCAUAUUAAAUUUAUUUACAUAUGUCAUGCAUACAUUAAUUGGUUAUAUUACUUCUUAUGUAUUAUAGAAUUCAUAAUGAUUGAGAGAAAAAUGAGAAAAAUUUUACAAUACAUUAGCGGUACUAUGUAGUCAUACAACAAAUAAAUAAUACUAUAACAUGCGUGUAUUUAUUUUGAAAAAUCAUUAUGCAAGUGGUGAUUACAUUAAAUUCCAUUAUACAUGUCAUGUAUGUAUCAAUGGGUUGUAUUAACUCUAAUGUAUUAUAGAAUUUCUUAGAAAAUGAAAUGACUUUUAAGAUGCUUCUAGGCAGUAGGCAGUAGAUAAGGUAUAGCUUUUGGAUUCUAAGUGAAAAUUUUCACAAACGCAAAAAAGUAAUUAAUUGCAAUUGGUUGUCAAGGAAUCCACCAACCCCAGUCAAAUUUGUCCAUUAACAUAUGCUUCCUUUGUCGUGUCGAUGCUGGCAAGAAAAAUUAAACCAUUUGAUUUCAAUUCAAAAGAAAAUAUCUUUUGGUUUGAUUCUCGCAUGCAGAUGCAAAUGAAGGAAAAAAAAUAGAUCAUUUGAUUUCAAGCUUAAUUGUUUUGAGCAUGGAACUGAAAAGUAUGAAUUUGAGUUAAUUAGUCUGCGAGAUAGUAAAAGAAAAUCAUUUGGAUAAAUGAAUUUUAGAGAAGAAUUUGUCUUUUUUGAAAAAUGGUGAUAGUCAUAAGUCAAUUAACAUUGAUGAUUUGAAAGAAAAACAAAAUCUCACAGUGCAUAUACCAAAAAAUAUACAAAAAAAUAAAUAAAAACUAACUAAUAGAAAUGAUAUUCUAGAAAUCUGUUUGUAUCUUGAGAUAGAAAGCCACGAAUCUUUUGAGGAGGCUCUUGCCAGCAUCCAAAGUAAAACUCGAGCAAAGCAAACCUAAAUUGUGAGACAAUCUGCAAGAUUGUUAUUCUCAGUGUGAGUACAACAAAAAUUCAUACUAACAAGUAAAUAUUUGUAUGAUUUUAAAGUAAAUUUUGAAUUUAAAUUUAGUCUACUUAAUUAAUUCAAUGGUGGCAAAUUUACAAUUAAAAUUUUUUUUUCCUUGAUUUUUCGGACUGAGCGUUAGUCCGAAAUUAGUAUCUUUUUCGGGAAAUUUACGAAAAUAACCAUUAAAGUUUUGUUAUUUUGACAAUUAACCUUCUCAACUUUUUUCUAUCAACAUUAGCCAAACACACAUUUUUUUCCCCAAAUUACCCUUCUUUACAGACCAAAAGCAACUUUCUUUCUCCCAUAUCGUCAAACCAAAGACAGCUUUCUACUCUUUAAUCAUCAACCAACGGCGACGGCAAAAGACAACGAUAAAAGUGAAAUUCGAUCAUAAUCUAUCCGGAUCCAACACUAAUCGACAUCACUUAGUGGUAUGAGUUAUUUUUUGAACUUGCUCGAGAGUUUCAGUGAACUGAGUCGUGGGUGAAUCUGGCGAUAGGUUGUCUGUCGCACCAAGUUUUAUCCGAUAAAGCAUUUGUGAGUUACAGUGACCCCCACUAAAAAUAGAGAGAGAUAAUACAUUGCAAAACCAAAGUGGCCGGUUUGGUUGAUGAUAACAUGUCCUCCCCCACUAAUUGCUUACCGUUCUCAUGCACUUUAGAAUUAAUUAUUGCUUUAAUAAGGAUUAAUCGCAUUUGCUUGGUUAUUGUUUUGCUGGAAGAAAAUAGAGUUGAUGAAGAUGGAAGUUCCAAAGGCACGCUUGCUCAACAACAUGGCUUCAUGGCUUGGCACAUUUUGUAGCUUGAACCUUUGGCCGUAUUUUAGAUGUCAUAUGUUACUGUUCUCUCUUUUUUUAUUUCUUAAAUUUAUUUUAAAUGAAUCAUUGGCCGUCCAAGGUACUUGUCGCUAUUUAAAACUGCCAAUAUGUUUGUUUGGCUUCAGGCUUCAGGCACCAAUUUCUAACAAAUGAAAGAUUAAGAAAAUUCCAGAAUUUGGAAUCAGUAUCCGAAGAAAUUAAAAGAUUCAUGUUAUCGAUUAUCUCGAAGUAUCUAUGAAAAAUUUAUUAACAAAACUUAGCAUGAAAGAAAGAUUGACUGCAUUAUUCCAAGAGCAGUACUCAACUGCCCAAUCGUUCAUAGAACAAUAUUCAUCGCUUUAUGGUAUCUUAAAAAUUUUCUUCAGCACCUUAACCAAGUUCCAGUCUUUACGAGACAUAUCAUCCUGAAAAUUUGAAGCAACCGUAAGUAGACCAAUAUUACUGACAUUUACCCUGUUAAAAUAAAUGAAAAAAACAGCAAAGUUCAAAUUAUUUUACCUUAUAAUAGGCUUUAAGCAGCAAUCUUCACUCCCAGUUUAUUUGCAAGUUCCUGAGCCUCCAGUGUCACUUUAACAUCAAAUGCCAAGAUAGCCGCAUACUCCUUUUUUUUGUCAAGCAUUAUGCUGGCCGUUACUACAUCCUUCUUAUGCACAGGACCUAUGCUUAUACCCUGUGCAGCCUUGAUUUCUUUAUGAUGCUGAUAAGCACCCUGAAAUUAAACAGGCAUUGAAUCAUCGUGAUAAUCAAAAGAGUAAAAGAUAUACUACUUUUGACAUAGCCUAUUAGCCUUUGGUAACAUGAACAAAUUCAAAUUUUGGAAAAACUGGAUGCAAAAACAUAAAGAAUAUAGGGUGCGAGAGGCUUGCUGUCGCACCAAAUUGUCGCACCGAUUUGGUGCGACAGCGGGGCACACAUGCGCGCGCGCUGCUGCCCAGCGAUGGGCGCGCGCUGCCCCCCCCCCCCCCCCCCCCCAACACUCAAAAAUCCAAAAACAAUACUCCCAAAACACCACCAACCACCACAAACACCACCACCACCACUAUUAUUCUCAAACUACAACCAUUAUUAUUCUAAAAUUUCAUUUGAAAUUAAUGAAAAUAAGAAAAAUGGCUAACCUAGGUUUUGUUGAAGGUUGUAGAUCGUAGAUCGGACGCCGAUGAGAGAUGGAGCCGCCGCCGACGAGGGCUGAUGUUGCCGCCGAUGAUGGGAGUUGGUUCGGUUUGGGAGAGAUGAGUGAAAGGGAGUGUUGGGGGAGAGACGAGGGAGAGGGGUAUUUUGGUCUCAAAGGUUGUUUUAUGACUAAUGUUGAUAGAAAUUUUUUUGGGGGAUUAAGAUGAAAAAAAUUAAAAUUUUAAUGGUUAUUAGUGUAAAUUUCCCAUUUUUUUGGGAUUGUCAAAUUUAUAAUUUGAAUAGGUUGCAAUGGCAGCGGAGCCACUGCUGCACAACAGUUUUGAAUUAGGAUUUUGUUCAUGAGUUGACGUGGACGGGUGCACUUUCUCGGUUAGUCACGGACUUGAAUAAUUUUGUUAACGCACAAUGCAGUCUGAUAUCACUCUCAAAAGACUAAACCAACCUGGAAACCUGCAUUCAUAUUUUCUGCUUUAAAAACCCAUCACAUGAACUUCAAACUAUCAUCCAUACCACUCACAUUAUAUUACUCUUAUCAUCAAACUCUUCAGACAUGCUUAAUUCCAUUUCCAUUACCUGCCUUGCCACUUUCAUAUUCAGCUUCAGCUUGUUGCUUCAUUCUCAAAGCUUUUCUGCCCAUACAAAGGAGACAGAUCGCCUUGCAUUGCUUGCAAUAAAGUCGCAGCUUCAUGAUCCAUUAGGAGUUACAAAUUCAUGGAAUAAUUCUAUAAACUUGUGCCAAUGGGCAGGCGUGACGUGUGGUCAUCGGCAUCAAAGGGUAACUGAGUUAGAUCUGAGAGACCAAAACAUAGGUGGUUCCUUAUCUCCAUAUGUUGGGAAUCUCAGCUUCCUCAGGUAUAUCAACCUCGCAACCAACAACUUUCAUGGUGAAAUUCCGAAAGAAAUUGGUUUCCUAUUCAGGCUUGAAACUCUAAUACUAGCUAACAAUUCAUUUUCAGGUAAAAUACCAACCAAUCUGUCCAGUUGCUCUAACCUCUUGUCCUUUGUUGCCUAUAGAAACAACCUUGUGGGAGAAAUUCCAGAAGAUAUUGGCUAUAGCUGGUUGAAGCUUGAGAAACUUGCCAUUGGUGCCAAUCAUCUAACAGGAAUGCUCCCAGCUUCCAUUGGGAAUCUUUCAAUGAUUUUUCUCCAUGUAGGAGAAAAUCAAUUCUCUGGCAUAGUUCCUCCUUCAAUUUAUAACAUGUCUUCACUUGAAAAGAUUCUUCUCGACGUAAAUAGAUUCACUGGAAAUUUACCACUAGACAUGGGUGUAACUCUUCCAAACCUUCGAGUAUUUGCAAUUGGGGAUAACUAUUUUUCAGGUUCUAUACCAGAGUCAUUCUCCAAUGCUUCGAAUCUUGAGAUACUUGACCUUCCCAUAAAUCAUUUUACCGGAAAAGUGUCGAUUAAUUUUGGUAGACUUAAAAAUUUAUCGUCUCUAGAUUUGGGAAUAAAUAAUCUGGGAAGCGGAGGAGCGAAUGAUCUUGAUUUUGUAACCAUUCUAACCAACUGCAGCAAAUUGAAAGUUCUUGCUUUCGAGAGAAAUAGGCUUGGAGGAGUUCUGCCACAUUCUAUAGCCAACCUUUCCACAACAAUGACCGACAUCUACAUGGGAACUAAUCAAAUAUCUGGAACCAUACCUUCUGGGAUAGGAAACCUUGUCAAUCUAAAUUUACUUGGUAUAGAGUUUAACCAACUAACUGGAAAUAUACCUCGUGAAAUUGGUCAGCUUAAAAACUUACAGGCAAUAAACCUAGGAGUAAACUUUUUACAAGGUAACAUUCCCUCAUCUCUAGGAAAUUUAACACUUCUGACCGAUCUUGCAUUGGAGUCUAAUCACUUGCAAGGCAACAUACCUCCUUCUCUAGGAAAUUGCAAGAAUUUGAUAUCCUUGACCCUCUCUGACAAUAAGCUCAUUGGUGCUUUGCCCCAGCAAAUUCUCACCAUAACAACUCUUUCACGUUACCUAGAUUUGGGUAAUAACCGUCUCAGCGGCUCUCUUCCUCUAGAAGUGGGCAAAUUAAAGAAUCUCAUUGAAUUGUAUAUAUCUGGUAAUCAGUUCUCUGGUGAGAUUCCUGUUACUAUAAGUGGUUGUACAGGCUUAGAAUUUUUUCAUAUGCAAGGCAAUUCAUUUAGGGGAAGUAUUCCUCUUUCUUUGAGAUCCUUGAAAAGCAUUAAAGAGUUAGAUCUUUCAUGCAACAAUUUGUCCGGUCAGAUUCCGGAAUUUCUUGAAAAUUUAUCUUUCUUGGAAUACUUGAAUCUCUCAUACAAUCAUUUUGGUGGCGAAGUACCAACAAAUGGAGUUUUCAGCAAUAAAACAAGAGUGCAACUUGUUGGGAAUGAGAAGCUUUGUGGAGGUUUAAAUGAAUUACAUUUACCAUCUUGUCCCUCUAAAAGAUCGAGAAAAUCAACUGUCCUUCUUCUCAUUAAAGUAGGGAUUCCGAUGAUAGUAUCAUGUUUGAUCUUAUCAACAUGUUUUAUUAUUGUUUAUGCUCGAAGAAGGAGAUCAAAACAAGAAUCGUCUAUUUCGGUGCCGAUGGAGCAAUACUUUCCAAUGGUUUCUUAUUCAGAGUUGAGUGAGGCAACUAAUGAAUUUUCAUCAUCAAACAUGAUUGGUCAAGGAAGUUUUGGCUCUGUGUAUAAAGGGAUUUUGGGUGAAAAUGGAACAUUUGUUGCAGUGAAGAUCCUUAAUCUUAUGCAAAAAGGGGCCUUGAAGAGUUUUGUAGCUGAAUGUGAAGUGUUAAGAAAUACCCGCCAUCGAAAUCUCAUCAAAAUCAUAACUGUUUGCUCUAGCAUAGAUUUCAAGGGGGUUGAUUUCAAAGCUCUUGUUUAUGAAUACAUGCAAAAUGGAAGUUUAGAGGAGUGGCUACACCAAAGUAACGGUCAACCCGAAGUGUGCAAUUUAAGUCUUAUUCAAAGACUUAACAUAGCCAUUGAUAUGGCCUCCGCAAUCGAGUAUCUUCACCACCAUUGUCAACCCCCAAUCGUUCAUGGAGAUCUAAAACCAAGCAACGUUCUGCUUGAUCAUGACAUGGUUGCCCAUGUGAGUGACUUUGGGCUUGCAAGAUUUCUAUUCGCUCGCCCAUUUGAUACUUCGAUGGAAACUCAAUCAAGCUCAAUUGGGAUAAAAGGAACUGUUGGCUACGUUCCUCCAGGCAAGUCUUUUUUAUGACUGAUAUUCAAUGAUUUAUCUUUGUAAUGUUUUAUUCAUUUACUAGAUGUCAACACUGAUCAUAUAGCAUAGCUAAGAUGUUGAAUCUGCCAUGUUUAGAGUAUGGCAUGGGCAGCGAAGCUUCCGUGACCGGUGAUGUAUACAGCUUUGGAGUUAUGUUGCUUGAGAUGUUUACAAGAAGGCGACCAACGAAUUGCAUGUUCCAGGGAGGCUUGACUCUCCAUGAAUUUUGCAAGAUGGCUUUGCCGGAAAAAGUGAUGGAGACGGUUGAUCCUUCACUGCUGUUAGCUUGGAGCGAUGGACGCAGAAGAGCUAAAGUCGAGGAGUGCUUGGUUACUGUCAUUAGAAUUGGCGUUGCAUGCUCAAUGGAAUCUCCAAUUGAGCGAAUGGAGAUGAGAGAUGUUUUGGCGAAGUUAUGUGCUGCGAGGCAGAUUCUUGUUGGCCGGUUGGUUUGAUGUAAAAUAAUGAUUUUCUUUUUCUUUUUCAUUUGUUAGAUCUGGGAUUUGCAUUCCAGAUGUUUGUUAAAAGUCCUCUUACAGUUGCUCUUUGCGAGCUGCUGGAUAUACCCGGUAUCACGCUUUUGAGCAUAUGAAACAAAAUGAAACAUCACAAGAAUUGCCAUGGAAAUGUAUCAAUGACUUGUUUUGAUUACAAUCACAUAAAAUUAGAACAAAGAAGAAAGAGCAUCACAUAAAGAAAAUUAAUUCACAUUAUUUAUAUAUUAUCUAUUAAAAAACGUUGAGAGCAUGUUUGGGAUUGUGUUAGUUUUGCCAAAAAGUGAAUAAUUAUUUGACAUUCUUACACCAAAAGGUGUCGCCAAACACACUUUAAAUAGGAAAAUGCUACUUCCCCCGAAACAAACCCCGAAUCAAACCCCAACAUCGUAAAAACGCACCGUUUUAGCCAAAAAAAACAAAAGGUUACUUAUAACAACGCCGAUAUUCACACAAAGAAGAGCAUGAGUGCAAAGAGUACCUGACGCGUCCCAAGUUCACGUGUCUGGCUCUUUCAUUUCUUUCUCAGUACACUGCUUUCCUUUCUCCCUCAUCGCAACUCUUUCUCUCUCGUCUUCAAGUUGCCAGCCGUUGCCACAAGCUCCACCGCAGCAGCCGCUUUCUCCCGUCUCCACGCAACUGCCUCAUUCCCAACAGUACAACAACAAGUCUCUUUGCUCUCAUACCCUCACAUACACGACUGUCUCAUCCAAUGAAUCGAUCUGUUAACAUCAGCUGGGUUUUGAAGGUGGGUUAUGAAGAAGUCAUUCAUGGCGAUCAAGUUUCACUCAAACUUCCAAAAGCUUGGAUCUAGCAAUAAUGUCAUCACUGAGCCUUUGUUGUUGUUGUUCUUGGCUUUUGUUCUUGACUUUGCCAUCUAUCUCUUCCAUCAACUCUACAUCCUCUUGAGCUUAGAUCUUUAUGUAUAUUGGUCAAAUUGUUCUAGUUUGUUUAUCAAAUUUAUUGUCCACUAUUGCCAUAAAAAAAAAUUAGAGUUUGUAACUAUGAUUAAAACUCCCAUACUUGUCAGUUAAAGUGAAGCAUUUUUUUUGUUGUAAUUUUUGUAGUAUUUAAAGCGACUCUGUUGUUUAAUUAAUUAUUUUUCUUCCUCUUCUCGUGUUUUGUUUUAAUUUGCUUCUUUGUGUUGCAAUCCUCAGCAGGAUACUUAUAAGAUUAUUAAAACACAUCACAACCUUAAACUUUGCUUCUGAAAACGAUGCAAAAGUAAAGACAAAAGCAGAUUUUGAAAAACCAGCCAAGCUACAUGAUUUAAGCGCAUUCAUUUACUUGAUCUGUCAUUUGCAGAAGCAGCGUUUUUGUGAUGCAUCAUUUUCAAAAGUAGAUUUGGAGGAAUUAGUUGGGGCUGUGAACAAGAUAAAAAUGCUCUGUACUUGGGAAGAAAAAUGAAUGAAAAUGAAAAGAGAAAUGAAACAACAAAUGUUUAAUUUUAAAAUAAAUAAAAAUUAAUUCUCAAAAUGACGUCGUUUUACACAAUCUUCGGGACUUGACCCGGGGUUUGACCUGGGGUAAAUAGCAGCGCUCCUUUAAAUAUAAUUAUCAAAGAAUCUAGUUCUCAAAUAACAAGAUUUUUUUGUUGAAUUUUAUAAGCAAGUUAGUGUAACUUUUCUACAAGUUGAUUAUUAAAAAAUAGAUUUUGUAAGCUACACUACCAAAAUUGCUCUACGUGAAAAUAUGAAUUUCCAAAAAUACCUUUGUUGGUUUUCCACAAACAAAAUAUUCAUAAUUUUAAUUUUUUAAAUUAGAAUUUCCAAAAUUUUACUCAAAAUUAUACCUUUGAUUUGUUGACAAUACUCUUUAGCAAAAUAAAUAAAGUGAACCAUCCUAAGAAUUGCCAAGCAAACAUAUCUAAAUAGGCAUUCACCACAUUCUUUGCCUAGUAUAGAAACAGCUGAAAAUGAGAAUUUGCAAAUUAGUGAAACUACUUUAUGAUUACAAAUUUCAAUUACGUAAAAUGAUAAACGCAGACAAAGCAAACGUAAAUUAAAAGCAUUUUGAAAUAGCUAUUAAGAUUUUUAUUUUUUUCCCCUAGAAAUGGGUAUGUAAAUCAUUUUGGAAUUUAAUGGAAAGUUUGGUUCUUUUGUUGGUUUUGCAUUUUGCAUUUUGGGUUCAGCUAAGUUGCCUCAGUGGUAUGAUACCAUUUUUUUUGUCGUUUUGUGACCUGACCGUUAGAUCCAACGAAAGAAUUGCAAAAGUAAAAGCAACGGCAGGAUGUAUUUACUUAGGUAAUUAACAUUGCAGUCCCUCUAAUUUUCUAAAAUGUCAGAAAUAAUAAUAUUAUUAUUAUUUUACCCUCCCACCCCAUCAAUGGUUAUCCUCAUCUCUACUUCUCAUGCAACCCGUGAUUCAUAUUUAGACUUUCAUGUUUUUUUCUUUUUAUCUUAGUUGUUUUAUUUUAUUUCUUUUAGUAAAUAUUUUUAUUUAUUGGCUAAGUUAUUAAAUAAUACGAAUAAGGAAGAUAUAGGGAAUUUUGAGAUCAUUUUUUAUUAUUGAUAUUGGGUGAUUAUAAUGUAUGAUUUAGUUGCGCAUCCAUGAGAGCCACAACCUCUUAAAUACAACAAAGCCUAUAAACUUUAGAAAGACAAACUCCUUAAUUUAUUCCACAAGUACAUCAAUAUUUUAUAAUUCUCUAAUUAUUACUAUUAUUUCCAUGUCUACUUCUAUAAUUAAUUAUCCAUAAUAUUGAGAAAGUAUAUAACAUUAAAAUUGAGUAUAAAAAUGAUUAGGAGAUAUUAUUAUCUUGUUUUUAGUGUAAAUUGGAUAAGGUUUUAUAAAAAAUUUGACAAUAUCAAAAUGAAAAAUAAAUAAAUAUUAAAUAAAUGCUUGGAUAGUUGUUUAAAUUUCAUUAUGGAGUUUAUAAAUAAUAUUUUCAAAAUAACAAAUUUCUAUAUGUAAAUUUAAAAUUAUGUAAAAUUAUUUAUACCUUAUUACACGUACGAAGCUGAUCAAUUAUUUAUUUAAUGUGAAAACAAAUGCAUUGUAUAAUAUUUAUUCUGUUACUUAAAUUUAAAAUUAUAAAGAAUGAAACUUAAAUUUAAAAUUGUAAAAAAUGAAUUAAUAGAUCAUGGGAGAAUACCUUUCAAAAAAUAUUAAAAUUAACUAACUUUUUAGGCUUCUAACAUAACAUUUUUAUUUUUAGUUGUCAUCAUAAGACAAAAAUUUAGUCUAAAAAACUCAUUUUAGGGUCUCCGUAGGGAAAAAAAAUCAUUAUCACAUGAUAAUUUGGUAACCUAAGUUAUAUUAUUUGUAGUUUACUUAUUCAUGUCAAACACCUUAUUGAGAUUAAAUUUUAGUAAAGUAAACCCAUCCGACCAUCUUUAAUCGCAUUUAGCAAGCCCUAAUUGAUUAGAUCUUGUUUUAGAAAGUAAGAUAUAACUCUUUCUUUAUUACAAUGGUAAAGAAAAAGACAUAAACACAAUAUAUAUCCUCUUGAGAAAAUGCAAGUAUUAUGUUUUUGAGGUUUUGUGCUUAAGAAAUUAAUCUAAUUUAUGUAGUUAGAAGACUCUUAUUUUUUUUUAUGUUUUAGAAGAAUUAUAUGUUUGAUAAGGAAUAAAUUAAGAUUUAAGGUAGGACAAACUGAUUUGAGAAGGAGAUAGAGAGAAUAAAUUUUUUAGAAUUUGAAAAUUAUUAUAUUUUAAUUGGGGCUAAUUGCAUAAAAUUAUUAAAACAUAUGGUUUUUAUUAUUUAUAGAAAACACUAAAUAAAAGUGAAAACACUAAAUAAGUUUUUUUAAAAUUUGAAAUUAUUAUAUUUUAAUUGAGGCUUAUUGCAUAAAUUUUUAAAAUUUAUAGUUUUUAUUAUUCACGGAAAACAAUAGGGACUCUUAAAGAAAAUACCAAAUUUGGAGUUUGAUACAACGGUUGCGAAGUAGUUUUGUCCUUGCAUUUUAUAUUGUGUUGACGAUAAUUUCUAAAUUGAUGGCAAUCCGUCGAGUUAAUUUUUGUCAAUUUAGAAGGCAAACUGCUUACAUUGAUUCAACACUAAGCAACUUAGCUGGAAUGCAAACUUUGUCUAGUUUGUUUACUGAAGAAAGUUUAAUCUUCCCAAAAGAUACAAAAGUGGCAAAAAUAAUUAAGCAAUUAAACUAUAUUUUUGCUUCAAGUGGGACUAUUGGCACCCCUCCAAGUACUCUUAAAAUCCCUUUAAUUGUUUCACAACUUUAACCUUUAUUAAAAUUGUAUAAUAAGCCAAUUUCUAACUAAACUCCCACUCAAAAGUCAAAUAUUUUUUUUCCUUCAAAAAUCUAACAUUUUAGAAAUUAAAAAGAUUGUUUUUUAGUGGAAGAAAUCCAACAGUUGUUACAAUGAAGAGAAGAAAACCAUUGUUUUUUUAAUGAAAAAAAUCAUGCUAUUAAAAUGGAGUUUAAUAAUAAAAAAAUUUGGAGAAUGUGAUUUACGCUAAUAAGUUUUGAGUAAGCAUAUUCUUGUCAUGGACAGAAGUAUUAAAAGAAUUUUUUUAAUUUUUAAAAUAUUUUAAUGAGUUAAUAAAGAAAAGGGGUGUUAAGAGGUAUUAAGAUGGGUGUAGUCCUUAGGUUCCCAGUUCCCCUAAUUAUUUUAAAGCUCUUACCAUAUGACGAGCUCAUGGAUUUGUCUUCUUUUUGGGCCAACUAUAAAUGUCCAAGGGCUGACCCAUAAUGUUAAUGGGCUCCGCCUCAGCCAAAUGCAAAGAAUUUUGGGACAACAAACUUCACAUCUACAAAAAUGUUAAGGAGUUUCUAGUGUGUGUGUACAGUGAUGAUGUCUAACCCUCUUAAAAAAUCUCACUAAUCCCCAUUUAUCAAUUAACUCAUCCAAAAUUUUAAAAAAUAAAAUAAUUUUUCUCUCAAUAUAGCCCAUAUAAUGCCCAAUUUAUCCUUGUUAUUAUUUUUCACACACUUCACCGAAUUUAACUCCAAAACUCUACUCCAUAACCAUAAUCUAAUCCAAGCAUAAUUGAAUAUUUCUUUAAGCGCUGGGUGCUCGCCAUCAACCAAGAAGGGUUCAAUGUUGAUCAGUUUAGUGUUCCUCGUGUCGACGAUGGCCGUAGUCAUGGUAAUGGCAAGGCCUAUUAAUAGGCGUACAUUGUCAGCUUGGUGUAAGAUUUGCCCGCUUAAGUUUCAAGCAACCAAACGGACACUCCCUUUUAUGGUCGGCUACCAAUCGCUAAAGAUCUACUAAUUGAGGGAUUAGAAGUUUAUUGGAAGGAAAGAUUAACAAAGAGAUAUAUCUAUUUUAGUAAUUUAAUCUAGGGACAAUAUAGGAACUAAAAUAACAUUAAUUAUUGGGGGAUGCUAAGGGAUAUUAAAAAAGUUAAAUAUCACCACUUUUUUAUAUAGGGAGAGAGAGAUUUUGGUCCAUCAAUAAUCAUUGAAAUCCUUUUCAUAAGUUCGUUUGGAAUUAAGAUUAAACAGUUAAAUUAUAUUAUUAAAAUACAUAAUAAAUAUUAAUUAUUAUAUCUUAAAAAAUAAAUAUAUUUAAUUUUAAACUUAUAUAAUAAAUAAUUUAUUAUAUAUUUUUAAAAUUUUAUUAAAAUUAUUAUUUAAAAAUUACAUCUAUUACGUAUUAUUAAUUUUUAUUUUAUAAUCAUUAAUUUAAAAACUACUAAACUUCAAUACUAAAAAAUACCUACAAAUUGUAAACUUUGGCUUUUUAGAAACCGACAUAGAAUCGUUAGUACCAAAGCAUUGAAUAAUAAUAAUUGAACAAUUAAAUACAACACUGAAUCAUGGGAUAAAAAACCUCCACCAAUAGAACAUUUUGAGAGGGGAACCAGUUAUGUCCCAUCAAGAUCCCUCUUCUUGGUUUAAAAUCCCUUCAAUCUUGCCAAAGCUACGAUUUGCAGCCGCACCAAUUUACAAGCCAUUUUACAACUUCAAUAUAUAUAUAUAUAGGCGGACCCAUAUAUAUAUAUAUAUUAAUUCCUUAAUUUAACACCAAAACCCCCCCCCCCCCCCCCCCCCCCCCCCCCCCCCCCCCCCCCCCCCCCCCCCCCCAAAAAAAACUGUUCACUAACAAUCACCAACCAAUUAAUUAAUUAAUGCGAUACUUUAAGAAAGUUGUAGUAAUAAAAAAAAAAAGUUUAAAAUUGAAACGGAGCGCUUUGGAGUAUCUUCAUAUGAGGGUUAACGUUGUUUUAAUUAAAUUAAAAUUUAGAGAAGAAAGACGAUAUGUAUUAAUUUUACAUGAAUAUUAAAAAAAAAAAAAAAAAACCCACUUUUGUGAGAGACUACUUUUGAGCCGCUGCAAUAAUUGAAUAACCCCAAUACCCGGUUUAAUUAUUUACAUCUUUCAAGUAUUCCACCACAAUUAAAGUAGAGAGAGAACAGCGACACAACCGAGCUAAAAAUAAAAUUCUUCCACGUCUCCCAUUUGUUUUGAUGUCUAUAAUAAUAAAAUAAAAUUGUAUUUUUCUAAUAUUUUGUUAAAAAAAUAUUGAAAGUUCAAAAAUAUUUUACAAAACUACUUGGAAAUUUGGCACAGACAAUUGACUAACCUCGUUCCGUCUAUUUUGACAAUCUCAAAUGCUGGAAAGGUGUGAGCCACGAGCCAGGAAAGCGAGUGUGAGUCAACAAAGACAUAAACAGAACCAACUCGUCAUUCAUCAAGACACGUACGCACUUUUCUCGAUUCCACUCCCCAUCUGCCCCACUAGAAAAGCAACAAUCCACUUCCAUCCAGUAGGAGCCCGCCACGUUUGAUAAAGAAUCUUUCGAAGGAUUUGCCGCCACCUUCUCUUCUCUCAUUGGCGACUUCGUCGACCUAUCGUGUAACCCUCAAAUCUUGAUCUUCUUUUGAUGCGGCCCCACCAAAAUUAAACCCCUCAGCUGUUGUUGCUAUCAUCAUAUUCAAAGUUUUGGUCUGAACACGUGGCCCCUCCAUAAGAAGCCAGCACUUGCUGAUCGAUACUGUUAGCGAUAUGAUUAUCCUUCCCUUCUCAGUCGAGGAAAGAAUAAUAGAGACUAGAGAGAGAGAGAGAGAGGAGAAAUUGGAAAAUAAGUUUAAUAAGAGAUUGAGAGGUGGCGACGCACUGAUGCUUUGCUUUGUUGCAGGUCUUUGAGAGAAGGAAAAGCUGAUUUUGAUCGUACGGCUGUGAUGGGGGAGGAGGGCCCACAACCCCAUGUGCUUCAACACUCAAACGGAAGAGAUUGGACGGGUGUGAUGCGUCAGAACUCAGAAGGAACAGUGGCGUGUCGAGGGUGACAAUACGCGUGCAUGUCAAAGAAACAAAAGAAGGCUAUGAGCUGUACGGACGUGAUUCACGUGAAACAACUGUGGAGGAAUUGCAUGGAUAUAGAAGACAACACUUAACCUAAACGACGGCGUUUAAACAACUCGCCCUCUCUCUAAGACCAGCCACUCGGCCCACUCCCUUUUAGUUGGCACUCCAAAUUUGAAAACAAACAAUCAACUAAUUUUUUAAAAUACAUAUUUUUUACGAUUGUUUUCAAAUUUGGAGAGUGGAAGGAGUUUAAAAAAAAUGUGUGUGUGUGUGUGUAUCAUAUUCUAUAAUAUAAACAUUAAAUAUUCAUAUUUUAUUAAAUUUUUAAUUAUUUAAUAGAGCUCAUAUUUUGAUGACAUCAUUGAACGAUGUCCAAAUUAUAAGAUACAAUAUCUCAAAAUUCCGCAGUUGAUCACAUAAGGUAGCAACUUCAAAUUAAAGUUUUAUGUAAUUUUACUACGAAAAAAUUGCUCUUCUUGAAACUGGUAUUGUUGGCAUAAUAUAGAUUAUAAUAAUUUUGUAAAAGCAUAAAACGAAUGAUUAGGGCUUUAAUUCAUGAGAUGGGAUUGGAUAAUAACAAAAGCUUUUGACGAAACGAGACGCAAAUAAUCCAUCCUCCUCUCAAAAUCUAAUGACGCUGCAAAAUCUCGCAAUAAAUCCACGUCUCCAUCAGACCAUCCACGCGUCCUCAUCGUACCAUCGUGUCUUCAUGAGAGAAAUGCUAAUCCCCACUCUCACGCGAGAACGUGGAUCCCAAACAUGGCGAACACUCAGAGACGUGGCGUUGUUCACGUGCCGGAAAGAGCGUGGAAGGAGUUUAUAAAAAGUGGUCUCGGCUGUUGCGAACCAAAUUUUACAUGUUCUGUGCUAAUCGAAAUGAACCACGUGUGAACUAUCUCGAACCUGCCUAAAUAUGUUUUUGUCCUUUUUCCCCCUUUAUUCUCUAGGUAAAGGACACGUGUUCCCACCUUUCGGCAGUGCUGAACACGCUGUAGCUUCCGAUUGGCUGAAUCCGUGGGGUCAGCUCCCCAACGAUCAAUUACGCAGGCUACACGACUUUUUGAGUGGGACCCCUGUGAGAGUAGGAAAACAAAUCGACCAAUCAGGUUGUACCACUGUUUCAAAUGUUAGCCCUAGACACGUGUUGGUUUUUCACCAAAUGACCCUGUACUGCUUCUAAGAUUAUCGCCUGAAUUAUCUCGGGGUUAGAGAGAGUGUGUGUGUGUGUGUAGUUUUUUCGUUUCAAAAAAAAAGAAAAAAAGAAGAAAGUAAAAGAGGAGACAAGAGGGGUAUCUCCGGCACCGUUUCAUGAUAUGGACGGUGGUAAGGCUAAAGAAGGGUGGUGCAUGCUAAGAUACGCCGGUGGUGUGCAGAAUAGUGAUAACGAGAUAAUCAAUCGUACAAUGCUCAGAUUCCGUCCGAUUGCACCGAAACCCGUGUCAAGCGGCACCGUUUCAGGUAACUUGUUAGUUGAUAGGUUUACUAGCAAAAGAUCUAAGAGAAAGUACGUUCGGGUUCGCAAAAAUAAUGGGUACAAGAGAAAGAAUAAUAAUAAUAAUAUUAUUAAUAAUGAUCAUGAUGAAAAAGAAGAAGAUGGAUUAAACAAGAACGUUAACGUUGUUACGACGCUACAGUUGUUGCCUGAGAGACCUACUACGAAAGAUCAAGAAUCGUUUUCUUGGUGCAAUAAUAAUGUCAACGAGAAUGAUCCUGAUUUGAUGAUGGUUUCAAAAGUUGACGAUAAUCGUCAGGAUCUGAGGGCUGCUGCUGCUAUCUGGCUAAACAUGAAGGGGAAAGAUUUGAUGAUCAACGGUGUUGGUGGGGGUGGGUUUGGUGUGUCAGAUCAGACGGUGGUGGAAGUUCGUCGGAGGACGGUGGUGGAAUCUUGGGUGACUGUGGAGAGCGUGACUGCAGACACAUGCAUGGAUAUAUUAGGACGUUGUUUGGACGUUGAGGGAGUGAAGACUGAUCUUGAUAAGGACACGUGUCCAGGGUUCAUAUCAGAUGGUUUUAACCGGGUUCUGUGGGUUAACAAAGCUUACAAGAAGAUGGCGGUGAAUGGCGACGGCUGCUGGCCGGAGAUAGAGAUAAUGGUUUGGUUGGUCCUUAAAGAGAAGUUGCCGAGUUUGGAUUACUCGUUGUUUGCGAGUCAAGUGAGGCUGCAGUACACGUGGCAGAAUGAGAAGUACUCGAAGAUGGUACCGUGUGAUGCGUUCAGAAUGGACGGUGGAGGGUUUGCAUGGAGACUCGACGUUGCAGCUGCCCUCAGUUUGGGCCGUUGAUAUAAGAAAAUCAGAAAAAAAAACUUCAUCAAAUGAAGUUUCAAAUCAACGAGUAAAAUAAUCAGGUAACAUUAGAAUAUAUAUUUUGCCAAUUGUAUAUGUAUAUACUGAACUAUGUAGUUAAAUUAUAAUAUAUGGGUAGAUAGCAAAACACUACACGGUAAAAAUGGUCGUGGCUUAAGGAGGAAUAGGAGCCUCUAAAAGUCUAAAUAUUUCUAAAGAAGUGUGCUAGGUUGGCAACAUAGCAUUAGCUAUAUCUCUUGAGUGGGAGGGGGCAAAUGAAAGCGAAAACAAGAAACAAGAAGCGAAAACGAAAACGAAAACACAUAAAGCAACAAACCAGAAUGACAGCAAAGACAAGAAGGGACAGGUGGAGGGUCUUUUGAUACUACACAACGCAGAAUAUAACUACUGCAAAAAAAACUAUGUAAUGAAUCAGCUUUAAAUUUUAUAAUACAUUCACUAGAUUUCCCACCCAACAUGUACUCUCUGUUUGAUUAAUAACACUGAUGUGCUGUUUUGUGUUCUUUCUUGCCAGGUAAGAUAGGGGUGUUGGGAGUUGGGAGUUGGGAGUUGGGACACGUGUCCUUAUCUUGCGGUUGGCUUGUUAUAUAUGGUGGUAUCUUAUGCUUUCCAGAACAAAGUUGAUGUUUAUCUAUAUUACUACUAUAUAUAUACAUGUGUCUGUGUAAACUUGAAUAACGUAUGACACAAGCAAAUGGUGUUUACUCCCUGUUUAAUUAGGUGUAGAAGGUAACAUCUUUUCUUCAGUUAAAUCACUACUAAUUUGUAAUUAACUAUUUAUUUAACCAAUAAAAAGAUGCUUUUCCUUCCAAAAAAAUUCUUAAAACAUCAAUAUGUAAUCUAUAUACUAUACAGAACAAGUCUAACAUUCUUUCCUAUGAUAUAUACAAACACUCUAGCUAGUUCCAAAACUAUCUAAAUCUCAUUGGUCUAAAACUUCCUCACCUUUCUCCUACUGCACAAUGACAAAACAGAUGCUAUAUUCAAAACUAUCUAAAACUCGUUGAUAUAAAACUUCCUUACUUUCUUACGGUCUCUCCUACCAUACAUUGUAUAUCUCUUAUUCCUGAAAUUAAUAUACUACGAAGUCUAUGAUAUACAAAGUCUCUAAAUCCUAAUGCUUGGUGGACUUCUAUCAUUUAAAAUUCAUGGUUGUCCUAAUAAAUGACCCUAUUACCGUUUGAGUAGUGGUGAUCGGUCUAUUUAAUAAAAGAUAUCUAAUUAUAUACUAUUUAAUAAAAUAAAAUUUUAGAUUAUUAGAUAAUAAAAUCCCAUUCAUAAUAGUGGACCCAAACAGUUUCCUUAUUCUCCUUUCAUAUGUACUAGUUCUCUUAAUCUCUAUGAUUGCUUGUGGCACAAGGUUUUUCCUCACACACUAUCCUUUACGUACCUUCUUGUUUGUCCAAAUCUCUAUUGUGCUUCUUUUCUCAUGCAUUUUUCAAUUCACAUGCUUAAUAGCGAACCUUUAAUUAUCCUCAACACAUUCCAAUUGUUGCAAUACUCUUUUCUUAUAUUGUCGUUGUUUAAUUACUUUCUUGGAGUACAUUAGAACUAUAAUUAUUGGUCUCGGCACUAAUCAAAUAUAUAUACACUAGCAUACAUUUGAUGCUAUUGUUGCUUUUAUUAGAAGGAGAGCAAGAAAUAGAUUAGGAAGUUGGUGGAGACAAAAAGGACUACUUAGUGCUUGGAACAUGAGACUUAGGCUUUGCAUCAUCUUCUGGUAAAUCAUUUGAUCUAAAAUCUUUUUCUUAUUACACAUUAAGGACUAACAUUAACAUAUAUUAAACUUGGUUUGACAAUCAUCAUCAUAUGAAACCAUUUUGUCAUCACGUAGCGAAUUUGUAGAUAUUAAAGAACUCAUGACAUCUUAAUAUUUCAUAGGUUCCAUUAAAAACAAAAUUUACACCUUUUCUUGAAAAUCUGCCACCUGGCUAAGUAUUUAUCACUUUUUCACUUUGUCUUUUAGGUUGAAGAUUCAAGUCUAUGUACACGAUGAAGUGGACUUUCAAUCAACUAGGGUAGAAACCUCUCUCUUUAGAGUAGACUCAUGAGCUACUUACGAUCCAAGUGGGUAUAGAUGGACUUUAAUAUAAUUAAGCAGGUCCUGGUAAAUAUUUUAUGAGUACGUAUCAUAAAAUAAUUAAAAAAAGGGGUGCACCUUUCUUUGAAAAUAUGGGGCUGAUCUGCAGAUGGUUUUGAUCUAGGUGGUUAUAGAUGCAUUUAAUCUAAGGCAAUUGCUAAGUUACAGCAUCCAAUUCAAAAACAUGCAAAAAGUAGUAACUAACAGUGAGGCCCGCAUGAUUUUUGUAUGUACUGUAAGUUACACAAAUUGUAACCUAGAUCAAUUUAAAGUCUUUGACGGAUAACUGUUAACAAUAAGAAAAAUCUGAUUCUACUUUUCCAGUGAUAUGCUGAUUAUCAUAUGGGAUUACAAAAUAAUCAAAUCUUGCCAGCUAACAAUUUGAAAUCGGAAACUUUAGCCUUCUUUUAGUGACUUGAUCUUGCAAUGUGAUCUAUGUUGCUAGACUUACUGACAAUGAAAUUGUGUUGAUAUAAAUCUCUCUAGUUAUAUGAUUUGAGUAAUGUCGUUUUCAUCAGUAUUAUAAUUAUGUUUAUUGUUUACAAAAUUAAUGUAAAACAAUUUACGUCAAGCAUAGCUAUUACUUAAAAUUACCACUUUUACGUCAUGCAUGCAUGGCAAUUGAGUUAACAAUUUCUUUUUUGUAUGUAAUUUUCAGAAAUAAUAUAUUACAAUAUGGUAUAUUAUAUAUCAUAUCAAAAAGUUUUGGACCACAACCACUAGGUUUUUUGAAUGUUUACCAAACUUCAGCACUGCAUAUCUAUAUGUAUGUAUAUAAAAAUGAAAGGGUCAAUAAUGCCCCUAGUUGUGGCUCAGUCACUUUCUUACACAAGGAAAAAUCCUGACGCGCCAACUUUAUCUGGAGAUUUAACUCAUGAGUCAUGACUAUUGAAUUGCCAAGCUUUUUCAUUAAAGAAACACUUGGAAUUUUCUUUUUUUCCUUUGUUGGGCAUAUAUCACGAAAGUCUUUUCAGCUUGUCUUAUGUCCUGUUUUGGUAUGUUUUAUUUAUGAUUGAACCGAAUAGAUAUUUUGUAUGCAUAAAAUACGGUGGAAAGUUGUUUUGGGCUGCGUCCGAUGUGUGAAUUAAUAUAGAUUGAUUUAUUUUUCCUAAAUAUAUAUUUUGGAGUAAUUCAACUUAUUUUGAGUUAAAAUAUUCAGAGUAUAUCAUCACAAAGUUAUUAAUUUGUGAGGUUUGGAUAGAUUUUCAGUUGUAAUAGUAAGUAGAUUUGUGUUGGUAUACUGAAAAAAAUAGAUGUCAUAUAUUAGAAAAAUAUUUGUAGUGUAAUUUGAACAAACAUUGAAUUGAUAAGUACUUUAUGAUAAAGUACUCUCGGUUGUUCUAUAUACAAGUUCUUUUUGUUCAAGUAGGCAUGCUUUCACAGGCGCACCCACACACAAAAAGAAACCAGAUAAUUUGAUUGAUUUCAGUGUUGAUUAGGUGAUAAAAAUGUUGUCAUGUUCACUCUUAUAAGCUAGAUUGUGUAUAUAUUAAAAAAAUUUGUUCGUGUGACAGGUUAUUAUUAUUAAUUAAAGCAGUGUUUGAGCGAGAUCUGGCAGGGGAAGGAGCAAAAAGCUGAUUGAGACGAUGGACAAGUCUAGACAAAAAAGAAAAAAAAAGUGUAUAUAAAAUAUAAAUAUAUAUAAAGCAAGCAUUAUUCGGCUGACUAUAAAUACUAGUAAGUGUAUAUAUAAUAAUUAAGUAUUGGUGAUAAAGCCAUUUCCGGUGGUGAGCAGCCAAUCGAUCGAUGAAACCUUUGCAACUACAACAAGCGAAGACUUGAUGGAUUCAGGUUUCUGAUUGAUGAUCGAUCAAAACUUCAACAAGUUUAUUAGGUGUGGCUAAUUUUGCAAUAAAUAUAUUGUUGUGAGCAUGUCAUUUUCCGAGAAGAAUCUCUCGGAAAUGAAUAAUUGUGCCACUUAAUUAAUUUCUGAUAAUAAAUUUAGGAUAUGGCAUAUAUUUAGUUUCUACCUGUCGGUGGUUGGUAAUUUAAUUUUCCGGGUCACUGUGUGUGAGAAGAAUUUAUUAGUCUCUCUAGAUGUGAUUUGUGGGUAAGCUUCAAUUUGAAUUCUGAAAAUGUUUUUAACAACGGGUGAAAAUGAUAUUUUGAUCCAUUUUCGAUGUCGUUUUUAAUGUUUAGGUGUUGCGUGAGUAACAAGAAAAACAUCGUAAUCGUAAUGUGAAUCGAUUUUUUUCACAUUAAAUUUGAUUAUCUGAGGUCGCUGUCAAUUAAAUUAGUUGAUUCAAUAGUUAAAAGGUCAUAUUUAUUCUUAAACAUUGUGUUUUUUUUUCUUUUUCUUUUUUUUACUGCAAGUUUAAUACUAUAGAUGAAAUAGGAUAUUGAAAUUUUAUUAAGAACCUAAGUGGUAAAUAAAAUAUAUUUGAGAGGGAAUAAAGUGACAUUCCUCUCCGAACAAUAUGGUGAAUUAGUUCAAAAGUAAUUAUUAACUUGCCUAAUUAAUUAUUGUAGACAUUUACUUGGGAUAUCUGAGGAUUCCAUGUAAAGCAAAAGUAUCAAAUUAUUUUAUUAUAAGUUUUGUACAACGACACCUUAACUCGUGGCAUAAGAACCUAAUAAAGUGGAGGACACCUGGCUGGCAGGGCACUUGGCUUGUUAAUUGAUAUAUAUUCCCAUCUCGUGGGACAACAGGACCUACUGAAAAUUAUAUGUUUAAUUUUUAUAUUUUUGAAGAGCUUUUUGAUUGGUUCAAUUUUAAAUCUUAAAAAGGUGUCCAAUGGACUGUGUUACGCGUGGUGCAUUUUUUAAUUUUUUUUUAAAUUCUUUUGAAUUAUUAUAUCAAAAUUUAAUAUUAUCAUAAACAAUAUUUAUGAAGACUAUAUAAUAGCAUAGUGUCGCAGACCGCUUGAAAUUCCGUGGCAAAGAGGUAAAGUGCACAAACCAAGAUGUGAUAACUUGAUUUUACAGAAAGUUUUAUCUCCAAUAAUCUUUAGCACUUUCUCUUCACUUGUAAAUACUUACUAAUUACAGAGUGGUUGAAGAUCCUCCAGCGCCUUGUACAAAGAAAUCACUAGAGCUUGGUAGAGGUAUAAAUUUAAUAGGCUAUAAGAAAUCUCUAGAUGCGAAAGGUUCUAGAAUUAGGCAAGCCUCAAAUAAGGCUUGGCACUCACCAUUUUAAUUUUUUUUUAAUUCAAUUAUACACAGGAUUAUUAUUGAUAUUUCAUCAGAUAUUAUAAUUGAUAUUUACAAUUAGAUUAUACAAUUCGGACUUCCUCAUGGCGUGUACAUUGAUCCUUUGAAAUAUUAUCCAAAUUCUUUAAACCUUCUCUAAUAUUUAGGGUGUCUACUUCGCUUACAUUUCGUAAGGGAGAGACUGUCUUCAUUCAAUUAUUUGAUAAUUAAGAGAGGAUUGAAACUAACCCUUUAAUGCUUUUAUGGAGGAUCGAAUUCUUGCUCUCAUCAUUACAAGUGCAAAGGCUCUCUCACUGGGCCAAAGGUCUAUUGGUUCUCAUCAUUUUAUUUGAACAACAAGCAAGUAAGCUAGUAAGCAACUCAAAGCAAGCUCUCAAAACUCUCUUGUACACACAUAUUUGUGAAAAGAAAAUAUUUUCUUUGGCUUAAUUGCUCACUCUUUUUUCUAGUUUUUCUGCAAGUAUCUUAGUUUAACUAGCCAAGAAGCUCAAAGUUUAUUUAGUAACUUUUAGACGAGAGUUGUCUACGCAUCACGCUAGUGUGUUGGGUGCAGAAUACUAAUCUUAUGACAAUAGCCUUGGAGCCUACACUAAGUGUAGUUCAAAAUCUAUGUGACUAUAGUUAAGAUGGAACAUAGAUGACUUAAAAAUUUAUGUAAUUAAAAACAAAAUUUAUUCCCAUUUAUAACGAAAUAAAUAAACCAAGGGAUUGUAAUAUUUUUUCCCCUCCCCCGACUAGAACAAAUUUGAACUCUAAUGGGUUUUUAAAGUAAUUAAACUAAUUAUAUUUAACUACUUUAUGUAAUUUAAUUAAACUAAUUAAUUGUAAUAUUUUUUUCCCUCCCCCGACUUGUACAAAUUUGAACUCUAAUGGGUUUUUAAAGUAAUUAAAUAAAACUAAUUUAUGUAAUUUAAUUAAACUAAUUAAAGGAAAAUUUUAGAUUAAGGUCCUCUAAAAAAAUGGCUUCUAAAGUUUUCGUUAAUCCUGCUUAUUAGCGCCAAAAAAAAAUCCUAUUGGUUACAAGAGCACAAGGAUCGCGAUCCGGGUUCCUGGUGUCCAAGGACUCCGAACCGUCGAUAUCUAAAGUCUUUUAUACCAAUCGAACGGUCAACAUUACGCCAUUCAUAAAAGAAUUCCAUUGGUCACUUUCCAUUUCAGACGGAUUGACAAAUCAGCAUAAACUCUCGAAAUAUUCACCAUUGAUCACUGUGAAAUCUACGGUCCAACUGCAUACAUUCAAAUCUCUAAGUAACACAAAAUUUUCAAACUUCCCUCCUCCAAAAAUAAUUUUCCCUAUAAGUACCGCCACUUCCUCGCCUUCCUUCGCAAAUUCAUCUUCAACAACUCUCAAAUCUUGCUUCACUUUCUCAAGAAACAAACACCCAUUUCAUCUGCCAAUCUCACAAAUGGCCCGCACAAAGCAAACCGCUCGGAAAUCAACCGGGGGAAAGGCGCCACGCAAGCAGCUUGCAACAAAGGCGGCUCGUAAGUCGGCUCCGGCGACGGGAGGAGUGAAGAAGCCUCACCGUUUCAGGCCAGGGACCGUUGCUCUGAGAGAGAUCAGGAAGUACCAGAAGAGCACUGAGCUUUUGAUCAGGAAGCUUCCGUUCCAAAGACUCGUUAGGGAAAUCGCUCAGGACUUUAAGACCGAUCUGAGGUUCCAAAGCAGCGCCGUCGCGGCUCUUCAAGAAGCUGCCGAGGCUUAUCUGGUCGGUCUCUUUGAAGAUACUAACCUCUGCGCCAUUCAUGCCAAGAGAGUUACCAUUAUGCCCAAGGAUAUUCAGCUCGCUAGGAGAAUUAGAGGCGAGAGAGCUUAAUUGAGUUCCUAUGAUUGUAAAUCUUUGGACUGUAAUGUUGAAUAUCGAUUUUACUUGCUAUCAAUUGAAAUGGAAAAAAAAUGUUGUUCUGCUUAAUCUCUUGUUUGGCUAAUUUUUCGGUCCAAUUUUGAUUUCCGGUCCAAACCGGGUUCGUAACAAUCCGCCUAGUUUAUAAUUCGCAAUGUGCCAAAGCGUACGAUAGCAGAAAUGAUUCUGGCGGGAGUAGUGAGCGUAGUAAACUAUCUGUUGUCACUCUAAUGGAAAAAUACUUAGUUUCUCGCGAAUCUGUACCUGAAAACCCUAAACGAUGCAAUUCAAGGUUUAAAAGAAAAUUAUAACUCUUAAGAAUAUUUAACUGCAUUAUCCAUUAUUCUUUAAUUCAUAGUUUUAUGUUUUUGUUUCUAAUGAAAAGCAAUCGUUGGAAGAGGAGUGUGGUUGAAUUGAACGGCAGAUUUGAGCCCAAGUACCGACAUGACUUGUCUGCAUUGCUUAUGCGGUCCUAUUCUCAGGUGAUCUAAUUACUUUUUUGUCUUUUCAUUAGUUUCGAUUUUGGGUUUUAAUUUGUUUAUAUUUUUUGUGUUACGGAAAGAUUGGGGCAUUUCCCCAUCUGUAUCAUGUUGAUAGAGUGCUGUGCCCGACCCACGAAGGCAUUGUCAUUGCUCAGGUAUUGCUUCUGUUUCCCAUUUUUGUUUGGUUACUUGGUAGCCUUUUUCAUUUUGCGCAUGCAGUUGGGUUGAAUUUUUAGAUUUUACAGAGAAGUCGGGCUGGUGAUGGUGCAAUGAUUGAUCACCGAGGGUCAUUUGGAAAGUAGGUAUUGCCUUCUCUUUGUGUUGUCUUUUCUUGUUGUUGAGCUUUGAGUGUACUGAUUACGGUUACAAAUUUUUUUUUUUGGGUACUCAGACCAGGCAUCUCUGCACUGGACUUUGACUGCAAGGUGAAGUGUCCAAUUUGUUGUCUGUAGAACUAUAAUUUCUGAAAUUUCGACAACUUCCCGCUAAAAAUGCCUGUGGCUGUUGUGGUCGUUUAUAAUGUGUUCACGUCUUUUUCAUUGGUAUCUUUUUUAUUUGGUUUUAUAUUGAUAUGGUUCUUCCCUCACCUUCAAUUGGUCCAUCAAAGGUUCUUUCUAGAUAUUAUUACUCUAUCAAUAAUCUUGAAACAAGGUCUAAAGAUGUCCAGUAAUUCAUUAGUUUAGAAGGAAAACAGUGUUUGAACUUAUAUGGUCAAUUCCUUGGAACUUUUAGCCUUCCUUUUUUAUUGAAUGUAGACUUUGUUUGGAGAAACAUUGUGGAAUGAUACUUAGAUAGUCAAUUUCUUUGGACUUUUAGCCUUAUCUUUUUCUUUUAACUGCUUCUGAUGGCAAAUACUUUUUGGUUUUGGUCUUCGUUUUGAAGCUUGGCUUUUACUUUUGUUGUUGCAAUAUUUGUUCAGGGGAUUUACUUGGUUUCUGCUACUAGAUCUGGGUGCUUAACAGUGCAUGACUUUGAAUCUCUAUAUUACCAAUGUAAUGGAACUUUACCAGGUUAGUACCUCAACUCUAACUUAGCAAAACUACGAUUAGGAAAACUAUAUGGACCAGAACUAGAAUAACUGCAACUUAGCAAAACUGUGGCAAGGAAGUUCUAAAGAAAGAAAUAUAGCUAUUUCUAAUAGAAAACUAGCAUUACCAUCCGCCCCACAUCUCAAACUUUAGUUAGUGAAGGAGAAGUGACCUCGAAUUUGGAGACCAAUUGUAUAGCUGACUCCAUUUACCUGUGACUGAAGAGUAGAGUAGAAGGUUCUGGUAAAAGUGGUUUAUCUAACACACAUUUUGAAUUAAGUACAAAUUCUAUUCAGUUGGUGGAUUCUAUGCAUCUUAGUACUUGGGUGGUUCAAAAUUUUUACAUUAUUUCUAUUCUAAUUUUGUUUAUUGUUUUGUCAGGAGUGGGCUUGAAGGAAGACCAGAGCAAACACUUACUGCACAUUACUUUGCCUCAACAACUUGAUGCUGUUAGAUGGAAUCUGGCUAAUCAAGAUGAGGUUCAGUUUACAUGUGUACUCACUGUAUAUUUAGAUUAUUAUGCUGAUCCAGUUGUUUGAGCUGGAGAUAAUUGUAGCUAGAUAAUCAUGUAGAUAUUUACCAAAUUUUUUGUUCUAGAAUGCAACAUAAAAGUCUUCAUUGCACUAAACAUUUUCUAAUUAGUUGUCUCGGUCAGAUAAAGUUUAAUAUGUAUAUGUCUAAAAAUUUAUGGUUACAUGUGUUCAUUGCAGAUCUAACUAUAUUAAAUUUGGUAAUGCAAUGUGCAUUGUAGUUCAAUUUUUUCAUUUUUAGAGAUGUAGAAAACAUAAUUUCUUACCUCGUCAAUCAUUCUAUUUGGAAUAUUUUUGUGUCAGGGUGAAAACUUGUUCUCUUUCUUUACCGUUAAUUAUGCUACUUAAUAUGUCAUUUGCUUCUAGUUUAGAAAUCUUUUAAAAUUUUCUGAUGCAUAUGCUUGUAGGAUCACUAAUUUCCUGUCCUCAUUUAAAAUUAGUUCUCAUAGUGAAUUUCUGAUCUAAACAUAUUUUCAUUUUCUUCGUUUAUUCAGGUUGCUUGUGCUUCUACAAGAAGUAACGUAGUAAGCAUCUAUGACAUUGGUUAUAUAUCAGACGAACCAGUCGAAGUAAGUUGACUUUUCCAUCUUCUUAUCUGGCUUUGCCAGUAUAUUGGAAGUAAUUGUUAGGAGUUUUCUUCUAAAAAUCAAUACUAAUGACCUCAUUUUCCACUUGAAUUUCUAUAAACUCCCUCUCCAGCUUUCUUAUUGCUUAUAGCAUAUACCUGUUCCUUAAUAAAGAAUGUUUCCAAAAAGUAUUUGACAAGAAAAUAGAGAUUUGGCAGUUUAAACACUUUAUUUUUCAUUGAAAAUUAAGUUGAGUUAUUCUUCUAGAACAUGGUCCUGAAUUUUCAACUAUCAUGAUGGCAGGUUUUUUUAAUUUUUAUUUUUACCUUGAUGUAGGUCUUAAAAACAAGACGGUCUAUCACCGUUGUUGGGUCUGAUGUCCAGAAAGGUCUAUCUGAUAUUGCCUUUAGUGCAGUUAAUACAUCAAGGUACUAAAAUGGUUUAACUUUGUUCGGAAUACCAAAUUCAUUCAAUGAAUGUAUUACUCAUUAAGGUGCAUAUGAUUGUAUUUGUUAAAUAAAUUGUUGGCACUGAAGGUGCUACCUAGGUGGUAAAUUUAUACCAGAAUGUACACUAGUUGCUAGGAAUUGUGGUGAUUAAUGGUGGAAAAACUAUCCCUUGGGUAAAAUAACUGUUACCAAAUAGCUUAGUAACAAAGAAUGAACCAUUUCCCAGAUGUUUUAUAAGUGUUGGAUAAAUCGAAAGCCUUUUUGGUUAGGGUUAUCAACUGUUUGUCCUGCAAUAUGUUUUCUAUGCAUGAAUGAUCCUAGUAGGACCAUACAGAUUUGUAGGAGAGAAAUGCUGAUUACAUUAUGCAAAGAAAUGUGUACAAUACGAUCAAAGUUCAACAUAUCAAGAACUGCUAUAGCAAUUAUGUGUUUAUUAUCAUCCAAGUCAAACAUAUCAAGAACUGCUAUAGCAAUUAUGUGUUUAUUAUCUCUAGGGGAGUGAGGAAAAUCCUGUUAAACAUUAAUACUGAGCUGAUGGCCUCAAAUGACAACACUGGAUGACUUUUUAUUUUGGUAGAAUUGAUGCUGAGGUUUCUUUUUUUGCUUAUUGAUUCUAUAUCAUGCAUAAACCAUGAUAUUUUAUGCAGGGCAAGGAACCAAAGGAAAAACCACAAUUUUUAAAAGUUCACUUCUAAUUUUCCCCCAAAAUUGUUUAUGCUUAACAAGAAUGGGAAAUCUGUUGGGCACAAUAUAGUGCGAUACCUUUAUUGAUUCUUGAUAAUUUUGAAUGUAUAUAUAAUGAUGUGAAUGAGGUACAUGGAUAUUACUUGGCUGCCAUUUUGAUAAAUUGAGCGAUAAGGAUUAGUCACUGAAUUUCUAAUCUAAAAGACGAGGAAGGUUACAUGUAAUGAUUUAUAGAAACAUUAAAUGUGUACUUCUUCUUCCCCCACCCCUCCUUCUCUCUCUCUCUGCCCCCCUCUCCCCUCUCUCCUCUAAUACAGAUGAGCUCAUAAAACAUUGUAGACCAUUGCAUGACUGAAUAAUCAUUUGAGUUAUCACUUUUGAAUAUUUAAAAGUCCUAAUGAAAUCAUUUCAUAUGGAGGUUAAAUUAAGCUUGUCUUUUCCCAUGUAGCCUUUGGUGAUUUCAGUUUUCAAUUUAACUGAUCCAUUCAUGUCAUUUAACUACUGUCUGGUUUUAGUGUACUUAUCUAAUCCUUUCAUUAUGAGAAAUAGGAUUCUUAUUGCUCUUCUGCCCUAACAUUUUUGAACUGAAGUCAAUGACUGAGGACAAUGGGAGGUGAUGAGAUGUGCCUAUGCAACAAGCUUUUUGCUAUUUUGGCUUGUUGACAAUAAUUAUCUUCCCACUCAAUGAUUGAUUUUUGCAGGUUAAUUGCUUCCGAUACACAUGGUGUAGUAAAUAUAUGGGAUAGAAGAGUUGGUGUUCUUCCAAGUCUUGAGCUUUCAACUGGUUCCCAUAGCACUCUUAAUAGCCUUCAAUUACAUGCUGAAAAUCAGGUUAAUUUAUUGAAUCGGAAUAUUCUUUUAUUUAUUGUAAAUUUCACUUGUUUGUUUCUAAAAAAGUGCGCAAACUUUUGAUUUUUUUACCUUGUGAACCCUUUCAUGUGUGCAACAUUUCAGAGCCACCUCUUGUAACAGUUUUUCAAUAAAUUGCAGUAAGUCUUUAGAUGAGUAUGCCUAUUUUAUAGUUUACAGAUGGAUUUCUCAAGCUUGCAUUAAAAGUGCUAUGCCAUUUCUGGGAUGAAAAUUGCCAAUUGAAAGUAUGCUUGCCAAUUGAAAGGGACUGCACCUUGUUUAUUUAAUAUUGCAGGCUUAUAUAUAUGCCAUGCCAUGGUCCUAUCAACAUAGUGAUUCUAGGUCAGCUUUUUCGAACUACAAUAACAAUAAUGAAUUAAGCAGUUGGAUUUUACUCUCUAGUGGUUAAGCAUACUUCAAGUUUUUUCUUCUAAUAUCAUCCGUCACUUUCCUGGAGCCCUAAUUACAAAAGUUCAUUUACUUCAGAUUAUUUUUGCUGCUGGUAAGCAUGGGAGCAUUUAUAUGUGGGAUCUUCGUGGUGGAAGAACAUCUGCUCCUUUUCAGAAUCAUAAGGAGGUUGGUGUGUAUUUAUAUGUAUCUUUUUCCUUUAUCUUGCAAUGUCAUAACUCAAAUGAAGACGUGAAACAACUGCAAGCCGUUAAUACAAAAAGAAGGACAAUCAUAUUGUGAAUAUUUGUUUAUUGAUCCCAUGAGCACUAGCACUGAUGUCUAAAACUUUCUUGUUACAAAUUGUCUCGUGGUUAGCUUUGUUGGCGUGCCUGUGACAGAUUAGUCAAUGAUAUUUUGAUAAGCAUUUGGGUUAAUGUAUCUUAUGUAGUUGAUAAUAUGGUUGUUUUGCAUAAUUGAUCUCUCUCCCUCUCUCUCCCUGUUCAGGUACGUCAUUUACCUCUAACAUCUCUGAAGUUAGCAUCAAUGCUGGAGAAAAUUGGGACUUUGAAGGUAUGUAACUAUGCAUAAACGUUCUGAUGCUGUCUUCAAUUAUUUUCGUCAAGUUUACUAUUGUGGAUGGCAGCGCAGUGUUAAUAAACUAAGUAUUCCCACUGGUCCCAUUCUGCCCAUUAUUAAGGCAAAGAAAUCACCACCUCAUUAGCUUUAUGGCAGGAUCAGACUUCACUUUUUUGGAAAGUUUGAGAAUCCUAGAUUUAUUUUUCCUCUAAUCUGAAAAAUUAAUGUUAACAAUAAUGUAAUUGAGACUAGAAAUAUGGAGUUUUGUAAUGGCUUUACUUAUUACAAGAUGUAUUUUGUUUUACAAUAAAAUGAUGAAGGACUUAGAGGGAAGCCGAUUGGCAUUUCCUUACAAAGUUUGAGAAUCCUAGAUUUUUUUUUCGAGAGUAUUUUUCUAUAUACAAAUAAUUUUAUACCUCUAUGUAUGCCGUUUUGCAAAUGUUUUUAGUUGGUAUAUAUUUUCUCAUGUCUUAUCAAAAUAAAAAUGUUGACAUAGUUAUUAAUGAUAGAGAGUUGGGUUAUUGAAUAGAAAUUCAUGCUGAAAACUUUUCAAAUGUGAAAAGCGCUUUUUGUUGUUUCUGAAUUGUGCAUAAUCCAUUAUUUGUGUUUAUUGCACAGGCACAAUCAAAAAUUGUUCCACAGGAAAUACACUCAAUUGAUCUUGAUCCAUCUUGCUCAUACCAAUUGGCAUUCCACCUUGAUGAUGGCUGGUAAGUUGUGAAAUGAAUGUGUUUUCUUUGACUCUAUAUAUAUAUAUAUAUAUAUAUACACACACACAUACAUGUAUGUAUGUAUGUGUGUGUGUGUGUGUGUAUGUAUGUGUGUGUGUGUUUGUAUGCAUUCUGAACACAUUUGUUCAUAUCUUAACACUGCAUCAUGCUUUGCUAAAUUAACACAUAAUUUUCUUAGCAGUUUUAAAAUUCAACACAUCAUUUACAAUGAAUUAUACCAUUAAAAGACAGUGUGUUGCUACAGGCUGACUGCACUACUUGGAUUUGGAAAUCAAAGUAUGUUAUAAAAGACUACCUGAAUUAGUGAAUCGUAGAGGUUAAUGCUACCCAACAAGAAAUCAUAUAUUUGCUAGAAUCUUACUGCAAUUCUGAGGUUUAGGAUUCUCUUUUUCUUCAGCUUCUUGAAACAUCAAAGAACAUGUUGAUCUAGAAUGAGCUAUAGACAAUGGUCAAAAUUGAUUGCUCCCUGUGGCUGGAGAAUAUCUAACUAGGAAAUUAUUCAUAAUUUUUUGUUGGCGUGUCAAGCAUUUCUGACUUAUUUAGCAAUCAGGCACACAUUUAGUUCUUGUUUUAACUGUUUUUUCAAACUCUUGAAACACCGACAACUUUAACAUUCUUCAUAAUCUAACAUUUUGACAGUCAUGCCAGUGACAAAGGUGGAGAGACAAAUUGGCAUUAUCUUAUAUCGUCUCUUUUUCAUAGUCAGUAUAAUCAUGCAAUACUCUUAACUUCUUGAUGUUUCAAAGCUUGAUUGUUCAUAUGUACAAGUCUUAAACUUUGCCCUAUGAUUAACUUUCAAUGUUUGACAUGUUUAUCAAAGGUUCUGCUUGUUUCUUAUUUAUAUAAUUAGAUUUAUCACAAUGGUUGACUUGAGUUGUUAACAGAUGAUAAUAUGAGAUGAUGUGUUUCUGUCAUAUGCUUCAUUUUAAUUAAAAUCUCCUUGUUUACUGUUUUUCCAUGUGACGCAGGUCCGGUGUUUUGGAUGUUUACAAUUCUCGAGUUACCCAUGUUCAUUGCCCUCCGCCGGCUUGGUUGUAAGUAGAAUUCAAUAAUGUUUAGGAGUGCCUUAUUUGUUUCUGUGAUCAUUGGCAACUUUAAUAAUUGUGUAAUUACUAUCCUCGUCUUUUUGGAGUACUUAGGAGUGAUUCCAACAAUUCAGCUGAUCAAUUACACUUGCGAAAGCCAUCAUGGUUGUCAACAAAUUCUGUAAGUUUUUUUUUUUUUGAAAUUUAUUAAUUAUUAUUAUCAUUGAUUUACCUUUUCCUCCGGGGAUAUGUUUAUGUAUGGUAUGGGCGUGUGUUUUACAUGGUGGUUGGGCACAAAAUUUGCAAAGAAGUAUGGUUAGCUUCAAGCUUAAUUACAAAGCUUUUAUAGGACAUUGCAUAUCUUAACAUUUCUUGUCAUUGGUAAGUAACUAGUGUAAUGUCUCCAUGAAGAGAAUGAAAUAUUCAUUUCUGGUUAUUAGCUGAUUUUAUUUAAGCUCAGCUCAAAUCUCUUUUUUGUUUGUAUUGAAAUCAAGCUUCAAUCUCAUUUAGUUAUAUCGAGCAUGAAAGUGAAUGCUAUAGAGUUUGAUAUAUCUAUAUAACUGGCAUACCAUAAACUAUUAUUUUUUUUUUAUUACAUGAGACUAUUGCUCAAACUACAGCUCAUAUUACAUGAGACUAUAACUGAUAUUUACAAAUCAGACUAUUACUGAACCAUAAACUAUUAUAAAUGUACAUUACUUCGCCUCAAUUUCAAGUUCAAAUUACUUGAUAUCUUAUCAUGUCUUUCUGUGCUGAGCUUGCUCAUUUUUAUCACAUACAUGUUAUCUGAUCUCAACUUUAUGCCCUCUUGAGGUCGAAUCUUUCUUUUCAUUUCAAGCUGCGCUUUGAAAGCCUAUUUAGUUAUCUUGACUCUGCUCAUUGUCACCCCUAUUUUCUCAUGUGGGAAAGAGUCAGUUUAAUUUCUUUAUCAAUGAAGCACUUUUAAGUAGAAGAACAGCAUUUCUCUUGCCAAAUUGAGGUGAAGCAUGGAAACAAUUUUUUCAUUAAUUGUACACUUUGGUUGGAAAUUUACUUCUGUUAUUUUGCCUUUCGUGUUUGAAGGCAAGUCAUAAUCCAAAGUUUUCUCUUUUUAGGUUUCAUCGUAAAUUUACAAUUCUAGCCAUUUUUAUAAUUCCACUGGAAAACAUGCUUCGGUAUCUACCUUCAACCAAUUAUAACUUUGUUGCCUCUAAUGCAGAUCUAUGCGGUUGGAUCAUCAUCUGACCAUGGCAUUCAUCUUUUAGACUUCUUCCCAGGCUCCAGCUCUCCCAGCCACGUGGACUACAAGUAAGAAACUAUGUCAAAUAGCUAACUUAUGUUAAGUGGCAAUAAGACUUCCCAGGAAUUGACAACCUGAUUUUAAUCCUGCAUGGACAAGAAUACCCAGAAAAAAAUGUUCUCAGUUUUCUUAUUGCUUGUAUCCUUCUUUCCAGUGAGGAUAUACAGAGCCUUUCUGAGAGAACAAAGCACAAGAAGCAAAAUAGAUUUGUUCCACUAUCAGAAGGUGUUACUGCAUGCGUCACUCAUCCUCUCAACAAUACCAUCGUGGCUGGAACAAAGGUUUGUGGUUUUGUAGAAUCUACUUUGAUAAUAUUUCUUCCAGGAUGACAGAUAUGCCACUGUUGAACUCCUUAAGCAACUUCCUUAAAAUUUUAUGAACUGCCGUUUAUAUUUCACUAGUGACCAAGUGCACCAUAACAAUACAGAAAAAGGCUUGCUCACUUUGUACUUGCUUAACAAAAAUAUUGUUGCAUGUGGUAGUAAAUGUCGAGUUCCAAAGGAUACGAGUAAUUUACCCUUCUGUUUGACGAUGAAUAUUAUCUUUAGGGUUAUGCUAUGAAAUUUCUACAGAAAGAUUGUUUUCACGAUAAUGGGUCUUUGACACCUAUAAAGGAGUGAAAGACAAAAUAUUAAAGCGAAGUGAUAUGUUCAUACUUGAAACAGAUACCUAAACUUUUGUGGAUGUUUUUGGUUGCAGAAUUCAUCUUUGCUGGUGGUAUCCCAGAAACAACAGUGCACCAGUGAUUCAAUGCUAGAGCAAUGAAGAAGCUGGAGAGUAUAGAUCCUAUAUUUCCCAAAAUAAAACAGCUAACUAGAAGUCUAGAAGGGAAAUAAACAGCUUACUAGAAGUCUAGAAACUAACUGCAGAAGCACUUGAAUCUCAUAUUGAGCCUACAUUAGACGGUUUACCACUAUUUUGGAGGCAACCAAACGAUAACUUAGCUUAAUUGUUGGAGAGUUGCUGGUUAUAGAUGUUAUCAGUUUUAGGAGACCAAGCACUGCUUAAGAGUUAGUUAUUGUAAAUAGAGCUGAAAUUAGAGUGAAACAAUGGCCUCUUGCUGUGUUGUCAAGUAACUUUUAAGUAUGCUAAUGACAAACUUAAGUACGCGUUAACCAUAAAUGCAGGUAAGAACACGAUCUUGAAUGAGUUGAUUUGUUUUAACUAGUACACCCGUGGACCGUAAUGCGGAAUCUGGAUUUUAUUUGCCAUCUAUUCAAAUGAAAAUUUAUUCUCCGGUCCAAACCGGGUUCACAAAAUUCGGAAAUGUCUUUUUGGCCCUAUGUACUAAAAAAGCAUUAAAGAGGCAAGUUUAGAAGAAAUGAUUUUGGAGGGAAUAAAGAGUAAACCGAAAAAAUACAGUGUAAUUAUGGGAGUAAAAGUUAAAAAAAGAAAAAGAAAAAAAGAAAGAGAGAGAGAGAGAAAGGUGAUUGUCUGUUGGAAUCACUAAUGGAAAAAUGCUAUAGUUCCGCGCAAGAAUCUGUAUCUGAAAACCCUGAAAAGUGCAUGUUAAGGAAAAAUAAAAUUUAAUCUAUUUGCCUGGUAUGAGAGAGAUAUUAGGGGCUGGAACAGAGAAGAAGGGAGGAGUGUACAGUUUGAUUGAAUGUCGGGAAUGGUAAUGAGUGAGUGGAAUCAUUUUGUCCAUGUGGAAAGUGAAGUUGAUGAGAAUGCAAAUUACUCUCUCUCUCUCUCUCUCUCUAAUCCUUCCUACCAAGGACCCUGAAGAGGAAGCUUUCCUUUGCCUUUUAGAUCUCUCCUACAUUUAUGUUGCUCCAUUUUUGGGAUGACUUAUUUGUUUAUAAAUGAUAAAUUUGAGAUGAUAUGUUUCUGUCAAAUGCUUCUGAUUAAAUCUUCUUGCUUUCCUCAUUUUCCAUGUGCAGGUCUGGUGCCUUUGAUGUUUACAAUUCUCGAGUUACCCACACUCAUUGUCUUCCGCCGGCUCCUCUGGCUUGGCUGUAAGUAGAAUUUGAACGUUCAGAAUUACCACAAUUUUGCUAGAACCAUGGGCAUCUUGUUUAAUACUUGUGUAACUACUUCCUUGUCCCUUUGGAGUAAUUAGGAACCUUCCAACAAUCCAUCCAAUUGCGAAAACCAUCGUGGUUAUCAACAAAUUCUGUAAGUAAUUUAUCGUUGAUAUCAUCUUUUUCACUGGUAACAUGUUUAUGCUAUGGUGUGGGCAUGUGUAUCACAUGGCUGUUGAGCUUAUAAUUUUCAAAGAUAUUAUAUGUGGCAACUAAUUAGUGUAAUGCCUCCAUGUAGAGAAUUUAUUACCUGAUUUUAUUUAAAGCUCAUCUCAGACCUCUUGUCCGCUGGAAAACAUGCUUGAGUGUCUUCCUUCAGUCAAAUAUGACUUUGAUGUCUUCUAAUGCAGAUUUAUGUGGUGGGAUCAUCAUCUGACCAUGGCAUUCAUCUUUUAGACUUCUACCCAGGCUCCAGCUCUCUCAGCCUUGUGGACUAGAAGUAAGAAACUAGCUGAAAUGGCUAACUUACUUUAUGUGGAAAUAAGGCUUUCUAGGGAUUGAUAGGAUUGAUAUCGCCAUGAUCCUGCAUAAGCAAGAACACCCAGAAAAAGAGGAUAGAUAAGAAAUGUCAUAUGUAUAUAAUUUCCUGUGUUUUGCUCAUGUUUUCAAAUGCUCCCCAGUCUUGAAGUUCUUUUUCUUAUUGAGGAGUAUCAGCGAGCAGGUGCUUUGAGUCUUUGUCUCUCUCUGACAGCGUCUGUGUUCACAUUUUUCUUGUUGCUUGUAUCCUUCCAGUGAGGAUAUACAGACCCUUUCUGAGAUAAAAAAACACAAGAAGCAAAAUAGAUUUGUCCCACUAUCAGAAGGUGUUACUGCAUGUGUCAGCCAUCCUUUCAACAGUACCAUCGUAGUUAGAACAAAGGUUUGUGGUUUUGUAGCAUCUGCUUUGAUAAUAUUUCUUCCACGAUAGCAGAUAUGGCAUUUUUGAACCUCCUUCAGAAAAACUGCCGUUUAGAUUUCACUAAUGACCAAGUGCCAUCAUAACAAUACACAAAAGGCAUACUUGUUUAACAAAAAUGUAGUUGCAUGCGGUAAUAAAUGUUGAGUUCCAAUUGAUAUAAGUGAUUUAUUCUUUUAUUUAAUGAUGAACAUUAUCUCUUGGUUAUGCUAUGAAAUUUAUGCAGAAAGAAGGAUCAUUGACACCUAAAAGAGAGUUAAAGACAAGAUAUUAAAGAAAAGUGAUAGCCUAAACUUUUGUGACUGCAUUUCUGUUGGUUGCAGAAUUCAUCUUUGUUGGAGGUAACCCAGAAGCAACAGUGCACCAGUGAUUCAAUGCUGGAAUGGAACAAUGAAGAAGCUGGAGAAGUGAUCCUAUGGAAAGGAAACUAAAUAUUUAUAAGUACCUGAAUCUUGGAUUGAGCUUACACUAGAAGGUUUACCACAUUUUUUGGAGAAUUACUGGUUGUAGAUAUUGUCGAUCCAUGUCAGUUUUAGGAGCACAAGCACUGCUUAGGGCAAUUGAAAAUAGAGCUGAAACCAGAGUGAAACAAUGUCCUCUGCCUUGUAGUAAAGUAUGUUAAGUAUAUGCUAAUGACAAACUCCUAAUUUAUUGACUGGCAACUGUAAAUUGUUUAACUCUAUUCUUUAUUUCCUUGUUUGAUGAUAUUAAUUAGCUUUAUCUCAGUUAAAAGACAGUGAUUGCUGCUUUAAGAAUGAAAACUUAUGUCAGCUGUAAAGAAAGAACAAAUAAGCUCUAAGAAAGUAAAGGGGAGAUAGAAAACUGAAGAGCAAAACUUCUUGCAUUCACUUGAUAGGUUUUCAAUAUUCAUUGUGCAUUUGCUUCAGUCAAUUAAGAAUUUACAACCACAACCGGAGCAUCCAAUUACAAAAACAUCUGGAUACACAUUGACUUCCUCUAUUAUAUGUUGAUUAGGUCAUAAGAUAUUUAGCAGGAUUGAGAAGAGCUACAGCGCCUCGUUUGUGACUUGAGAAUUUUUUAUAAACUCCUAGCUUUUGCUCACUUUCUGCAGCUGCCAAGUGAAAGCUUACCAAGAGCUUUGCACAAUCCCUGUUACAUGGAAUAUAACAUGUGAAGUUAGAGCAUAUCACUUGUCUCAGUUACAAAUUAGAGCCAUGAGCAAAUACCAUGCUACAUGAGUUUACUGAUAUGCGCCACUUAACACCAGAAAUCAGUAACCAAAUAUAAAGGAUACUACAGUAAGAAGAAUUACAGAUAAUAAUGGAAAGGGGACAUUACUUUAGUUGCUCUUCACUGUAGCCUGUGUGGUGCUUCAAAGUCUCAGUCCAAAGAGGGCUCUUGUUAAGGGUGCAACGUGCAGCGUAUACAGAUGCGGCAGCAAGCAUGGACGGGCAGUAACAAAUGACAGUGGGAUAAUGGCUGAUACCUAGUUCGGCUAGGAAAAAUACCAGAUUCUCCGUCUAUGUUGGACAGAAAUGUCAAUCAUUUAGUUUGAGUUAUUGCACUAUAAUCAAAACAAGACCAAGAUAUUUGCAGCACCUCCUGAUCAGGUGAGACAGAAGCCUUGACAUAUCGAACUAGGAACACAUAAGGCGUAGGAACUGUUAAAUACCACCCCAAUUUCUCCAAAAUUGCUUUCUCCAUGACAAGUACCUCUGAUCCAAUGUAAGCAUAGUCUGAUAUGCAAAUGAAGUCAUUAACCUGCAAAAUCAAAGCCAAUCAAUGAGAAUUUCUAAAUGACUUUGAAACUAGUAGAAACAACUUAAAGAAACAAAAGAAGGAAGAGAAAAGAAACUAGUAGAAACAAAAGAAAUUUUGAAAGAUACCUGUGGAGCCCAUAUUUCUUCAUACUUGCAUGCAAUGAGCAUUGAGCUAAUGCCAACUAGCUGAAGCUCCCUCCUGUUCACAGUUUUCAUGGAAAGAUAGCGAUCAAGUAUGUUUACAGUAAGAUACAGGGUUUCAGGCAUUAGUUUAAACUUGUUAUGAACUUCUAUCAGCCAGUCGACAAGGAUAGUUCUCAUCUUAGCAUUGAUAUUUGCCUGUGAGACCAUGUAAUCGUGCACUCGACCCUCUUCCUGCAUAAAAGUUUCCCAUUAUAAGAAAGAGGCCGGGACUACUGCUGAGAGUGAAAAGUAUAAAAGGAACAUUACUUCUGUGAGCUUGUAGAACAUGUAGAUAUCAUCAACAUAUUCAACAACUGCCAAAUCGUCAUUAACAUCUGGUGCAUCAAUGUUUACUAUCAAAUCCUUUGGCUUGUCAGUGAUUCCACAAGCAGCCUAAUGCAAAUAAAUUUGGAAAAGACAAAGAUAAAUAUCUUAUUGAAGAAUCUUCAUAAUCAACAAAAUAACCCAAGAAUCUUCAUCAUCAAAACCACCUUGCUUCUAGCAGUGAGAACUGAAGUGAAUGUCCUGUCAUUCCUCCUCAGGGACCUUUCCUUUGAGCUCUGUUCCCCAACAGGUUUAAUUUUUUCGUUUUUAGCUUCUACUUCUUUAACGUUCUCUUCUUCAUCAGAGCUUAUCACAACUAAGUCAUUGUUUGCAAUUUCAGAUGCCUUUUUUUGAGGUUCUGCUGCCUUCUUCACAAUUCUACCUUUUUUGGUGGCUGCAGCUACAAUAUCAUCAACCACUACGAGCUGCACAAAAAAAAAGCAUCCGGUCCAUAAAAUGGUCCAAUUUUUAAUGCCUCCAAUUACCAAGAUUCUAAAGAUAAAAAAGUUUAAUAUAACUAUAAAUAGCUGCAUAUUACUACCUUGUUCUUGUCUGCUGCUGCUUGCAGUUGUGCACAAAAACUCCUUGUCAUGGGGCGAGAGAUCUUCCCCUCCACAACUGGAAGCGUCUCCAGAUUGCCAAUAUCACAAAGAACUCGUCGAUUCUGACCUUGUGCUGGCUCAUUCUUCAUCUUUCCUCUUCCUAGAAGGCAAAAACAAAAUAAAAAGAGAAGAUUUUUAAACAACAUUCCACUGAAAUGAGACCUAAGAAAAAAAAAUGCAAAGAAAAAGAUAUAAUCUGGUUUUAGAAACAUAAUGUGAUCAAAAUAAUCCCAGAUGCUCUAGUAAAUGUCAGAAUUCAGAUAGAGAAACUUCCAUAAUUUGGAAAUUGACGAACAAAGAAUCAUUUAAAAAAGAAACAGGAUGAUAAUCUUAAGAACAAUACCCAAAUCUUUGGAAUUAAACAAGCAACAAUUAAAAAAUCAAAUUUUUUUAAUAAAAUCUACGUAAAAAAUUUACACUGAGAGAGAGAAUGAAAAUUGAUAUUAGAACAAGCAAUAAACCCCUAGAACCCUAAAGAAUGAUACACGCUAAAGCAAACAAAAGCAGACGAAAAUAUUAUCAACCAUCAUUUAAUAAAACAAAACAACUGGGGAUCAAAAAGAAAUAGUACCCAGAAACACAUCAAUACCCAUUAAUGAAAAAUAAAAUCCCUAAACUGAAUCAAAAUAUAACGAAUCACUUACCCAUAAAAUCCAAACAAAUAUAGUAUCAAGCAAAAAUAAUGCCUUUGGGUACCAUUAAAGAAUCAAAAGAGAAAAAUCAUACCUAUUAAAGGAGGAGGGGACGCACAAGUAAUUAUUGAAGAAAAUAAAUUGAGACUAGGAGAAGAAAUUAAUUAACCUUUGGGUUGCCUUGCAAUAACAGCAUUGGCUUCCAUUUUCAAUUCUUGGUCACAAUUUCCACACUCUGUUACUCUGCUAAGUCUUGUAAAGAAUGAGGGUUUUUAACGCAAGAUGAUGGCUUGUUACUGAAUUAAAACAACUUAGCCUUUUGAAAAAAAAAAAAAACUAACGGUCAUAUUUUCAAUUUUCGAAUCGCCGCCGUUUGAUGAGUGCUUGCCAAAAUAAUCACACGGCUAAUAUCGCUUUUAACCAGCCAUGGGCCCCCAGCCCAGUUAGCCCGCCCAAUCCACUUUAGUGAAUAGUGAUAGUUAUUCAAGCAAAUCAAGUUUUUUUUUUUUUGGGCAAGUUUGAUAUUCAAUUCCAAACUAUAACAAUAAUUUAUAAAAACAUAAUCUUCAAAUUUCAGAAUUGGAACUGUGAAGAGGCAUGAUUGGGUGUUGAGAAGUUUUGUUAUCUUUUGUGUAAUUUUGAUCUUCAGAAUUUUUAACUAUUUAUAAUUUUGUAUUGAUUGAAUUCCUUUUUAUCUUUUUUAAAAUACUGUUUUUUAGGAUCGGUUUGAUAUCAUUUUGUGGGAUUUAUUUUCAUUUUCAUUUCAAAAUACAAAUAUAGUACAUGGUCAGCGCACUGUAUUGAAAAAAUAAAUUGUUAAAUAAAUAAUCACUGUAUGCUGUCCUAAAGUAAUUAAUUAAUGAAAAUUAUGGAAAUUUCUAUAAUAAUCAUUUAAUAAUGAAUUAAAAACAAGGUAGCUUACUAUUCUUAAUUUGUCAUUAGUUUAAAAAUAUAUAACAUAGGCGUCAUCACCUGCCUCAGCCUGGCUCUCUGAUAUAAUAUCUAACUUACAUAUAAUAUCUAAUAUUUUUAUUUUAUACGGUUAAUAAUAUAACUUAGGUGUGCGAAUGCCAUCACAAGCUCGGGUAUCCCUCCGCCAUAUUUUGCUAAAAUUCAUUCUGAAACACUAUAAAUAAUCGAACAGGGCCCCACCCAAAAAUUCCGUUCCUCCUGUUACUAAUAAGGCCCCAUUUUAUUUAUCAAAAAGGCCCUUCAUUUUAUAAAUAAUUAAAAUAUUAAUAAAAAAAGUUAUAUAUAUCAUAGCUUAUUCUAUUAUCAUGCAUAAUUAUUCAAAACAAUUAAAAAUUGAUACCUGAAAUCUAAUAAAAACAUUGCAUCUCAUAAAACAGGAAGAAGAAGCUUAAAAUAAUUUUUUAAUAUAAAUUUAAUGGUAAUUAUAAAAAAGUAUAACUUAUAUUUUUUAGCCUAAGAGGCCUUAUUAUGUUCUACGAAAACAAGUUGUUAAAAAUGCUUGUUGUAUGCUAUGAAAAAAAUUUAAUCAAAUCGAUCGGUUCUUAAACCUCCACAUCAAAAGUUUGAGUUUAAUUGUACUACUAUUUAAAUUGAAUAAUAAUCGAAUUCUCAAGAAUAUCUAAUAUUUUUAUCUGACGUGUUGAACUGGUAUUUAUUUAUUAUACAAUCAAUUUAAAAAUUUAUAAAAUUAUUUGUUUCUAGAUUGCACCACAUGCUACUAUCACUUCAAACUUAAUAAUUCGGAAUGUGUCAUUACUCAACAUCCACUUUUUUGACUUUUUUGACAUUAGAAUUCAAUUCUUUUUGUUUUGUACGUAUAAUUUGUUUUCUGCCAAAUUAAAUCUUUAACAAAUAUCUUGUAGAGAUCGCGUCGAAGUUAGAGGCGUUCACUAGCCCACCUCCCCUCCUCUCUUUUCUUUUGAAUCAAUUUUCACGUGUGGUACGGAUUUAAACGAUAAUUGAACGUCUCUGGUAACAAAAUGCUGGCCAUUCGUAGCCCAUCUACAUUUAAACGAUUAAUAAACAAGCUUAGGUGGGCCACUGCUAUUAUUAAUUAUCCCCUGAUCAUUAUAGUUUCUGAAACAGUAAAACAAAACGAAAUUGAAUACAUCAACGAGACCGCAAUUAUCACUUGUUUAGUUGCGGUAUUUAACUUAAUUUUAAUCUAGUAUAUUUGUUAGUUAAACUUUUAAUAAUCAAAUGAUUUUGAUUUAAAAAUAAAAUUAUAGGAAUUAUUAAUUAUUAAAAAUUCACAAUGAAGAGAACGUUUCCUCUAUAUAUUGCAGUGUGUGCGAUAUCGAGGGUUGAAGCCCCAAGCAGCUCUAAAAUCCAGAUAAUAAUUAGAUCCGGGCAAAAUAUUCAUCAUUGUAUCAGCUGAUCAGUUGGUGGACAUCUCUACUGAAAAUAUCUCUGACAUUUCACUCUGACAAAACUUAUUAAUAUAAAAAAUCUAUGGUUUGAGGUGGUUGAUCGAGAUGAUUGAUACGUCUGUGGUAUAUAUUUUAUGUAUUUCAUUAUCAAAUGUUGGCCGUUGGGACUAGAGCUGGUAAAACGGGUCAUCGGGUCGUGUUCGUGUCGUGUCAGUUUCGUGUCGUGUCAAAUUUAGGUCGACCCAAACCCGACCCAUUUAAUAAUCGUGUCAAAAUAUUGAGACCCAAACCCGACACGGAAAAAUAAUCGGGUUACCCAAUAACCCGUUUAAUAUCUAUAUAUUGAACAAAAGUUACAUAAAAUAUUUACACACUAUCAUACAUACGUAUGUACAUAAAUACAUACAUACAUAAUUUAUCGAUAUUAUAAAAUAUAUAUAUCUACCAAUAUAUUACACAUUUACACUAUUGAGGUUUUAAUUAUAUAUAUAUAUAUAUAAUAUUAUAUAUCAAUAUUAUAAAAUAUACAUGUCUAUUAAUUUUUACACAUUUACACUAUUGAAGCUCUAAAUGUAUGUAAAAUUUUAUAAAUAAAACACUGUGUUUAUAUUCACCAUUUUAAAGAAUAAAAAAAAAUAUCUCUAAUAUUUGAGUUUUAAUUAUAAGAAUAUGUAAAUUAUUUUAAAAUAGAAAAUAUAAUCGGGUCAUUGAUCGGGUAAAUGAGUCGAGAAUUUUAACCCAAACCCGACACGGAAAAAAAUCGUGUUGACCCGGACCCGACCCAUUUAAUAAUCGUGUUAAAUUUGACGACCCAUACCCAUUUAUUUAUGUCGUGUUCGUGUCGGGUAAUCGAGUCGUGUCAAAUUUUGUCAGCUCUAGUUGGGACCCUAUCUACAUCUAUUUAUAAGAUUAACAGGUGCCAGACUAUGCCAUUACAAAUUAUCCCCUCAUCAGAUAUUUCGUUAAAAUUCAUUCGAAACACUACAACUAAACAAUCGAAUAUGGCUGUGCGGGUCGAUGAUGCCAGCAGCAAUGAGACUGCAAUUAUCACUUGUUUAGUUUCUGUGCUUGCCGUGGUUUACUUCGCAUGGAAUGUGAAAAAAUCAAGGAAAGCAAAUGCUAAACUUCCACCAGGACCUCGCGGCUUGCCUGUAGUCGGAUACCUCCCAUUUCUCGGAACUACCGACUUGCACAAGAGAUUCACGGAAUUAUCCGGAGUUUACGGUCCGAUCUUCAAGCUCUGGCUCGGAAAUAAAUUAUGUGUAGUGGUGAGCUCACCUUCCCUAGUUAAACAAGUGGUUCGUGAUCAAGAUACAACAUUCGCAUACCGUGACCCGCCGAUCGCUGGACUAGUGGCCACCUUUGGUGGCAAUGAUAUUGCGUGGUCCAAUUACGGUCCCGAAUGGAGAAAGUUGCGCAAAUUUUUUGUGGGCAAGAUGAUGAGUAACGCAAGCCUUGAUGCUUGUUAUGCUCUAAGAAAACAAGAGGUUAAAAAUACUAUCAGGGAUUUGUACAACAACGACAACAAAAUUGGUAAGCCCAUUGACAUUGGUGAAUUGUCGAUUUCAACCUUGGUAUGUGCUAUGCAGAACAUGCUGUGGGGUGAAGCGCUUGAAUUAAAAGAGAAACGGACCACUAAUCUUGGGGUUGAGCUAAAAUUUAAGCUUGCAGAACUCAUGGUGCUACUGGGAACACCGAAUAUUUCGGAUAUCUUUCCAAUGCUUUCAUGGCUCGACAUACAAGGUAUAGAGAGGAGAGCAAAGAAGAUUUCACUCUGGUUUGAAAAUGUUAUAAAUUCUACUGUUGAAAAGUAUAGAAGCAAGGACUUUAUUGUUGAAGGUAAACAAAGAGCAGGGGAAAAUUUUGUAGGAUCAAAUAACAAGAACUUCUUGCAGUUACUAUUGGAGCUUCAAGAAAAUGAAGACGGUUCUUCCUCAAUUAGCAUGAACCAAUUUAAGGGCGUGCUCGCGGUAUGUUAAGCAACUAGCCACGAACAGUUAUACAAGCACAGUUGUAUAUUUGCAUGAGUGACGCUUCUCAACUUUUUUUAAUUUUUUAAGUUAAAGUUUUAUUGUAAUCUUUUGAACAGGAUAUAAUUACGGGUGGAACCGACACCACAACUACGAUGGUGGAAUGGACAAUGGCAGAGUUGAUGCAGCAUCCACAAGUAAUGAAGAAAGUUCAGGAAGAAUUAGCUCAAGUUGUGGGCAUGGACAGUUGUGUUGAAGAAUUUCAUUUGCCUAAACUGAAAUAUUUAGAUGCUGUGGUGAAAGAAUCGUUUCGUCUGCAUCCUGCAUUGCCUUUAUUAGUACCACGCAGAGCAAGCGAGAGUGGCAGCAUUGGUGGCUAUACCAUUCCCAAAGAUACAACUCUUAUGUUGAAUGUUUGGGCUAUCCACAGGGACCCUCAACUUUGGGAUAAUCCCUUAGAAUUUCGACCCGAGAGGUUUCUGAAUGUUGGUAUCGAGAGUAAGUUCGAUUACUCAGGUAACAAUUUUCAGUACUUGCCAUUUGGUUCCGGUAGAAGGAUGUGUGCUGGGAUUCCUCUAGCUGAGAGGAUGCUGAUGUUUGUUUUGGCUUCGUUAUUGCACUCAUUCGAGUGGGAAUUGCCAGCUGGCACAAAGCUAAACUUAUCUGAAAAAUUUGGGAUUGUCAUUAAGAAAAAAGAGCCUUUGGUUGCUAUUCCAACACCAAGACUAUCCAAUUCAGAGCUCUACCAUUAAGACAGAAUGAUUGUGAUGAUUUUGUUAGUAUCGGAAGAUUUGUAUGUUAUUUCAAGUUCAAUCGUAAUAAAAUAUUUUAAUAAAAGUCCUCCGUUGCUAAUUUUUUUUUUUCAACGGCAUAAUCUGUCAUCGUGCUUGUGUUUGGAGCUACUUUGGAAUGAUUAUUUUUGAAUUACAAUUUAUAAAUAUUUACGUUUUAAAUUUUUUAUAAGAGUCUAAAUUUAUACACGUUCAGUAAAAGAUUCCCUAAAAGCUUUACAAUUCAAAAUUCUAUUAAAAGUAUAGAUGAAACUUUUAUACCUACUAAUUUUUUGGUCUAUUCUACGAGUUUAAAGAGGAGAUAUUUCUAGAGUUAGCAAAAAGUGUUACAUGAUUGUUUUCGCGUAAUGUCAUUUUUUAUUGUGUUAAAUUUAGUUUGACUCAAAUAUGACCCAUUUAAUAAUCGUGUCAAAAUAUUGAAAUUUGAACUCAACACAGAAAAUAAAUGGGUGACCAGUCACACCCAUUUAAUAAUUAGGUAACCAUGUCACUUAAUACGACAUAACCCAAUAACUCGUUUAAUACAUAUUUAACAUAAUUUAUAUUGUACAUUGUACACCCUUUUGUCAUAAAUUACACUAUUUUAUAUUUCUAAAUAAUAUUAUAUAUUGAUAUUGUAUAAAAAAAAUCAAUAAUCUCAAAAUUUGUACACCUCCUAACUUUUAAAAAGAAAUAAAAAACUAAUUAAUUAAUGUUUAUUUUAUUCAUUAAUAUAUCAUAAUCCUACAUGUGUUUUAUUUGUUAUUUUUUUAUUUAAAAAGAUAGGAAGGUGGAUGAAACUCAAAUAAAUUUUUAGCCUAUCUUGAUCUUUCAAGUUUCUUAUUUAAGUGGCCAGCUAAAGAAAAUUACUUGAAGCUACUCCAUCAAUUUAACAAAUUUUAUUUAUUUAUUUAAUGGAGGUGUAGAAAAUAAAAGUAUCUGCAAGCACAUUGCAAUAGUGAAAGCAAUGUACCGGUGUUGCAACAUAACUGAACCUUGAUAACCGAUCACAUAUUUUAAGUUUUAACAUUGGUAGUUCACGGAUCGGUUUCUACUUCCACGAACAAUUAUUGAAGGAAAUGAGUUUUUUUUUUAAUGAAUAUUUAUAGACCCCGAUUAAAUAUUCGAAUAUAUAAUAAAAGAGAAACUGACAUAGAAAUGAGAAAGAUAUUUGGAGGAGGCAAAAAAAAAAAAAAAAAAAAUGCAACAGAGAAUUAGAUCAGUAACACAAAUAACUAAUUAAUUCAUCUAUACAUCAUAAUCCUAUUUGUAUCUUCUUCCUUCUUCUAAUUUACAUAUAAAUUUGGUUAGAUAAAACAUAUUUUAAUACUCGGUCACAAGCGGUGGAUAUAGAAAAUUAAUUUAGAGGGGGUAAUACCAUAACGAAAAAUAAUGAUUCAUAAUUAAAAUCAACCCCAACAUCAAAACUUAUUUACAAGAUUACGCCCAGUCAAAGGUAAAUUUUCUUAAAAACUAAUAUGAAAUUAAAUAAAUUUAACUUUUAGUGGGUUCAAGUGCCCACGCAUUCUGAACGUAGAUCCACCCCUGGCCCCGACUGAAGCAUUUUUUUACAAUAUGUACUCAGUUUAUCAGCAGGAACAACCUUCCACUUUAAAUUAAAAUUUUCACUUAAAAAUGAUUAAUGUUAAUGAGGUUAGCAACAAAAAUGAGUUUAAUUAGAGAAUAUUAUAAGAGAAAUUAUAUUUUUUGACUUUUAAUAAAUUAAAAUAUAUUAAAAUAUUAUUAGUUGGUGGUGGUUUCACGUCAGAUUAAGACGUGACACUUUACUUAUGAGGUCGAGACAAUCGACUUAAAUUAUUUCAAUGCAUUUAAAAUUUAUACUAAUGGCUAUUAUUCUUUAUCCAAAUUAAUACGAUAAUUAAUAACAUACAAUUGAAAUAAUUAAUAUUAUCACUUGGCAAUAAAUAAAGCUCUUGUGCUUGAAUCGUCACACAUGAUCAUUUCAUUCCUUUAUUUACUUUGCUAACACAGAUUUUGAGGCAUUAAAACUAAAUAAUAAUUGAAUAUGGCUUUGUGCGUCGCUGACGCCAGCAGCAAGGGGACCUCAAUUAUCACUUUUUAAGUUGAUUAUUGCAGUGUUUUUAUUUUUUAUAUUAAAAUUAAGUCGAUUUGUUAUAAUAAACUUAGUUGAGUUUAAUGGUAUUACUACAAAAAUUGAAUAGUCAUUAAAUAUUUUAAUAUUUUUAUCGCAAUCAUUGCUGUAGCAUUUAUUUAUUGUAUGAUGAAUUUUAAAAUUUAUAAAAUUAUUUGUUAUUUAAUUACCCCAGAUGCUACAUCACCUGAAACUUAAUAAAGGGAACGUAGCAUUGCCAUUACUCAACAUUCACUCUUAUGACUUUUUUUUUUUUUUUUGUUUUAUCUACUAGGUAUUCUGGGGAGGGCCCCAACUGUGGGAGGCACCUUUAAGCCCAUACCACAAUUCAGAUUAGAAGUCCCCGCUCGAACCAGGAGGCACAUGUUCUCCCAACAAAGACGACUUCCCUGCGACUCGAACUGUGAAGCAAACCCAGUCAAACCACUUAAAGGGACUCCAUUACCAGUGGAGCCAACACUUUAUUGGUACUCUUAUGACUUUAUGACAUUAGAAUUAAAAUCUUUCGUACAUUUAAUUUGUUUGCUUCCAAAUUAAAUCUUUAAUAAAUAUUUUUUUCACAUUAUCAUGAAUGGACAAAACUCCAACGAAAAUAACUACACAAGAACAAUCUAUGCUAGUAUUAUAUGCCACGAUAUCUAUAACUUUGUCAGGAUCGAUCGGUCUAAUUUUUACGCAGAACUUUUUGUCAAUCGACAAACACCUCACAGAGCUUGUCACCUGUCAGCCGCAUUAUUACGAUGUAAAAUUGCACCGGAAUAUCUUGAAUUAUUAGUAGAAUAACGAAGACUAUUUGGAGCAAUAAAAACAAAUAACGCAGAUGAAAACAAUGGCUGAAAUUAUGUAAGUGAGCCCCAAAGUUUUUGCUAUUUCCUGGAAAUCCCCAAUUUGAAUGGACUAGAGGGAGGCACGUAAGAAAUACAUUUUCUUCCUAGACAAUGACAGCUAUGCAUCAAGCCACGGUGGCGUCAGUAUUGAAAUUAAGGUGUAAUUAUUCAGCCAAUGAGCCUUACACAUCAAGAUAAAAGUCAAGAAAAUGGAAAUUUGGCCGUUUCCAUUUUGAAGUUAAAAACAAAGUUUCUUUCGUUUUGUGGGCGACUCGACUGAUCAGUUGGUGGACACCUCUAUUGAAAAUAUCUCUGACAUUUCACUCGACAAACUUGUUAAUACAAAAAAUCUAUGAUUUUAUCGUCUGUAUACUGUAGAAAAAAAUUGUCUAUACAUCUGUGGUAUAGAUUUUAUGUAUUUCAUUACAAAAUGCUGGCCGUUAGAACUCUAUCUACAUCUAUUUAUAAGAUAUUUCGUUAUAAUUCAUUCUGAAACACUAAAACUAAAUAAUCGAAUAUGGCUUUCCCGAUCGAUGAUGCCAGCAGCAAUGAGACUGCAAUUAUCACUUGUUUAGUUUCUGUGCUUGCCGUGGUUUAUUUCGCAUGGAAUGUGAAAAAAUCAAGGAAAGCAAAUGCUACACUGCCACCAGGACCUCGCGGCUUGCCUGUAUUCGGAUACCUCCCAUUUCUCGGAAAUACUGACUUACACAAGAAGUUCACGGAAUUAUCUGGAGUUUAUGGUCCGAUCUUCAAGCUUUGGCUUGGAAAUAAAUUGUGUGUAGUGGUGAGCUCACCUUCCCUAAUUAGACAAGUGGUUCGUGAUCAAGAUACAACAUUCGCGAACCGUGACCCACCGAUGGCUGCACUAGUGGUCUCCUAUGGUGGCAAUGAUAUUGUACGGUCCAAUUACGGUCCCGAAUGGAGAAAGUUGCGCAAAUUUUUUGUGGGCAAGAUGAUGAGUAACGCAAGCCUUGAUGCUUGUUAUGCUCUAAGAAAACAAGAGGUUAAAAAUACUAUCAGGGAUUUGUACAACAACGACAACAAAAUUGGUAAGCCCAUUGACAUUGGUGAAUUGUCGAUUUCAACCUUGGUAUGUGCUAUGCAGAACAUGCUGUGGGCCUGUGGGGUGAAGCGCUUGAAAUAAGAGAGGAAGGGAUCACUAAUCAUGGGGCUGAGCUAAAAUUUAAGCUGGCAGAACUCAUGGUGCUAGCGGGAACACCGAAUAUUUCAGACAUCUUUCCAAUGCUUUCAUGGCUCGACAUACAAGGUAUAGAGAGGAGAGCAAAGAAGAUUUCACUCUGGUUUGAACAUAUUAUAAAUUCUACUGUUGAAAAGCAUAGAAGCAAGGACUUUAUUGUUGAAGGCAAAGAAAGAGCAGGGAAAAAUUUGGAAGGAUCAAGGAACAAGAACUUCUUGCAGUUACUAUUGGAGCUUCAAGAAAAUGAAGACGGUUCUUCCUCAAUUAGCAUGAACCAAUUUAAGGCCGUACUCGUGGUAUGUUAAGCAACUAGCCGCAAACAGUUAAACAAGCACAGCUGUAUAUUUUGCAUGAGUGAUAUUUUCAACUUUUUUUUUAAUUAGAAUUUUAUUGUAACCUUUUGGACAGGAUAUAAUUACGGGUGGAACCGACACCACAACUACGAUGGUGGAAUGGACAAUGGCAGAGUUGAUACAGCAUCCACAAGUAAUGAAGAAAGUUCAGGAAGAAUUAGCUCAAGUUGUGGGCAUGGACAGUUGUGUUGAAGAAUUUCAUUUGCCUAAACUGAAAUAUUUAGAUGCUGUGGUGAAAGAAUCGUUUCGUCUACAUCCUGCAUUGCCUUUAUUAGUACCACGCAGAGCAAGCGAGAGUGGCAGCAUUGGUGGCUAUACCAUUCCCAAAGAUACAACUCUUAUGUUGAAUGUUUGGGCUAUCCACAGGGACCCUCAACUUUGGGAUAAUCCCUUAGAAUUUCGACCCGAGAGGUUUCUGAAUGUUGGUGUCGAGAGUAAGUUCGAUUACUCAGGUAACAAUUUUCAGUACUUACCAUUUGGUUCUGGUAGAAGGAUGUGUGCUGGGAUUCCUCUAGCUGAGAGGAUGCUGAUGUUUGUUUUGGCUUCGUUAUUGCACUCAUUUGAGUGGGAAUUGCCAGCUGGCACAAAGCUAAACUUAUCUGAAAAAUUUGGGAUUGUUAUUAAGAAAAAAGAGCCUUUGGUUGCUAUUCCAACACCAAGACUAUCCAAUUCAGAGCUUUACCAUUAAGACAGAAUGAUUGUGAUGAUUUUGUUAGUAUCGGAAGAUUUGUAUGUUAUUUCAAGUUCAAACGUAAUAAAAUAUUUUAAUAAAAGUCCUCCGUUGCUAUUUUUUUUUUUCAACGGCAUAAUCUGUCAUCAUGCUUGUGUUUGGAGCUACUUUGGAAUGAUUAUUUUUUAAUUACAAUUUAUAAAUAUUUACAUUUUAAAAUUUUUAUAAGAGUCUAAAUUUAUACAUGUUCAAUAAAAGAUUCCCUAAAAAUUUUACAAUUCAAAAUUCUAUUAAAGUAUAGAUGAAACUUUUAUACCUACUAAUUUUUUGGUCUAUUCUACGAGUUUAAAGAGAAUAUAUUUUUAGAGCUAGCAAAAAGAGGUACUUGAUUGUUUUCGCGUUAUGUCAAUUUUUUUAUUGUGUUAAAUUUAAUUUGACCCACAUAUGACCCAUUUAAUAAUUGUGUCAAAAUAUCAAAAUUUAAACUCGACACGGAAAAUAAAUGGAUGACCAUACACACCCAUUUAAGAAUUAGGUAACUAUGUCACUUAAUACGAUAUAACCCAAUAACUCGUUUAAUACAUAUUUAACUUAAUUUACAUUGUACAUUGUACAACCUUUUAUCAUAAAUUACACUAUUUUAUAUUUCUAAAUAAUAUUAUAUAUUGAUAUUAUAAAAAAAAAUCAAUAAUCUCAAAAUUUGUACACCUCCUAACUUUUGAAAAGAAAUAAUAAAACUAAUUAAUUAAUGUUUAUUUUAUUCAUUAAUAUAUCAUAAUCCUACAUGUAUUUUAUUUGUUAUUUUUUUUUAUUUAAAAAGAUAGGAGGGUGGAUGAAACUCAAAUAAAUUUUUAGCCUAUCCUGAUCUUUCAAGUUUCUUAUUUAGGUGGCCAGCUGAAAAAAAUUACUUGAAAGCUACUCCAUCAAUUUAACAAAUUUUAUUUACUUAAUUAAUGGAGGUGUAGAAAAUAAAAGUAUCUGCAAGUACAUUGCAAUAGUGAAAGCAAUGUACCGGUGUUGGAACAUAACUGAACCCUGGUUACCUAUCACAUAUUUUAAGUUUUAACUUUGGUAGUUCACGGAUCGGUUUCUACUUCCACGAACAAUUAAUGUAGGAAAUGAGUUUUCUUUAUUUUUUAAUGAGUAUUUAUAGACCCCGAUUAAAUAUUGGAAUCUAUCUAUCUAUAUAUAUAUAAAGUUAGGACUUGAGGAGGUGAUGUAGCAUCACCAUUUCUCAUCUUUGUAUAUUCUCUAUUAUCUAAUAAAUAGAGAAAUUUUCUUUUACAUUUAGUUUUUCAUCUUCUCAUAAUUAAUUUGAUUGUCAUUACACAAUAACAAUUAUGUAAAGAUUUUAAUGAGACAUAUUUUUUGUAAUGAACAAGGAGGAGUAUUAUGAAUUUAUUAAAAUAAAUGUAGAUGUUCAUAACAUAUAUCUCUUAGUCUCCUCACUAUCUCUCAUUAGCAACAUUUAGCUUCCCUAUAACUCCCACUAUCUCAUAAGGAAUUAUGAUCCAUAAUUUUUCAUUAAUUUCAUGGAGUGAUUAUGUAACUAUAAAAGAAGAGCUCAUCUUUUUGUUUUGUACACACACAAUUGGAAUGAAUAAAAUCACUCUAUAAUAUAUUCUCUCAUUUUAUUCUUUAUUUUGCGUUGCUUCUUUAUUUGUAUUGCUGGCUAAUAGUUUUUAUUUUUAUUUUUUAUAAGGUUGCCUCAUCUUAAAAAAAAAUCAAUUCAUAUUUUUUAUCAGUUUCAUCAAGUGUAAAGUAAGAAAAAAAUAUAAUACUAAUUUUUUUUUUCAAAUAAAUGUAGAUGUUCAUAACAUAUAUCUCUUAGUCUCCCAACUAUCUCUCAUUAGCAACAUUUAGCUUCCCUAUAACUCCCACUAUCUCAUAAGGAAUUUUGAUCCAUAAUUUUUCAUUAAUUUCAUGGAGUGAUUAUGUAACUAUAAAAUAAGAGCUCAUCUUUUUUGUUUUGUACACACAUAAUUGGAAUAAAUAAAAUCACUCUAUAAUAUAUUCUCUCAUUUUAUUCUUUAUUUGUAUUGCUGGCUAAUAGUUUUUAUUUUUAUUUUUUAUAAGGUUGCCUCAUCUUAAAAAAAAAUCAAUUCAUAUUUUUUAUCAGUUUCAUCAAGUGUAAAGUAAGAAAAAAAUAUAAUACUAAUUUUUUUUUUCAAAUAAAUGUAGAUGUUCAUAACAUAUAUCUCUUAGUCUCCCCACUAUCUCUCAUUAGCAACAUUUAGCUUCCCUAUAACUCCCACUAUCUCAUAAGGAAUUUUGAUCCAUAAUUUUUCAUUAAUUUCAUGGAGUGAUUAUGUAACUAUAAAAUAAGAGCUCAUCUUUUUUGUUUUGUACACACAUAAUUGGAAUAAAUAAAAUCACUCUAUAAUAUAUUCUCUUAUUUUAUUCUUUAUUUUGCGUUGCUUCUUUAUUUGUAUUGCUGGCUAAUAGUUUUUUUUUUUUUUUUUUAUAAGGUUGCCUCAUCUUAAAAAAAAAUCAAUUCAUAUUUUUUAUCAGUUUCAUCAAGUGUAAAGUAAGAAAAAAAUAUAAUACUAAAUUUUUUUUUCAAAGCCGCGUGAAGCGCGGUUCUAUUUUCUAGUAUAUAAUAAAAGAGAAACUGACAUAGAAAUGAGAAAGAUAUUUGGAGGAGGCAAAAAAAAAAAAAAAAAAUGCAACAGAGAAUUAGAUCAGCAACACAAGUAACUAAUUCAUCUAUACAUCAUAAUCCUAUUUGUAUCUUCUUCCUUCUUCUAAUUUACAUAUAAAUUUGGUUAGAUAAAACAUAUUUUAAUACUUGGUCACAAGUGGUGGAUAUAGAAAAGGGUAAUUUUCAGUUUCAUCACCUGAGGUUUGGGGUCCCUUCAGUUAGAUAGAUUCUAUGAGGGUAUCUCCACUUUGCACUCCUACCGUUCGUAUAAUGUUUAGUAUAAGUUUAGUUUACGAGAAUAAAUAAGUAAUUGCAUGAUAAAUUAUUAAAUAUUAAGAUAAUUUUGAAUUUUUACACUCUGCAAACUGGAACCUGUUGAAACAUUGUGGUGCUCGCUAGCCAAUAAUCAAAAAUCAAACGACACCCAUUUUGAAGAAACCCUAAGACAAAAUCAAACGACACCCAUUUCAAGCUUAUUAACUAGAGAGAUUUCGAAGAAACCCUAAGUCAAAAUCAAACGACACCCAUUUCUCAUUCCACUCUCCUCGAACUCGAAUCCCUCUUACAAUCGAUUGAUCCAGACACCCUUUACCGAUUCACCGAUCAACUCUCCUCCAAAAAAACUCUCUUUAUCCUCUCUCAUUCCUCCAAUUUCUUGCGCCAUGGAUGCGGGCCCCACCAAUAUCUCCCUCUUGGCCUCCAAAAUUUACCUUGCAUUGCUUCUCUCCCCGAACUCCCCUGUCUUCACUUUGUUCACUCCCAUGGCGUUCCUCUCCCUUCGCCGCUCCCUCAAGAGUUUUAAGCGCGUGUCUGAUAGCGGGUCCCACUCUAGUGUUAACCACAAAAGAAAAGGUGGUGGCAGGCGGGUUCAGCGGGCGAAUGAAUUUAACGAGGAUGAGAGCGAGGGUGGAUUUGAUGCUAGGAGUUUGUGUUUGGUUGUUGAGAAGUUGGAAUUUGUUGUGGGGUUGGUUUAUUUGAAUAGAUUUCUAGAUUGUUUGAAGUCUUUGAUACAGACUGUUGUUGAGAUUCUGGUCUCUUUGCUUGAAUUGGGAGGUUAUGAGAAAUUGAAUGUUUGUUUUCAGGGAUUUUGAUUAAGUUGUUGAGGGGGGAGCAUGGUGAUGUGAUGAGUACAACUGCAUAGGUUUUGAAGUCAUUAGUGCCAUUGAUUUUGAUGGGCAAAUGUCAAGCGAGGAGUUUUGCAUUAGGAUUUUUGAUGAAUGGAGUGAUGGGUGUGGCUAAAGAGAUCGACGGGGUCAAGAAGGCAGUUGUGAAUUUGCCGAAGUACUUGGUGAACAAGGCCCUGGAGAAGGCCGAGCUGAGGGGAUUAGCUGUGGAGGCAAUUAUGGAGAUUGUUAAAGCAAUGGAGGUUGAGGAUCAAAUGGGGUUUGUUGAAUAUACUGUUAAAGCUGACUAAAGGGAAGGCUAAUCUUAGCCUAGUUGCAGUUGAUCUGAUAUUAAUGCUAAUGACGUCGAUGAGAGAUCCAUUGAAUCUCUCGUUUACGACAUUCAGUUUAGUUAAUAAGCUUGAAAAAAAAAAAAAAGGGGCUCCAGUUGGUUAUUAAAAUAGUUUUAUUGAUGCAAGGGUGUUUUAGUCAUUUAAUCAGUCAAUUAACAGUCAAAUAAAUGUUAUCCUAACGGUAGGGGUGUAAAGUGGAGAUACACUCAUACAAUCUAUCAAAGUGAAAGGACCCCAAAUCUCAGGGGAGGAAACCGAAAAUUACCCAUAUAGAAAAUUAAUUUAGAGGGGGUAAUACCGUAACGAAAAAUAAUGAUUCAUAAUUAAAAUCAACCCCAACAUCAAAACUUAUUUACAAGAUCACCCCCAGUCAAAGGUAAUUUUUCCUAAAAACUAAUACGAAAUUAAAUAAAUUUAACUUUUAGUGGGUUCAAUUGCCCACGCAUUCUGAACGUAGAUCCACCCCUGGCCCCGACUGAAGCAUUUUUUACAAUAUGUACUCUGUUUAUCAGCAGGAACAACCUUCCACUUUAAAUUAAAAUUUUCACUUAAAAAUGAUUAAGGUUAAUGAGGUUAGUAACAAAAAUGAGUUUAAUUAGAGAAUAUUAUAAGAGAAAUUCUAUUUUUUGACUUUUAAUAAAUUAAAAUAUAUUAAAAUAUUAUUAAUUGGUGGUGGUUUCACAUCAAAUUAAGACAUGACACCUAAUUUAUGAGGUGGAGACAAUCGGCUUAAACUAUUUUAAUGCAUUUAAAAUUUGUACUAAUGACUAUCAUUCUUUGUCCUAAUUAAUACGAUAAUUAAUAACAUACAAUUGAAAUAAUUAAUAUUAGCACUUGGCAAUAAAUAAAGCUCUUGUGCUUGAAUCGGCGCACAUGAUCAUUUCAUUCCUUUAUUUACUUUGCUACCACAGAUUUUGAGGCAUUAAAACUAAAUAAUAAUUGAAUAUGGCUUUGUGCGUCGAUGACGCCAGCAACAAGGGGACCGCAAUUAUCACUUUUUAAGUUGCUACUAAAAUUGAUUUUAGUAGUGAUAUGAUUAUUGCAGUGUUUUUAUUUUUUAUAAUAAAAUUAAGUCGAUUUGUUAUAAUAAACUUAGUUGAGUUUAAUGGUAUUAUUACAGAAAUUAAAGUCAUUAAAUAUUUUAAUAUUUUUAUCGUAAGCAUUGACAUGGUAUUUAUUUAUUUAUUGUAUGAUGGAUUUUAAAAUUUAUAAAAUUAUUUGUUAUUAAAUUACCCCCAGAUGCUACAUCACCUGAAACUUAAUAAAGGGAACGUAGCAUUGCCAUUACUCAACAUUCACUCUUAUGACUUUAUGACAUUAGAAUUAAAAUCUUUCGUACAUUUAAUUUGUUUGCUUCCAAAUUAAUCUUUAAUAAAUAUUUUUUUCACAUUAUCAUCAAUGGAAAAAACUCCAACGAAAAUAACUACACAAGAACAAUCUAUGCUAGUAUUAUAUGCCACGAUAUCUAUAACUUUGUCAGGAUCGAUCAUUCUAAUUUUUACGCAGAACUUUUUGUCAAUCGACAAACACCUCACAGAGCUUGUCACUUGUCAGCCGCAUUAUUACGAUGUAAAAUUGUACCGGAAUAUCUUGAAUUAUUAGUAGAAUAACGAAGACUAUUUGGAGCAAUAAAAGAAUCCAGCUGUGGUGCCACAAUUAUAUGGUACCACAGCUGGAUCUAACCAUUAAAUUUAGCUCUGGUGACAAUUGUGGGUUAGAUCCAAUGGUUGGAUCCAUCUGUGGUACCAUACAACAGUGGUACCACAGAUUUGUCCGCAAUAAAAACAAAUAACGCAGAUGAAAACAAUGGCUAAAAUUAUGUAAGUGAGCCCCAAAGUUUUUGCUAUUUCCAGGAAAUCCCAAAUUUGAUUGGACUAGAGGGAGGCAGGUAAGAAAUACAUUUUCUUCCUAGACAAUGACAGCUAUGACAUCAAGCCACUGCUAUUAUUAAUUAUCCCCUGGUCAUUACAGUUUGUUAAUAUUCAUUCUGAAACAGUAAAACAAAAACGAAAUUGAAUACAUCAACGAGACCGCAAUUAUCACUUGUUUAGUUGCGGUAUUUAACUUAAUUUUAAUCUAAUAUAUUUGUUAGUUAAACUUUUAAUAAUCAAAUAAUUUUGAUUUAAAAAUAAAGUUAUAGAAAUUAAUAAUUAUUAAAAAUUCACAAUUAAGGGAACGUUCAUCAAACACACAUAGCUAUUGUUUUCUCUAUAUAUUGCAGUGUGUACGAUAUUGAGGGUUGAAGUCCCAAGCAUGCUCUAAAAUCCAGAUAAUAUUUAGAUCCAAGCAAACUAGAGUAGUGAUUUAAUGAAAAUCAUAUGUAUUGAAAAAAAAUGAAAAGAGGUCAUAAACUAGAACAAAAAUAUAAUCAUAUUCAAGUAAACUUAAUAGAUAAACCCUAAGUUCGUGCACGAGAGUUGAACUCUAUGAAUUUUACUCAAUAAUUUGAUGCAUACAAAAUAUAUACGAGUUUAUGAGUGACGUAUAAGUACUAAAAGAGUUAAGUAAUAAGUAAAUAAAAUAAACCAAGUGGCAUGACAUUGAUUCAAUAUUAUUGUAUCAAUAUUUAUGAAAGAAAUUGUAUUAAAAUUAAAUUGUAUGUUGAGUAUUGAUCUUGUCGUCUCAUUAUGUUUAGAUAUCUUAAUAUUAAAUCGAUAUAUGUUGUAUCGUUGGUUGAUUAAAUGUCAUAUCAUUUAAAGUAUAUCCUUAACUAACUGAAUUAAUAGCAUAAAUAAUUUAUUUCAAGAAGUCUUUGACCAGGUAAUGUAAAUGAGAUUUGCAGCUUUGAGAAGAAACAUAAUAUUUCAAACGUAGAAUAUUAAAACGUAACUAUCAUAUUAUCAUUCUUGUUUUUUAAAUCUGAAUAAUUGAGAAUGCAAUUUUAGAAGUCAACUUUAAUGAGAUCGCAUACCAAUUCCAAUAUUUAAUCAAAUCUUGACCGUCCCUCAAUCAAUCAACGGUGCGAAACAAUUAGUGAAUCCACAUAUGAGCCAUGAUUAGUUGGUGGUGAUGAAGGCUGUUAUUGGCGGAGCUCAAAGUUAUUAUGUGCAUGUUGGGUGGAUAUCUCUAUUGAAAAUAUCUCUGAUAUUUCACUCGACAAACUUGUUAAUAUAAAAAAUCUAUGGUUUUGCCGUCUGUAAACUGUAGAAAAAAUUGACUCUACGUUAAUCUAAAUGUUUGAGGUGAUUAGAAAUUACCGACUAUAAAGGGGAAUAAUUUAUAGGUUGAUUGAUACAUCUCUAUUGAAAAUAUCUCUGACAUUUCACUCGACAAACUCAUUAAUAUAAAAAAUCUAUGGUUUUGCCAUCUGUAUACUGUAGAAAAAUUUGUCUAUACAUUAAUCUAGAUGUUGGAGGUGGUUAAUAUUUUAUGUAUUUCAUUAUCAAAUGCUGGCCGUUGGGACCCUAUCUACAUCUAUUAAUAAGAUUAACAGGUGCCAGACUAGGCCAUUACAAAUUAUCCCCUCAUCAGAUAUUUCGUUAAAAUUCAUUCUGAAACACUAAAACUAAAUAAUUGAAUAUGGCUUUGCGGGUCGAUGAUGCCAGCAGCAAUGAGACUGCAAUUAUCACUUGUUUAGUUUCUGUGCUUGCCGUGGUUUACUUCGCAUGGAAUGUGAAAAAAUCAAGGAAAGCAAAUGCUAAACUUCCACCAGGACCUCGCGGCUUGCCUGUAGUCGGAUACCUCCCAUUUCUCGGAACUACUGACUUGCACAAGAAAUUCACGGAAUUAUCCGGAGUUUAUGGUCCGAUCUUCAAGCUCUGGCUCGGAAACAAAUUAUGUGUCGUGGCGAGCUCACCUUCCCUAGUUAAACAAGUGGUUCGAGAUCAAGAUACAACAUUCGCCAACCGUGACCCGCCGAUCGCUGUACUAGCGUUCACCUAUGGUGGCAAUGAUAUUGCAUGGUCCAAUUACGGUCCCGAAUGGAGAAAUUUGCGCAAAGCUUUUGUGGGCAAGAUGAUGAGUAACGCAAGCCUUGAUGCUUGUUAUGCUCUAAGAAAACAAGAGGUUAAAAAUACUAUCAGGGAUUUGUACAACAACGACAACAAAAUUGGUAAGCCCAUCGACAUUGGUGAAUUGUCAAUUUCAACCUUGGUAUGUGUUAUUCAGAACAUGCUGUGGGGUGAAGCGCUUGAAACAAGAGAGGAAGGGAUCACUAAUCUUGGGGCUGAGCUAAAAUUUAAGCUGGCAGAACUCAUGGUCCUAAUGGGAACACCGAAUAUUUCGGACGUCUUUCCAGUGCUUUCAUGGUUUGAUAUACAAGGUAUAGAGAGGAAAGCAAAGAAGAUUUCACUCUGGUUUGAAAAUAUUAUAAAUUCUACUGUUGAAAAGUAUAGAAGCAAGGACUUUAUUGUUGAAGGUAAAGAAAGAGCAGGGGAAAAUUUUGAAGGAUCAAGGAACAAGAACUUCUUGCAGUUACUAUUGGAGCUUCAAGAAAAUGAAGACGGUUCUUCCUCAAUUAGCAUGAACCAAUUUAAGGGCGUGCUCGCGGUAUGUUAAGCAACUAGCCACGAACAGUUAUACAAGCACAGUUGUAUAUUUGCAUGAGUGACGCUUCUCAACUUUUUUUAAUUUUUUAAAUUAAAGUUUUAUUGUAAUCUUUUGAACAGGAUAUAAUUACGGGUGGAACCGACACCACAACUACGAUGGUGGAAUGGACAAUGGCAGAGUUGAUGCAGCAUCCACAAGUAAUGAAGAAAGUUCAGGAAGAAUUAGCUCAAGUUGUGGGCAUGGACAGUUGUGUUGAAGAAUUUCAUUUGCCUAAACUGAAAUAUUUAGAUGCUGUGGUGAAAGAAUCGUUUCGUCUGCAUCCUGCAGUGCCUUUAUUAGUACCACGCAGAGCAAGCGAGAGUGGCAGCAUUGGUGGCUAUACCAUUCCCAAAGAUACAACUCUUAUGUUGAAUGUUUGGGCUAUCCACAGGGACCCUCAACUUUGGGAUAAUCCCUUAGAAUUUCGACCCGAGAGGUUUCUGAAUGUUGGUGUCGAGAGUAAGUUCGAUUACUCAGGUAACAAUUUUCAGUACUUACCUUUUGGUUCUGGUAGAAGAAUGUGUGCUGGGAUUCCUCUAGCUGAGAGGAUGCUGAUGUUUGUUUUGGCUUCGUUAUUGCACUCAUUUGAGUGGGAAUUGCCAGCUGGCACAAAGCUAAAUUUAUCUGAAAAAUUUGGGUUUGUCAUUAAGAAAAAAGAGCCUUUGGUUGCUAUUCCAACACCAAGACUAUCCAAUUCAGAGCUUUACCAUUAAAACAGAAUGAUUGUGAUGAUUUUGUUAGUAUCGGAAGAUUUGUAUGUUAUUUCAAGUUCAAUCGUAAUAAAAUAUUUUAAUAAAAGUCCUCCGUUGCUAAUUUUUUUUUUCAACGGCAUAAUCUGUCAUCAUGCUUGUGUUUGGAGCUACUUUGGAAUGAUUAUUUUUGAAUUACAAUUUAUAAAUAUUUAGGUUUUAAAUUUUUUAUAAGAGUCUAAAUUUAUACACGUUCAGUAAAAGAUUCCCUAAAAGCUUUACAAUUCAAAAUUCUAUUAAAAGUAUAGAUGAAACUUUUAUACCUACUAAUUUUUUGGUCUAUUCUACAAGUUUAAAGAGGAGAUAUUUCUAGAGCUAGCAAAAAGAGCUACCUGAUUGUUUUCGCGUUAUGUCAAUUUUUUUAUUGUGUUAAAUUUAAUUUGACCCACAUAUGACCCAUUUAAUAAUCGUGUCAAAAUAUUGAAACUUGAACUUGAUACGGAAAAUAAAUGGAUGACCACACACACCCAUUUAAGAAUUAGGUAACUAUGUCACUUAAUACGACAUAACCCAAUAACUCGUUUAAUACAUAUUUAACAUAAUUUACAUUGUACAUUGUACACCCUUUUGUCAUAAAUUACACUAUUUUAUAUUUCUAAAUAAUAUUAUAUAUUGAUAUUAUAAAAAAAUAUCAAUAAUCUCAAAAUUUGUACACCUCCUAACUUUUAAAAAGAAAUAAAAAAACUAAUUAAUUAAUGUUUAUUUUAUUCAUUAAUAUAUCAUAAUCCUACAUGUAUUUUAUUUGUUAUUUUUUUUAUUUAAAAAGAUAGGAGGGUGGAUGAAACUCAAAUAAAUUUUUAGCCUAUCCUGAUCUUUCAAGUUUCUUAUUUAGGAGGCCAGUUAAAAAAAAUUACUUAGAAAGCUACUCCAUCAAUUUAACAAAUUUUAUUUAUUUAAUUAAUGGAGGUGUAGAAAAUAAAAGUAUCUGCAAGCACAUUGCAAUAGUGAAAGCAAUGUACCGGUGUUGCAACAUAACUGAAUCUUGAUAACCUAUCACAUAUUUUAAGUUUUAAUAUUGGUAGUUCACGGAUCGGUUUCUACUUCCACGAACAAUUAUUGAAGGAAAUGAGUUUUUUUUUUAAUGAAUAUUUAUAGACCCCGAUUAAAUAUUCGAAUAUAUAAUAAAAGAGAAACUGACAUAGAAAUGAGAAAGAUAUUUGGAGGAGGCCAAAAAAAAAAAAAAAAAUGCAACAGAGAAUUAGAUCAGCAACACAAGUAACUAAUUAAUUCAUCUAUACAUCAUAAUCCUAUUUGUAUCUUCUUCCUUCUACUAAUUUACAUAUAAAUUUGGUUAGAUAAAACAUAUUUUAAUACUCGGUCACAAGCGGUGGAUAUAGAAAAUUAAUUUAGAGGGGGUAAUACCAUAACGAAAAAUAAUGAUUCAUAACUAAAAUCAACCCCAACAUCAAAACUUAUUUACAAGAUUACGCCCAGUCAAAGGUAAUUUUUCCUAAAAACUAAUACGAAAUUAAAUAAAUUUAACUUUUAGUGGGUUCAAGUGCCCACGCAUUCUGAACGUAGAUCCACCCCUGGCCCCGACUGAAGCAUUUUUUACAAUAUGUACUCAGUUUAUCAACAGGAACAACCUUCCACUUUAAAUUAAAAUUUUCACUUAAAAAUGAUUAAUGUUAAUGAGGUUAGCAACAAAAAUGAGUUUAAUUAGAGAAUAUUAUAAGAGAAAUUAUAUUUUUUGACUUUUAAUAAAUUAAAAUAUUAUUAGUUGGUGGUGGUUUCACGUCAGAUUAAGACGUGACACUUUACUUAUGAGGUCGAGACAAUCGACUUAAACUAUUUCAAUGCAUUUGAAAUUUGCACUAAUGGCUAUCAUUCUUUGUCCAAAUUAAUACGAUAAUUAAUAACAUACAAUUGAAAUAAUUAAUACUAGCACUUGGCAAUAAAUAAAGCUCUUGUGCUUGAAUCGUCACACAUGAUCACUUCAUUCCUUUAUUUACUUUGCUACCACAAAUUUUGAGGCAUUAUAACUAAAUAAUAAUUGAAUAGGGCUUUGUGUUACUUGUUGUGCGCGCGGAAUGCGGAAUCAAGCACACCAAAUUAUUACAGAAAAAUAAAGGACACAAUUAUUUGACGUGGUUCGGUAAUUAAACUUACAUCCACGGAGGCAAGAAAGAAUAAUUGUUUAUUUAACAAUUAAUAGAGUACAAAUAUUUGAGUAACGAAUCUCACUUCUCAGAAACCUAAAUAUACCCAAUACUCUCACACUCUGCAGGAAAGAUAAAUUAUCCAAACACACUUCUCUCACUUCUCUAAAAAACUUAAAAAUUUAAAAACUUAACAAUUUUGGAAUGCUUUAGAAUAGAAGAAGUGCCAUCUUAUAGGAAAAAUAAUGAUACUAUUGCACCAACCUCUUUACUAUUCCACCUAACAUAAGCAAAUUGUCAAUAGUGUCCAUUUAACUUUUUAUUUUUUUUCUUCAAUUGUUUAGUAGCCCUUUAAAAAUCUGCGUGGUUUCUUGAAAUUUAGAUGCCACAUGCAUGACUUUUCAACACUAAUUACUACGAUAAUUAAUAUUAGCACUUGGCAAUAAAUAAAGCUCUUGUGCUUGAAUCGUCACACACGAUCACUUCAUUCCUUUAUUUGCUUUGCUACCACAGAUUUUGAGGCAUUAAAACUAAAUAAUAAUUGAAUAUGGCUUUGUGCGUCGAUGACGCCAGCAACAAGGGGACCACAAUUAUCACUUUUUAAGUUGCUUUUAAAAUUGAUUUUAAUAGUGAUUUGAUUAUUGUAGUGUUUUUAUUUUUAUAUUAAAAUUAAGUCGAUUUGUUAUAAUAAACUUAGUUGAGUUUAAUGGUAUUACUACAUAAAUUGAAUAGUCAUCAAAUAUUUUAAUGUUUUUAUGGCAAGUGUUGACGUGGCAUUUAUUUGUUGUAUGAUGGAUUUUAAAAUUUAUAAAAUUAUUUGUUAUUAAAUUACCCCCAGAUGCUGCAUCACCUGAAACUUAAUAAAGGGCAUGUAGCAUUGCCAUUACUCAACAUUCACUCUUAUGACUUUAUGACAUUAGAAUUAAAAUCUUUCGUACAUUUAAUUUGUUUGCUUCCAGAUUAAUCUUUAAAAAUAUUUUUUUCACAUUAUCAUGAAUGGACAAAACUCCAACGAAAAUAACUACGCAAGAGCAAUCUAUGCUAGUAUUAUAUGCCACGAUAUCUAUAACUUUGUCAGGUCUCAGGAUCGAUCAUUCUAAUUUUUACGCAGAACUUUUAAUCAAUGGACAAACACCUCACCGAGCUUGUCGGCAGCAUUACUACGAUGUAAAAUUGUACCGGAAUAUCUUGAAGUAUUAGUAGAAUAAUGAAGACUAUUUGGAGCAAUAAAAACAAAUAACGCAGAUAAAAAAAAUGGCUAAAAUUAUGUAAGUGAGCCCCAAAGUUUUUGCUAUUUCCAGGAAAUCCCAAAUUUGAAUGGACUAGAGGGAGGCACGUAAGAAAUACAUUUUCUUCCUAGACAAUGACAGCUAUGACAUCAAGCCACGUAUUGAAAUUAAGGUGUAAUUAUUCAGCCAAUGAGCCUUACACACCAAGAUGUAUAAAAGUCAAGAAAAUGAAAUUUUAUCCCAAUUAAAACACUUUCUGGCUGCAAUUGGCUGUUUCCAUUUGAAGUUAAAAAACAACAACGUUUCUUUCGUUUUGUGGGCGAUUCGAUUGAGCACGCGCCACGAGCUAGCUGGCUUCCAGUGCUUGCGUGUGACAAUAGAAGGCUAGUGAUUUCACUUUCGCUUUUUUUUUUUUUUCUUUUUUUUGGGGAAUCAAGAUAAAAGCCAAGAAAAUGAAAAUUGGGCUGUUUCCAUUUGAAGUUAAAAACAGUGUUUCUUUCGGGGCGUCAAUUUGAUAUUUGAAUGGACAGGCAAGUAAGAAAUACAAUUCCUUCAUAGACAAUGACAACGAGGACAUCAAGGCACAUCAUUAUAGUUUGUAGCCCAUCUACAUUUAAACGAUUAAUAAACAAGCUUAGGUGUGCCACUGCUAUUAUUAAUUAUCCCCUGAUCAUUAUAGUUUCUGAAACAGUAAAACAAAACGAAAUUGAAUACAUCAACGAGAUCGCAAUUAUCACUUGUUUAGUUGCGGUAUUUAACUUAAUUUUAAUCUAAUAUAUUUGUUAGUUAAACUUUUAAUAAUCAAAUAAUUUUGACUUAAAAAUAAAAUUAUAGAAAUUAUUAAUUAUUAAAAAUUCACACAUAGCUAUUGUUUUCUCUAUAUAUUGCAGUGUGUACGAUAUUGAGGGUUGAAGCCCAAAGCAUGCCCUAAAAUCCAGAUAAUAAUUAGAUCCGGGCCAAAUAUUCAUCAUUGUGUCGGCUGAUCAGUCGGUGGACAUCUCUAUUGAAAAAAUCUCUGACAUUUCUCUCGACAAACUUAUUACUAAAAAAAAAUCAGUGGUUUUGCCGUCUGAAUAAUGUAGAAAAAUUUGUCUGUGCAUUAAUCUAGAUGUUUGAGGUGAUUUAUACAUCUGUGAUAAAGAUUUAUAGGUUGACUUAUACGUCUGUGGUAUAGAUUUUAUGUAUUUCAUUACAAAAUGCUGGCCGUUAGAACCCUUUCUACAUCUAUUUAUAAGAUUAACGGGUGCCAGUUAUGCCAUUACAAAUUAUCCCCUCAUCAGAUAUUUCGUUAAAAUUCAUUCUGAAACACUAAAACUAAAUAAUCGAACAUGGCUUUGCGGGUCGAUGAUGCCAGAAGCAAUUCGACUGCAAUUAUCACUUGUUUAGUUUCUGUGCUUGCCGUGGUUUACUUGGCAUGGAAUGUGAAAAAAUCAAGGAAAGCAAAUGCUAAACUGCCACCAGGACCUCCCGGCUUGCCUGUAGUCGGAUACCUCCCAUUUCUCGGAACUACUGACUUGCACAAGAAAUUCACGGAAUUAUCCGGAGUUUACGGUCCGAUCUUCAAGCUCUGGCUCGGAAAUAAAUUAUGUGUAGUGGUGAGCUCACCUUCCCUAAUUAGACAAGUGGUUCGUGAUCAAGAUACAACAUUCGCGAACCGUGACCCACCGAAGGCUGCACUAGUGGUCUCCUAUGGUGGCAAUGAUAUUGCAUGGUCCAAUUACGGUCCCGAAUGGAGAAAGUUGCGCAAAUUUUUUGUGGGCAAGAUGAUGAGUAACGCAAGCCUUGAUGCUUGUUAUGCUCUAAGAAAACAAGAGGUUAAAAAUACUAUCAGGGAUUUGUAUAACAACGACAACAAAAUUGGCAAGCCCAUUGACAUUGGUGAAUUGUCGUUUUCAACAUUGGUAUGUGCUAUACAGAACAUGCUGUGGGGUGAAGCGCUUGAAAUAAGAGAGAAAGGGACCACUAAUCUUGGGGCUGGGCUAAAAUUUAAGCUGGCAGAACUCAUGGUGCUUGCGGGAACACCGAAUAUUUCGGAUGUCUUUCCAAUGCUUUCAUGGCUUGACAUACAAGGUAUAGAGAGGAGAGCAAAGAAGAUUUCACUCUGGCUUGAAAAUGUUAUAAAUUCUACUGUUGAACAGCAUAGAAACAAGGAGUCAACUGUUGAAGGUGAAGAAAGAGCGGGGAAAAAUUUUGAAGGAUCAAGGAACAAGAACUUCUUGCAGUUACUAUUGGAGCUUCAAGAAAAUGAUGACAGUGCUUCCUCAAUUAGCAUGAACCAAUUCAAGGCCGUACUCAUGGUAUGUUAAGUAACUAGCAACGAACAGUUAUACAAGCACAGUUGUAUAUUUGCAUGAGUGAUAUUUUCAACCUUUUUUUUUAAUUAGAAUUUUAUUGUCACCUUUUGGACAGGAUAUAAUUACGGCUGGAACCGACACCACAGCUACGAUGGUGGAAUGGACAAUGGCAGAGUUGAUGCAGCAUCCACAAGUAAUGAAGAACGUUCAGGAAGAAUUAGCUCAAGUUGUGGGCAUGGACAGUUGUGUUGAAGAAUUUCACCUGUCUAGAUUAAAGUAUUUAGAUGCUGUGGUGAAGGAAACAUUUCGUCUGCAUCCUGCAGUGCCUUUAUUAGUACCACGCAGAGCAAGCGAGAGUGGCAGCAUUGGUGGCUAUACCAUUCCCAAAGAUACAACUCUUAUGUUGAAUGUUUGGGCUAUCCACAGGGACCCUCACCUUUGGGAUAAUCCCUUAGAAUUUCGACCCGAGAGGUUUCUGAAUGUUGGUGUCGAGAGUAAGUUCGAUUACUCAGGUAACAAUUUUCAGUACUUGCCAUUUGGUUCUGGUAGAAGAAUGUGUGCUGGGAUUCCUCUAGCUGAGAGGAUGCUGAUGUUUGUUUUGGCUUCGUUAUUGCACUCAUUUGAGUGGGAAUUGCCAGCUGGCACAAAGCUAAACUUAUCUGAAAAAUUUGGGAUUGUCAUUAAGAAAAAAGAGCCUUUGGUUGCUAUUCCAACACCAAGACUAUCCAAUUCAGAGCUCUACCAUUAAGACAAAAUGGUUGUGAUGAUUUUGUUAAUUUUCCGAAGAUUUGUAUGUUAUUUAGUUCAAUCGUAAUAAAAUAUUUCAAAUAAGAGUCCUCCGUUGCUUUUUUUUUUUUUUUUUUUUCAACGGCAUAAUCUGUCGUCAUGCUUGUAUUUGGAGCUACUUUGGAAUAAUUAUGUUUGAAUUACAAUUUAUAAAUAUUUACGUUUUAAAUUUUUUAUAAGAGUCUAAAUUUAUACACGUUUAAUAUCCCGCUUCAUAGAUAUUUAACACAAUUUAUAUCAUACAUUGUAUACCCAUUUGUCAUAAAUUAUACUAUUUUGUAUCUCUAAAUAAUAUUACGUAUUGAUAUUAUAAUAUAUAUAUAUAUGUUUAUCAAAAGACUAUACCAUUCAAUAUAUAUUGAAAAGAGAACAAAGAAGAUUUUCUUAUGGUUUAAAAAUAUUAUGAAUUCUGCUGUUGAACAGUAUGGAAACAAGGUCUCUGUUGUUAAAGGUGAAGAAGCAACAGGGAACAAUAUUGAAGGAAGAAAUUUCACAUGUUUAGUUGCUGAAUUUGCCGCUGUAUUCUAUCGGUAGUAGAGUUUUUAUUUUUCUCUAUUAAUUUAAGUCAAUUUUCUAUAACAAAUUCGGUUGAGUUUAAUUGUGUUAUAAUAUAAAUUGAAUGAUAAUAGAAUUUUCAACAAAUAUUUCAAUAUUUCUAUCUCGAUUGUUGAAGUGCCAUUUAUUUGUUAUGCGAUCGAUUUUAAAAUUUAUAAAAUUAUUUGUUACUAAAUUGCAUCAUAUGCUAAAAUCACCUGAAACCUAAUUCCAUAACUAACCCUUUAUUUUUAGUUCUCAAGAAAUCUUGUAAGAACAAAAAUCUUUUAUAACAAAACUUUUACAACACAUUAAUUUGUAACUCAUUCCUGUGCGCGAAUCACUCUCAAUUUCCUUCAAUUGCUGUUUAACAAUCAUCUACUUAUCAAAAUUCAAGCAUAAUCUUUUUUUUUUAAUUUCUUCAUCAUUCUUUAAAAAAAAAAUCAGGAUAUGCUGUUAAAUUUUGAAAUAAAUAAAUUAACCAAAGUUGGUUGAUGUGAGUGGUUCAAUGAUGAGCAUAAUUUAUAUACAUAUUUUACCUUUAAUUAUAUAAUUAUUAGUUAUUUUUAUUAGUUAUUUUUAAUUAAUUGAAUUAUUUUAUUGCAUAGAGAAUUAAUUGGAGAUUGGGAAACAAAAAGUGCAUAAAGAAUAACAAGUUUGGGAAAGCAUCAAUCAAAGCCGUGACGCAAUUAAGAGUUUAUAGCAUAUGAAGCCAAGAGUAAUUUGCACUCAAAAAGAAUUUCAAUUAUUCAAGUGACCUGGACCUGCAUGGCAUUGUAAUGCAUGGAAAGCAACUUAAAGGGGCCCACACUUGGCUUUUACAAUUGGAAAAAGGAAUCCUAGUGCAAGCUUAAUUGAUGAGCACGUGAGUGAGAGCAAAGAAAAUUAAAAGGCCAAGCCUUUUGGCUUAAGGAAAUAACAAGGUCGGUGGGGCCCAUUUUAAAGAGUAAUAUAAAAGCAAGCUUUUGGCUUUUGGAGAGAGGAGCCGCGAGAGGAGGAAAACGCAAGACAAAGAGAAGAAAAUCUGCAGCAGUUCGGCUUCUAUGGUUGGUUUUAUCUCUUUUGUUACUCUUAAUUCAAAUAUGUCUAGUUAAUUUUCUUAUAUUAAAGUUAAGGAUGAAACCCUAUUCAAUGAAAUAAUUAUCUUUUUAUUUAUUUAAUUCCCAUAUAUGUUCUUUAAUGAUUAUGAUUUUUAUUUCACAUGAUUAAUUGGAUGUUAUUAAAAUUUUUUCAUCAAUUCUGUCAUGCAUUAUUGAUUGUUAGGAUUAAUAUUCAAUUAAAUCUAUACUUAGAUUUAUAACGUUUAUACAUGAUUAUCUUUGAUUCUAUGUCUUUCAUUAAAUUGUUUACAUGGAGUGCUUAGGAAAACUUUGACUCUUUGUUAUUCAAUAUGUUCACAUGGGAUACUUAGAUGUCAUACUAUUAAGCGGAAAAAGAACCUAUAUUAGAUUUAAUUAUUUGGGCUUAAUUGUUAUAUCCAUGAGAUGACACAAAUUGAUUUCGAGUUGUCACUCUAAAAUUAGAGAUUAAUGAAUAUUUAGAUAAUUACUAGUUGAAUAGCGGUGGAUUCUGAAACCUUGGUAAUUUCUAUCUUAUUGAAUUCUCCUUUACUUUAAUUGUUUUCUUAGUUUAAUUAAUUUAAUUUCUUUUAAAACUCAAUUUGCUUAACUAGGUUAGAAUUAAUAUUAAUUUUAGAUUUAAAUUAGACUUUUCAAUUUAUAACAAUCCAUGUGGGAUCGACCUCGUUACCACUACUUUAUUUCUAGAUUCGUGCACUUGCGAGUAUAUUAAAAUUUUCACAACAAGUUUUUGGCGCCGUUGCCGGGGAUUGUGCCAGAAAGUCAGUUUAAUCUAGGUUGAUUUGAUUCUUCCACUAGUUAUAAUUUAUGUUGUCUUUUAUUUUAUUAUUAUUUUUAAUUAACAAAAACACACAAAAAAACUUUUAUUUUUCUUUAAAUUCAUUGUUUGGUUGUUUGAUUUCUUUUAUUUUUUAAAUUUUGUUUAUUCUCAUUAUUGUUGGUUUAUUUUAUUUUAUUUUUUUCUUUCCUUGUCUAGUUAGUUUAUGAGUGUUUGGGAAUGUGAUUCAACAAAUCGUUUGGUAAAAGAGAGUCAAAAAUUGAUAGUAGUCAAGUUAGUUCUUCUGAAGUCAUGGAUGACCCAAAUAGAUUAUUGCCAAUACUUCCACCAGUGCAAGCAGAGAAAACCCUUAGAGAAUAUUUUUCACCACUUGCAGCCAACCAACCAUCUUGUAUUGUGUUGCCACAAACUACAGCAACACACUUUGAACUUUUUGAACUUAAGCCCUCAGUCAUCCAACUUUUACCAUCUUUCCAUGGGUUAGAGAGAGAGGAUCCAUAUUUGCACAUUAAGGAAUUUCUUGACAUAUGCUCUACAUUCCGUUUUCAAAAUUUUAAUGAUGAGUUAAUCAGGCUUCGUAUGUUAUCUUUCUCAUUAAAAGACAAAGCAAAAGCUUGGUUGAAUUCGCUUUCUGCUGGGUCUAUAACUACGUGGGAUGAAUUGAAUAAUAAGUUCCUCACCAAGUUUUUCCCUAUGUCUAAAACAAAUGCCCUUAGGAGAGAGAUAAGUGAUUUCUAUUAAAGAGAGGGUGAGCAAUUUUAUGAGUGUUGGGAAAGAUUCAAUGAUUUACUCCUCAAGUGCCCCCACCAUGGUUUUGAGAAAUGGAGACUUAUACAAUGCUUUUAUAACGGUUUAACCAUGUCGAAUCGUCAUAUGGUAGAGUCUAUGAAUGGUGGGAGAUUUUUGAACCUACAUGAAGGGGCUGCAUGGGAUUUCUUUAAUUCACUUUCUGAGAAUUCUCAACAGUGAGAUUUUUCAAGCCAAAGGGAAAAAUCAUCUCAAGUUUCUAGAAAGGGGUUAUAUGAAGUUAAGGAUGAUUUUGAUGUGAAAUCCACUCUAAUUACACUUUCUAGAAAAGUAGAUGCCUUAGCUCUGAACCAAUCAAUGAAUCAUCAUCCUAGUGUAGCUAAUGAGGUUUGUGCUAUUUGUUCUAACUUGUCUCAAACAGCACAAAACUGUCCAUCAUUACCAGUCUAUCCAGAGGCUUAUUCUGAGCAGGUACAUGCCUUACAAUCAUAUGAGAAAACCUCCAAUAAUACAUAUUCACUCACAUAUAAUCCUAAUUGGAGGAAUCACCCUAAUUUUUCUUGGAAACAAAAUCAAUCUUUGUCAAACCAAGGAGGACAACAAUUUAACAUGCCCAAUCAACAAUUUGUCCCUCCUAACCAAGUAUAUCCUCCUGCCCAACAACCUAUAUCUCAAUUUGUUACACCCCAACAAAGAAAACCUUCUUUAGAGGAUACACUUCAAAGUUUCAUUCAGUCAACCUAAUAAGCUUUUCAGUCAAACACUCAAGCUAUUCUAAAGCUUGAACAUCAAUUGGGUCAAUUAGCAACUACUGUAGCGGAGAAAGAAAAAAGAAAAUUCCCCAGUCAAUCAAUUCCUAAUCCUAAAGGAGUGCAUGAAGUUGGAUCGAGUUCAAGCCAUCAGCAUGAAGAAGCAAAAUCAAUUAUGACCUUGAGAAGAGGAAAAUUGUUUGACAACAAAGUGGAGGUUCAAACAAAGAAGACAUCUGAGCCUACUUCUUCAGAUCCAAUUACAUCACAAGAAUCAUCACCAAAUGAUCUUGAAGAGAGUGACCCGCUAGCUUACAUUCCCAAGGCUCAUUUUCCUCAAAGGUUAACAAAGGUAAAGAAAGGGACUUCAACAUGUGAGAUUAUAGAAAUCUUCAAGCAGGUAAGUAUAAACAUCCAUUUACUCGAUGCUAUUAAGCAAGUUCCUUCCUAUGCCAAGUUUUUGAAAGAUUUAUGCACUAAAAAGAGAAAUUUGCAUGUCACUAAAAAGGCGUUUUUAACUGAACAAACUAGCAAUUUACUUCAAUGUAAAAUGCCACCAAAAUUUAAGGAUCCUGGUUCUCCUACUAUUUCAUGUGUUAUAGGGAACCAAUGUUUUGAUAAAGCAUUAUUGGAUUUAGGUGCUAGUGUUAAUCUCUUACCUUAUUCCAUUUACAUGCAGCUUGGACUAGGUGAGUUAAAAUCAACUCCUAUUAUUUUGCAACUUGCUGAUAGGUCAAUGAAAAUACCUCGUGGUAUUAUAGAGGAUGUGUUGAUACAGAUUGACAAAUUUUAUUAUCCUGUUGAUUUUAUUGUUAUUGAUACUCAACAUGUACAUGAUCUUAAGAAACACACUCCACUUAUUCUUGGUCGUCCUUUCUUAGCUACAGCUGAUGCUCAUAUUAGUUGCAGGACUUGAAACAUGCAAUUGUCUUUUGGUAACAUGACCAUGGAAUUAAAUAUUUUUAAUGUUCCCAAGCAGGCACAAGAAGAUGAUGAAGUCGUUGAAGUAGAUAUGAUAGAAGCAUCAAUUGAUGACUCACUUAUUUCUAACCAUUGUGACAAUCCAUUAAUACCUUGCACAACUGACUCUGAUUUCUCUAUUGAUGUUGAUAGUGAUAUUGAAGAAGUUAAUGCUUUACUUGAUUCGACUCUUAUCAUAGAUCUAAUUAAGUGGAAAGAAAAGAUAAGAUUGAGCCACUUCCUCCUGAAGAGAAAAGUGCAACAUAGGUCACAUUCUGACAUAAAAAAGGUGGUAAGAUCUAAAACGCUUAAAUUAUUAGAUUUUUAUACUACUUUAGAUAACUCUCAGGAAAGCUUAGAACAGAAGAGAUCAAAGCAAUGCGAUAUUGAGGAGUUUCAUUACCAUCAUCCUUUUAUGGAUAAAAUGCUCCAGUGCUUAAUCAAUUAUGCUUUUUGGUAUUUUCUAUAUAAUUGCUUUAAUUUUCACCAAAUUCUUAUUGAUCCUGGUUGAUUUGUUGUUUACAUUAAUUAGUUAGUUAGUCGGAUUUUUUUAUUAUUAUUUAUAUUUCUUCUAACGUUUUCUUUUGAGUUGUCAUUCUUUUAAGUUUUCCUAGCUCAGUCAGGUGUGUUCUCUCCAACUUUCUCUUUUAUUAUUUAUGUUUUUAUUUUUCAUCUUUUUGCGUGCAUAUCUUUUAUUUAUGACACAUUGAGGACAAUGUUCCGAAUAAGUUUGGGGGUGGGAAUAAUGUUGCUUUGUUUGUUAAAAAAAACUAAAAAAAAAUUUCAAAAAUUCAAAAAAAAAUUGUGUUUUUUUUGUUUUUACGUGAAAAGCCAAUGAUAAAAACUUGAUUGACAAUGAAUAUGGUUUUUAGAAAGGGUUUAAUAUUGUCUUAAUUUAUACUUGAUUCUUAUGUUAGUUCCUCUUGAUUGAGAUUCUUUAAAAUAUAAGCACUAAUAUCAAUUCUUUCAUAAUUUUGACUUGAAAUUUGAGAUUGACGCAGCCUGAGUUGAGAAUUUUAGAUAGAGUAAAUGACUGUUUGUCUUUAUUCUUAUCUCCACAAUACAAAAUAGUAUACACAGGCACCAAAGUCAGAAAUAACUACCUAUAAUCCUUAAGAGUGAAGCUAUCCUUGAGUAAUUUAGGCCUAUGUACCACAAGUAUGUAGAGGAUAAUCUACCAUGAGAAGAAUGCUACCUUAAGGGGUAGAGUGAAAGCUCCUGACUAUGGUUAAAAAAAAAAGAAGAAGAAAAAGAGAAAGAAAAAAUCAAAUCAAGUGCAUGUGCUGAAAAAAAAAUCAAAAGAAAAUGCACAUAAAAGCCUGUGAAAAAAAAAUUGGAGAUUAAGAUGAUAAGAUUAGCUUGACCUACUCUUUUCUUUUUUUGAGGCGAAGGUUGUUGAUAUUGAAGAUUUUAGGAAUGAAUUUGAUUGAAUUGAUUUCACACACACACAACAAGAAUCGAAAGAGAGAUGGGAUUGAUUAUUGAAUUAAAGUUAGAACUUUGCCAAUAUUUGAAAUUUUGUUUGAGCUAUAUAAUUUAUGCAAUCUUUGAGGGUAUUUUCAUAUUUUAUUUAAAGUUUUUUUUUCUUUUUAUUUUAUUUUAUUUAUUUUUUAUUUUUUUAAAAUGAUGUUUGUGGGUGUCAUCACUGAAGCUCUCACGAGACUAUAACUCGUCCACUAGGGGUUUAAAGGCUUGUUGCAUACGCUAAAUGCAAUCGCGAUUACCUGCGAAAAUGGUUUAGUUAGGAUUUACUUUUUGUUUUGUUAUUUUUUUUUUUUUUUUUAGUUUUAGCUUUGCUCGAGGACUAGCAAAAUCUAAGUUUGGGGGUAUUUGAUGAGCAUAAUUUAUAUACAUAUUUUACCUUUAAUUAUAUAAUUAUUAGUUAUCUUUAUUAGUUAUUUUUAAUUAAUUGAAUUAUUUUAUUGCAUAGGGAAUUAAUUGGAGAUUGGGAAACAAAAAGUGCAUAAAGAAUAACAAGUUUGGGAAAGCAUCAAUCAAAGCCAUGACACAAUUAAGAGUUUAUAGCAUAUGAAGGCAAGAGUAAUUUGCACUAAAAAAGAAUUUCAAUUAUUCAAGUGAUCUGGACGUGCAUAGUAUUGUAAUGCAUGGAAAGCAACUUAAAGGGGCCCACACUUGGCUUUUACAAUUGGAAAAAGGAAUCCUAGUGCAAGCUUAAUUGGUGAGCACGUGAGUGAGAGCAAAGAAAAUUAAAAGGCCAAGCCUUUUGGCUUAAGGAAAUAACAAGGUCGGUGGGGCCCAUUUUAAAGAGUAAUAUAAAAGCAAGCUUUUGGCUUUUGGAGAGAGAAGCCGCCAGAGGAGGAAAACGCGAGACAAAGAGAAGAAAAUAUGCCGCAGUUCGACUUCUAUGGUUGGUUUUAUCUCUUUUGUUACUCUUAAUUCAAGUAUGUCUAGCUAAUUUUCUUAUAUUGAAGUUAAGGAUGAAAUCAUAUUCAAUGAAAUAAUUAUCUUUUUAUUUAUUUAAUUCCCAUAUAUGUUCUUUAAUGAUUAUGAUUUUUAUUUCACAUGAUUAAUUGGAUGUUAUUAAAAUCUUUUCAUCAAUUCUGUCAUAUAUUAUUGAUUGUUAUGAUUAAUAUUAAAUUAAAUCUAUACUUGGAUUUAUAAAGUUUAUACAUGAUUAUCUUUGAUUCUAUGUCUUUCAUUAAAUUGUUUACAUGGAGUGCCUAGGAAAACUUUGACUCUUUGUUAUUCAAUAUGUUCACAUGGGAUACUUAGAUGUCGUACUAUUAAGCGGAAAAAGAACCUAUAUUAGAUUUAAUUAUUUGGGCUUAAUUGUUAUAUCCAUGAGAUGACAUAGAUUGAUUUCGAGUUGUCACUCUAAAAUUGGGGAUUAAUGAAUAUUUAGAUAAUUACUAGUUGAAUAGUGGUGGAUUCUGAAACCUUGGUAAUUUCUAUCUUAUUGAAUUCUCCUUUACUUUAAUUGUUUUCUUAGUUUAAUUAGUUUAAUUUCUCUUAAAACUCAAUUCGCUCAACUAGGUUAGAAUUAAUAUUAAUUUUAGAUUUAAAUUAGACUUUUCAAUUUAUAACAAUCCCUGUGGGAUCGACCUCGUUACCACUACUCUAUUUCUAGAUUCGUGCGCUUGCGAGUAUAUUAAAAUUUUCACAACAUUCGGCACUCUCACUCCUUAAGAGAGGUCAGGGGUUCAAGCCUCGCUCUCGUAUGGAGUCACCACUUUGACCAGCACUUUACCCCUUACAGACCGACCCGGUGCGAGCAUGAAUUAGUCUGGGUUGUGGUACGGGCUUAAAGGUGCCUCCCACAAUUGAGACCCACUCAGGACCACCUCGUGGUUCGGACAAAAAAAAAAUUGAAAUAAAUUAUCUCAAAAUAAUUACUAACCAGAAAAAACAAAGGGGUUUAACUAGGUUAUGCAUACCUUUGAAAAUUAUAUGUUGAUCGAUAAGCAUGAUGAUCACGAUUGAGGAGUUUAAUUAAAAUUUAUAAGAUUUUAAAAUUAAUCAGGGUUAAAUUCUAAAUUUUAGAAAGAGAGGUUUUGUGAGAAUGCUGAAAGGGUGUUAAUAGUUCCACUCUUUUUUAAAAAAACCAUAGUCAUCAUUUUUCCCGAUUUCUUCUUCCCAUCUCCAUCUUAUUUAGAAAUUUCCCAGAGCCUUUGUUUCCCACCAUUCAUUUUUCUUCUUUCUAAUUUAAGAUUAUAGUAUUAUAAAAAUAAUUACUCACAUUUUAUCAAACACCUCCAUUAUACCAAGGCCUUGUUUUAGUAGUAGGCUUUUAUUAUCUCAAUAAAAUUGAAAAAACAAAGCUCAAUAAUAUUGGAAAAAAAACCUACCCAUAUUUGUAACUUUAAUUUAUUAUUCUCCAUAGACCUACUUUUUAGCUUUGAAUUUUGUUGGAGCCAUAUAUAAACAGAAUAUGUUGAAAUCAGCACAAAAAAAAAACUAAUUAUAUAAUUUUUGUUCCCAAGGACACGACUGUGUGAUUUUUAAGAAGUUUUGUUUGGCUGGCCACUUAGGUUUAAAUCUUGGUGGAGAUUAGGGGUUAAGAAAUAAAUUUGGACUUUGCACACCCCUUUAACUUUUAAAAAGAAUGAAAAAAACUAAUUAAUUAAUCUUUAUUUUAUUUAUUAAAUGUCAUAAUCAUAUGCAUAUUUUAUUUGUUAUCUUUCUAUUUAAAAGAUAGGAGGGCAAAUAAAACUGAAAUAAAUGUUUAUCCCUAUCUCCAUCUUUCAAGUUCCAUAGUUAGGUGACCAGCUAAAGAAAAUUAAUUGAAAGUUACUCCAUCAAAUUAAAAAAAAUUAUUUAUUUAAUUUGUGGAGAUGUAGAAAAUCAAACCCCAUACCUUUUCGCAUGCAAAAGUGUCAACCUGGUCUAGCUAUGUUGCAACAGUAAACAUAUUUUAAUACAUGACUAUCAUCUUUUAUCCUAAAUACUACUAUAACUAUGGGUUCAGUUAUGCUGUAACUGUGGUAUGGUACCACAGUUGUUUUCAACCAUUAAAUUCAACUUAUAUAACUAUGCAACUGUAGAUCUAACGGCUGAAAGCAACUAUGGUACCAUACCACAGUUGCAACAUAGUUUUGCCCCUAUAACUCAUAACAUUCAAUUGAAAUAAUAAAUGUUAACACUUGGCUAUAAAUAAAGGUUUUGUACUUGAAUCUUCAUGCAUGACCUUCAUUCCUUUAUUGACUUUGCUAACACAGAUUUUGAGGCAUUAAAACUAAAUAAUAAUUGACUUUGUGGGCCGAGGAUGCCAGCAACAAGGAGACCACAAUUAUCACUAGUUAAGUUACUCUAAUUGCCGUUGUCUUAUAUUCAUAAAAUAUUAGUAAUAAGAUUAUUGUAGAAUUUUUUUAUAUUAAAAUUAAGUCAAUUUGUUAUAACAAAUUUAGUUGAGUUUAAUCGUGUUACUACAUACAUUGAAUAAUAAUAGAAUUCUCGACAAAUAUUUCAAUAUUUUUAUCCCAAGCGUUGGAGUGGCAUUUAUUUGUUAGACAAUCGAUUUUAGAACUUAUAAAAUUAUUCGUUACUGAAUUGCACCAUAUGCUGCAUGACCUGAAACUUAAUAAACGGAACGUAGCGUUGGCAACAUUCACUGUCAUGACUUUGUGACAUUAGAAUUAAAUUUUUUUGCACAUUUAAUUUGUUUACUUCCAAAUUAAUAUUUAACAAAAUAUUUUUUCACAUUAUCAAUGGACAAAACUCCAACGAAAAUAACUAUACAAUAUAUGCUAGUAUUGUAUGCCAUAUCAUCUGUAAUUUUGUCAGGAUCGAUCAUUUUAAUUUUUAAGCAAAACUUUUUAUCAAUGGACAAACACCUCACACAGCUUGUCAGAGGCAUUAUUAUGAUGGAAAACUGAUAAACAGUGAACUCGAAACUCAAUUACUACAAGUCGUUUAGAGGAUUCAGUCUUGGAUGACUUGUCACUUGUGGAAUUCUUGAAGCCAGAACCGACAUAAUCUCAGUCGUCAUUCUGUCUUAAGUAAUACACAUGGUUUGCAUGUGUGUUGAAGCUGACUCUUUGCUUGGAUCAAGAAACGACGUCUUUGAGUGCCGUUUCUUAAACACACUUUAAAUCAGCUUGUGUCAAGCACGUGAGGUAGAGCUUUUUGAAUAGAUUUGGCGGGAAUGGUAGUUAGUGUAACAACCCAGAAAUAGAGGUUAAAAGGUGAAGGCUUUGUCAUCAUCUACACAUGAUUUGGGAAACAUUGAGAGUAGAGAAAAAGAUAGAGAGAGAAAGGGGUUAACAAGUUCUUGUUCUCUGUAAAUCGAUUUAUAUUCUUGUAAAGUUUGUGAUCUCAAUUAGUGAAAGACUGUUGCUUUGUUUCCAGUGGAUGUAGGCACCACUUCUUGGUGCUGAACCACUUAUACUUGGUGUCAUAUUGUUUCUUUAAUGCUUUGAUUCUUGCGUGUGAUUGUUGCUGGAUAAUCUGUGCUGUUAAUUCUCAAACCAUUGAUACAGAAUUAAUGUCUUGGGGAGAAUUUGGUUAGUCUUAUCAAAGCCGAAUUCACAACAAAUUGGUAUCAGAGCCCUCUUUUCUGUAUCAAGGUUCAAGAAAUGACUAACAAGGUGGAUCUUGAGAAGUUCAAUGGUCAGAAUGAUUUCAAUAUGUGGAGGAUCAAGAUGGAAGCAUUGUUAAUCACACAAGGUCUGGGAGAUGCCAUUGAUCCAGUCAUUAAGAGUGAAAAUGCAGAAGCCUAUUCUUCAAGAACUCCAGAACAGAUGGCUAAGAUUGAAAAAAAGGCAAGAAGCACCAUCAUCCUCAGUCUUGGUGACUUAGUGAUAAGGGAAGUUGCCAAGAAAAAGACUGUUGCUAGGCUCUGGGCAAAACUGGAACAAUUGUAUAUGACAAAGUCCUUAGCAAACAGGCUAUACAUCAAGAAAAAGAUGUUCUCACUGAGGAUGAUUGAAGGAGCAUCACUUGAUGAACACAUAGAUGAGUUUAAUAAAGUUUGUGAUGAACUGGAAACAAUUGAUGAAGGACUGAGUGAUGAGAGCAAGGCUUUGCUGUUAAUCAGUUCUUCACCAAAAUCAUAUGAACAUUUUGUGGAUGCCUUGUUAUAUGGAAGGCAAUCACUCUCCUUGGAAGAGGUUAAAUCUACUCUUGGUACCAAGAAGUUAAAAGAAAAACAAGAUAACUCAGAGAGUGAAUCAAGUGAAGGGCUGAUGGCAAGGGGCAGAUCUGAAAAAAAGGAGUACAAAGGAAAAAAACAAGGGAGAUCAAAGUCAAAGCAGAAACAUUUGAAGUGUUUUCACUGCCACAAAGAAGGGCAUUUCAAGAGGGAUUGCCCUGAGAGAAAAACAAAGCAAAAGGAAUCAAAAGACAAAUCUGGAAAUACAGCAAUAGCCACAGAAGAAACCAGUUUUGAGAUAGCUGAAGUCCUCAUUGCCACAAAAGAAAAAAACUCAAGGUCAGUGGGUACUAGACUCUGGAUGUACUUUUCAUAUGAGUCCAAAUAGAAAUUACUUUACUACAUAUCAGUCCUGUGAUGGGGGUAUGGUGCUGAUGGGAAAUAAUUCAGUUUGUAAAGCAGUUGGGAUUGGGACUGUAAGCCUUAAGAUGUAUGAUGGCAUGGUUAGAGAACUAACUCAGUUUAGGCAUGUUCCUGAGCUUAAAAGGAACCUAAUAUCUAUUGGCAUGCUUGAUCAAACUGGAUGUGUCAAUAAGGCUGAAAAUGGGUCAUUGAAAGUUAUCAGAGGCUCAAUAGUCAUAAUGAAAAGUUCCAAGCAAAAUGGUUUGUAUGUGUUGAAUGGACAUACAACUGUUGGAGAGGCAAGUGUCACUGAGAAGAGUGAAGACAAAGCAAGACUAUGGCACUUGAGGUUGGGGCAUAUGAGUGAAAGGGGAUUGAAGGAGCUUCAAAAGAAUGGGGUGUUUGGAAGUGACAAGCUAAGUUCUUUGGGGUUCUGUGAAGACUGUAUCCUAGGGAAGGCUUCCAAUCUCAAGUUUGAAUCUGCAGUUCAUUCUACCAAAGAGAAGCUUGCAUAUAUACACUCUGAUAUGUGGGGGCCUGCACAGGUAAAUUCUCUUGGUGGCUUUAAGUAUUUCUUAUCCUUAAUAGAUGACUAUUCAAGGAUGGUUUGGGUGUAUGUACUCAAAACCAAAGAUGAAGCUUUGGAAAAGUUUUAGAGGUGGAAAAUUCUGGUAGAAACACAGACAAGUUUGAAAGUAAAAGCUCUAAGAACAGAUAAUGAAUUGGAAUUCUGCAACAAAGAGUUUGGAGACUUUUGUAAAAGACAUGAGAUUAUGAGGCACAAAACAGUCAUACACACACCUCAGCAAAAUGGUUUUGCUGAGAGAAUGAACAGAACCUUAAUGGACAAGGUGAGGUGUAUACUGCUAUACUCAAAGCUGCCUAAGUCACUCUGGGCAGAGGCCUUAAACACAGCAUGUUACUUGGUAAAUAUAAGUCCAUCUACAGCAAUAGAAUGCAAAACACCUAUCGAGCUAUGGUCUGGAAGGGUUGCAGAUUACUUUAAACUGAGAAUCUUUGGAUGUGUUGCUUAUGCAUAUGUCAAACAAGGCAAAUUGGAGCCAAGAGCUUUAAGGUGUAGAUUUCUAGGAUACCCUGAUGGAGUUAAAGGCUAUAGGCUAUGGUGCAUUGAUUUGAAGCCACCAAAAUGCAUUAUCAGCAGGGAUGUAACUUUCAAUGAGUCAGAAAUCUUGAACAAAUCCAAAACCACUUAAUCCAAAGAUCAUAUAUCAGAAACAAGACCUGGGAGUGUUCAGUUUGAGGUGGAGUCCUAUGAACAAGAUAGGACUGAAUCAGAAACUGAAGGAGAUUCAGGAAGGGUUACUGAUGGAUUUGAUGUUGUUCAGGAGUCAGAGCCAGCUGAGAAUGAAGAUAAUUCUUAUCAGUUGGUCAGGGAUAGAAAGAAGAGAGCUGUAAGACCACCUAAGAGGUAUACAAUAGCAGAUUUCAUAGCUUAUACAUUAACAGUUGCACAAGAGGUAAAUGAGGAAGAGCUAAGAACCUAUAAAGAAGCUAUAAACAGCAUGGAUAAGAUGAAAUGGAAGGAGGCUAUGGAUGAGGAAAUUGAAUCACUAAUGAAAAAUGGAACUUGGAAGCUGAUAGUUAGACUAGAAAAAAGGAAGACUGUUAGCUGCAAAUGGAUCUUCAAAGUUAAGGAAGGUAUAUCUGAUGCUGAACCUAGUAGGUUUAAAGCUAGGCUGGUAGCAAGAGGCUUCACACAAAGAGAGGGGAUUGAUUUCCAUGAAAUCUUCUCUCUAGUUGUGAAACAUGCCUCCAUCAGAGUCAUCUUAGCUUUAGUUGCCAUUCAAGACAUGUACCUGGAGCAUAUGGAUGUUAAAACAGCCUUCCUGCAUGGUGAAUUACAAGAAGAAAUUGUAAUGGAACAGCCUGGGGGGUAUGUGGUGUCUAGUAAGGAAAAUCAUGUGUGCUUACUAAAGAAAUAUUUAUAUGGAUUAAAGCAGUCUCCUAGGCAAUGGUACUUGAAGUUUGAUAGUUUUAUGACAAAACAUGCCUACAAGAAAUGCAAUUAUGAUUGUUGCGUGUACUUUAGGGACAUUGGUGAUGGAAAGAUGAUUUAUCUUAUGCUGUAUAUGGAUGACAUGCUUAUAGCAUGUCACAGCAUAGAUGAAAUCAGUCAUUUAAAGAAUCUCUUGAGCAGUGAAUUCGAUAUGAAAGAUCUUGGAGCUGUAAGGAAGAUCUUAGGUAUGGAAAUUAUCAGAGACAGGAGAAGGAAGCUUAUGUUUUUAACCCAACAGAGCUAUGUUAAGAAGGUGUUGCUUAGAUUUGGGAUGCAUGAAUCCAAGUCUGUUCAAACACCUUUGGCAAAUCACUUCAAGCUGUCUGCUGCACAUUGUCCACAAACUGAUGCAGAGCAAGGAAAAAUGGCAAGGAUACCUUACUCCAGUGCAGUUGGGAGCCUCAUGUAUGCCAUGGUUCUCACUAGACAUGAUAUCUCACAUGCUGUGAGUAUAGUGAGUAGAUUCAUGGCAAAUCCAGGUUAUGAGCAUUGGAGGGCAGUCCAGUGGAUAAUGAGGUACCUGAAAGGCACUAUGGAGUUUGGUCUGCUAUAUGGAGGGUUAAAACAGGAAGGGCACAAGCUGGUGGGGUAUGUUGACUCAGACUUCGCUGGAGAUCUUGAUAAAAGGAGGUCUCAGACAUGUUUUAUAUUCACUUUGGGAGGCUGCACUGUGAACUGGAAAGCUACUCUGCAAAGUGUGGUAGCUUUGUCCACAACUGAAGCCGAAUAUACAGCAGCUGCAGAAGCUUUUAAGGAAGUCAUCUGGUUAAAAGGAAUGGUCUCAGAGUUAGGAGCAAAACAAGAAACAGUUGAAGUAUACUGUGAUAGCCAGAGUGCAAUACAUUUGAGUAAAAACCAGACCCAUCAUGAAGGAACAAAACAUAUUGAUGUAAAGCUUCAUUUUGUAAGACUUGAAGUUUCAAAGGGAACUGUGAAGAUGCUCGAGGUUCACACUGAUCAAAAUCCAACCGAUAUGUUGACUAAAGCUGUGCCUUCUGCCAAGCUCAACUUCUGUUUGAGCUUAGCAGGAAUUUGCAGUUUCUGAUCAGCUGCAAAAGAAAGGGAAUAAAGUAUACAGGAGUAGCUAGAGUUCAGAGUUCACACUGAUUAAAAGGUGCAGGCUUUGUCAUCGUCUACACAUGAUUUGGGAAACACAGAGAGUAGAGAAAAAGAUAGAGAGAGAAAGGGGUUAACAAGUUCUUGUUCUCUGUAAAUCGAUUUCUAUUCUUGUAAAGUUUGUGAUCUCAAUUAGUGAAAGAUUGUUGCUUUGUUUCCAGUGGAUGUAGGCACCACUUCUUGGUGCUGAACCACUUAUGCUUGGUGUCAUAUUGUUUCUUUAAUGCUUUGAUUCUUGCGUGUGAUUGUUGCUGGAUAAUCUGUGCUGUUAAUUCUCAAACCAUUGAUACAGAAUUAAUGUCUUGGGGAGAAUUUGGUUAGUCUUAUCAAAGCCGAAUUCACAACAAAAACUGUAAUGGUAUAUCUUGAAUUAUUGGUAGAAUAGUUCUUUGGAGCAAUAAAAACAGAUAAGACAGAUGAGAAAAUUGUCAAUACCCCACCGCAAAAGCAAAAGAAAACAAGGAAAGGAGACAAAAGAGGAAGAAGAAAAAGAAAAAAGAACGAAGAAAAAAAUGGUGCCGUGCGGUAUAGGCAAGAAGAAAAAAUAAUAAAAAAUAAUAAAAUAAUAGUGCACAACAAUCAUUUGAUUGCUAUAAAUAAAAGGCGUUUCCCUCAUUUUAUUCAUCGAAUUCUUCAGUUCCUUUCAAGCGAUUUAAGAGUCUAGUGAUUUGAGAGUUUGGGUGUAGUAUGAUUUUGGGUAGUGAGCUAAAAUACUACAAUACUUGUAACUCAUUUUUAUUAGUAAAAUAUUUUCCUUCUGACUUCGCCCGUGGACGUAUGCUAAAAGCCGAAUCACGUAAUUUCUGGUGUCCCUAUGUGAUUAUGUGUCUCAUUAUUUCUUAAUUUCACUUUAGUUGCGUGUCUGCGACACCCCUCAAUUUAUUAACAAAAAAUGGCCAAAAUUAUAUAAGUGACCCAAAUUUUUUUGUUAUUUCCAAGAAAUCCCCAAUCUGAAUGGGCUAGACCAGAGGGAGGCAAGUUAGAAAUACAUUUCCUUCAUAGACAAUAACAGUGAUGAGUCGAUGACAUCAAGCCACGUCGGUAUCAAUAUUGAAUUAAAGGUGCAAUUAUUCAGCCAAUGAACCUUACACAUCAAGAUAAAAGUCAAGAAAAUGAAAAUUUAUCCCAAUUAAAACACUUUCUGGCUGCAUUUAGUUGUUUCCAUUAGAAGUUAAAAACAACGUUUCUUUCGUUUUGUGGGCAACUCAACUGAGUUAGCUGGCUUCUAGUGCUAGUAUGUGAAAAUAGAAGGCUAAUGAUUUAUUUAUUAUCUUUUGACAAAAUUAUUAAAGAUAUAAUAGAUUUUCUAUGAUACAAGUGAAAAAUCACAUCAACAUAGCUUUCAAUCUACAGCAGCUAGCGUUUACCAAACACUUUGUUGUAGCUUUUAAGCUAUAGCUGCCCAACCUCAAUCUCAAACGCACCCUUAAUAGGUUGAUUGAAUUUGUGAGAUAUGGAUUCCACAUAUCUCAUGACCUAGUAAUUAUACAAGUGGUUCGUGAUCAAGACACAACAUUUGCUUCCGGCCUAGUGACCCAGCAAUCGCUGCACUGGUCGCCACCUAUGGUGCCGACGAUAUUGCAUGGUCCAAUUGUGGCCUUGAAUGGAAAAAGUUGAGCAAAUUAUUUGUGGACACGAUGAUAAGUAACGCAAGCCUUGAUGCUAGUUAUGGUCAAAGAAAACAAGAGGUUAAGAAUACUAUCAGAGAUAUUCAUAACAACAAAAAGGAAAAAAAAAAGGCAUUUGCAAGCCCAUUGAUAUUGGUGAAUUGUCGAUUUCAACUUUGGCAUGUGUAAUCCAGAACCUGCGCGCUGUGGUAUGGCGCUGGCACGCUUGCAUUAACGAGGGGACAAGUCUUGGGGCUGAGCUAACAUUUAAGCUCGCAGAACUCAUGGUGCUAAUGGGAACACCAAAUAUUUUUUUGACAUAUUUUGGUGCUUUCAUGGUUUAAUUCAAGGUAUAGAAAGGAGUGUUGAGAAUGUCAAAUAAAACGGCAUUGAAUGGAAGUUGUCAAAGACACGAUCCGCACCGAACGGCAACGACACGGUUGCUAAAAAUCCUUCCAUAAUAUGCAUAUCUAAUUUUUUAAAAAGUGUAACCUCUGCAUUUAUAAAUAUACUCAAUGUAUAAUGUUUUACUUAAGAAAUGAAAAACUUGUUUGUUCAAGGAGAAUAAAGAAAAUUUUUCUAUGAUUUUUUUAUGGUUUGAACAAAGAAGGUUUUAAUGAGUAUUAUAGACCUCGAUUGAAUGUUCGAAUGUAUAAUAAAAGAGAAACUGUCACAUAAAUGACAAAGAUACUUGGAAAAAAAAAAAGGGCAGCAAUAGAGAAUUAGAUUCGACUGCACAAAUAACUAGUUAAUUCAUCAAUACAUCAUUUUCUUGCUAGAAAAUGACAAUUAUGACAGCAAGCCACGAUAGUGUCAAUAUUGAAAUUGAUUUGCAAUUAUUCAGCCAAUGUGCCUUACACGUCAAGAUAAAAGUCAAGAAAAUGAAAGUUAAUAUCAAUUAAAACACUUCCUGGGCCGCAUUUAGCUCCAGUUUUUGUGGUAGGAAAACAAAGUUUUGUUUUAAAUUCACAUGGUGUGCACUUCCUAUAUAAAUCUAGAGUUGUGUCCCACGUUGAACAAUAAAGGAAAGUCACCUAAAUAUACAUGUAGGAUAAGUUACUUUAUUUAGUAAGUUUGUAUUUUCUUCUUUCUUCUAGUUUACAUAUAAAUUUGAUUAGAUAACUUAACACAUAUUUUAAUACUUGAUCAGAAGCCCUACGUACAGGUGGAUCUAGAAACUUGAUUUCUAAGAGUAAUACUAUAAUAAAAAAAUAAUGAUUCAUAGAACCAAUAUCAAAAUUUGUUUACAAGAUUACCCCCACUCAAAGGUAAUUUUCAUAGAAAUUAAUAGGAAAUUUAAUUGUUAGUGGGGUCAAAUUGCCCCCACACUCUGAAUGUAGAUCCACGCCCGACCCUGAGUCAAGUAUAUUUUGCCACAUAUACUCUGAAUGUCGGCAGGAAAAAUCUUCCACUUUAGUUUAAAAUUUUCACUUAAAAUUUAUUUACGUUAAUAAAGUUGGUAAAGGAAAUGAGUUUAAUUAAAGAAUAUUAUAGGAGAAAUUCUAUUGUUUGGCUUUUAAUAAAUUAAUUAAUAGGUUUAAAAAGAUUAAUAUACAUCAAAAUAUUAUUAGUUGGUGGUGGUUCCACAUCGGACUAAGACGUGGCACCUUACUUGUGAGAUUAAGACAAUCAGGCUUAGACUAUUUAAAUAUGUUUGAAGCUUAGAUGGCACCGCUUCAAUUUGCAUUAAUGAAUGUCAUUCUUUACCCUAAUUACUACGUAAUUGAUAACAUGCAAUUGAAAUAACUAAUAUUAGCACUUGGCUAUAAAUGAACUAAAGGCCGUGCAAUUGAAUCUUUACUUGAUCACUUCAUUCCUUUAUUUUGCUAACACAGAUUUUGAGAUAUUAAAACGAAAUAAUAAUUGAAUCUGGCUUUGUGGGUCGAUGAUGCCAGCAACAACGAGACCACAAUUAUCACUUGUUUAUUUGCUGUAUUUGACGUUGUUUCAUAUUGGUAGUAAUAACUAAUAAGGUCGUUGUAGAGUUUUUAAUCUUUUUUUUUAUAUUAAUCACGAGGUAUCCUGGGGAGGGCCCCAACUGUGGGAGGCACCUUUAAGCUCGUACCACAACCCAGACUAGAAGUCCCCGCUCGAACCGGGAGGCACAGUUUUUAAUCUUUUUUAUAUUAAAGUUAAGUCAAUUUGUUAUAAAUAAAUAAAAAAUUGGUUGAGUUUAAUUAUAUUGCUAUGUACAUUAAAUAAUUAUAAUAUUCUCGAGGGAAAAAGACACCUAGAACCUCAAGGUUUGGGGAAAUGGUCACAAAAACUCCUAAGUUUUAAAAAAGGAACACUAAAAUCUUUUUUUACCCAUAAUACCCUUUGACUAUAGUAAUUAGAAAAUUGACUUUAAAGGUUUUUAAAUAAUACAAAUUUAAUAUAAAUCAUAUAAUCUAUCUAGUACACUAAUAAUAUUAAAUUAUUUUUUAUAUUUAAAAUAAUGUUAAAAAAUUUAAAUUAUUAUAUUUAUUUUAAUAAUAUAUUUAUAAAAUUAUAAAGAUUUUAAAUAAAUCUUUGGAUUGAAUAUAUUUUACAAUUAAAAGUCUUCCUAUUAAUAAUAUUAAAAUUAAAUUUUAAGUAAUAUAUAUUCAAAAUAUUUUUAAUUUAAUUUUAUUUAUUUUAAUAUUAUGUUUCUAUCUAUUAUUAAAAAUUACUUUAAUAUAAUAAAAUAGGUCUAAUAGAUUGAAAAAUAUGAAAAUAUUUUUAAAAUUUUAAAUUAUUUUGAAAUGUAUAUAUUAUUACAUUUAUUUCAAUGUCAUAUUUCCAUUUAUUAUAAAAUUUUGGGGUUAUUUUUUUGGGAAUUUAUAGAGUCAAAGAGCAUUAUGGUUAAAAAAGAGUCUUGGUGUCCCUUAUUGAAAACUUUAGAGUUUUUGUGACCAUUUUCCUAAAUCUUGGGGGUGUUGAAGUGGCACUUAUUGUAAGAUUGAUUUUAAAAUAUGUAAAAUUAAUUUUAUUACAUUACCAUAUGCUACAUCACCUGAAACUUAAUAAAUGGAACGUAGCAUUACUCCACGUUCACCGUUAUGACCUUAUGACAUUAGAAUUAAAAUCUUUCGUACGUUUAAAUUGUUUACUUCCAAAUUAAUCUUUCGUAAAUAUUUUGUACAGAUCUUAUCGGAGUUAGCGUGUUCAUUACAGUGUUUCUUUUCUUUUAUCCUUUCUUUUGAAACGUAUUUCCUGUGGACAAGGAAAGCAAAUAAUACCCUGCCACCAGGACCUCGCGGCUUGCCUGUAAUCGGAUACCUUCCAUUUCUCGGAAUUACUGACUUACACAAGACAUUCACGGAAUUAGCUGGUCUAUAUGGCCCGAUCUUCAAACUCUGGCUUGGCAACAAAUUGUGUGUAGUGGUUAGCUCGCCUUCAACUAGUUCUAUAAGAAUAUCCCUUUUAAGGGAUUCUCUCUCUGCAAAAUUUUUUUAUCUUCUGGUGCAUAAUAAAAACUUAUGCCACUUCAUUAACCACAGAUAUCUUUUGAGGAAACGAUGUUUCGUUUUCUUUUGUUUUUUCCUUCCUAAUCCUCGCAUAUCGUGUGAAGGCUAAUAUAUCCAAGAAUCUAAAUCUCUGUAAAUCUUUUUCUAUCCAAAUCUACAUAAUAAUUUAAUCCAUGCACAAUAUCUAUAAUUAUAUCGGCUGUCGGCUGAUUUCGUGGAGGGGGCGGCAGUUCAAAUUUUUUACGUGCAUGUUGGAUGGACGUCUCUAUUAAAGGAGAGCCACCACUUGCAUGGUAAUUUUUUUAAAUAAAUAUAUACAUUUCAAAAUAUUAUUUCAUUGUUGUAUAGUUAACAUGUCACCUUAGAUGUAUUUUAGAACUUCUCCUAUUAAAGAUAAUCUCAUGCAGUGAUACUUCUCGUGAUCUAAUCAUUAGUAGAAUCUAUAAUUUCGCUACUGUAAUAAAAUCUGUCCCUACCCUAUAUGAAUGUAGAUAUUUGACGCGAUUUGUAAUUGCUUCCGACAGGAAAACAGCAAUAGUUUAAUUGAAAUUUGUGGUAUGGAUUCCACGAAUCUUAUGACAGAAUACUGACCACUCCAACCCUAUCCACAUUUACACGAUUAAAACACAAGCUUAGAUGUGACAAUGCAUUUGUCACUUUUGUUCAAAUUCAUCCUGAAACACUAUACACUAAAUAAUCGAAUAUGGCUUCGUGGGUCGAUGAUGCUAGCAGCAACGAGACUGCAAUUAUCACUUGUUUUGUUGCUGUACUUGUCGUGGUCUAUUUCGCAUGGAAUGUAAACAAAUCAAGUAAAGCAAAUGCUAAAUUGCCACCAGGAUCUCGGGGCUUGCCAGUAGUCGGAUACCUCCCAUUUCUUGGAACUACUGACUUACACAAGACAUUCACGGAGUUAGCUGGAGUUUAUGGUCCGAUCUUCAAGAUUUGGCUUGGGAAUAAAUUGUGUGUAGUGGUGAGCUCGCCUACCCUAGUUAAACAAGUGGUCCGUGAUCAAGAUAUAACAUUCUCAAACCGCGACCCACCGAUCGCUGGAACUGUGACCACCUACGGUGGCAAUGAUAUUGCACUUUCCAAUUAUGGUCCCGAAUGGAAAAAGUUGCGAAAAUUAUUUGUGAGCAAGAUGAUGAGUAAUGCAACCCUUGAUGCUUGUUAUGCUCUAAGAAAACAAGAGGUUAAAAAUACUAUCAGGGAUUUGUACAACAACAAUAAGGAUAAUAUUGGCAGUGGCAAUGGCAAGCCCAUUGACGUUGGUGAAUUGUCGAUUUCAACUUUGGUACGUGUUAUGCAGAACAUGCUGUGGGGUCAAGCAUUGGAAACAAGAGAGAAAGAGAUUACUAAUCUCGGGGCUAAUCUUGCAGAACUCAUGGUGCUACUGGGAACACCAAAUAUUUCGGAUAUUUUUCCAGUGCUUUCAUUGCUUGACAUGCAAGGUAUAGAGAGAAGAGCUAAGAAGAUUUCUCUAUGGUUUGAAAACAUUAUCAAUUCUGGUGUUGAACAGUAUAGAAACAAGUUUUCUGUUGUUAAAGGUGAAGAAGCUGCAGCAGGAAAAAAUAUUGAACGAUCAAGAAAUAAGGACUUCUUGCAGUUACUGUUGGAGCUUCAGGAAAAUGAAGAUAGUGCUUCAUCUAUUAGCAUGAACCAACUAAAGGCCGUGCUCGUGGUAUGUUAAGCAACUAGACACAAAAAGUUGUAAAAGCACAGUGAUAUAUUUGCGCGAGGCCGCGAGUGAUGUUUUGCCUCGAGAACUCUCAAUUUUAUCUUACGGUAAAAAAUGUUUUUCAACUUUUUUUAAUUAGAAUUUUAUUGCAAUUUAUUUAACAGGACAUAAUUGUGGCCGGAACCGACACCACAACUACGAUGGUGGAAUGGACAAUGGCAGAGUUGAUGCAACAUCCACAAGUAAUGAAGAAAGUUCAAGAAGAAUUAGCUCAAGUUGUGGGCAUGGACAGUUGUGUUGAAGAAUAUCACUUGCCUAAAUUAAAUUAUUUAGAUGCUGUGGUGAAAGAAACAUUUCGUUUGCAUCCUGCGUUGCCCUUAUUGGUACCUCGCACGGCAAGCGAGAACAGCAAUAUUGGUGGCUAUACCAUUCCCAACGACACUAAUUUUAUGUUGAAUGUUUGGGCUAUUCACAGGGAUCCUCAACUUUGGGAUAAUCCCUUAGAUUUUCGACCUGAGAGGUUCUUGAAUGAUGAUAUCAUAAGCAAAUUCAAUUACUCGGGUAACAAUUUUCAGUACUUGCCAUUUGGUUCUGGUAGAAGGAUGUGCGCUGGCAUUCCUCUAGCUGAGAGGAUGUUGAUGCUUGUUCUGGCUUCGUUGUUGCACUUGUUUGAGUGGAAAUUGCCCCCGGGCACAAAGCUAGACUUAGCUGAAAAGUAUGGGAUUGUCAUGCGGAAAAAAGAGCCUCUGAUUGCUAUUCCAACACCAAGGCUACCAAAUUCAGAUCUCUACCAGUAAGAUCAAAAUGGUUGUGAUGAUAUUAUUUCCCAUUGUAUUGGAAUAUUUUUGUGUGAUUUGAAGUUCAAUCAUAAUAAAAUAUUUUAAUAAAAUGUCCUCGGUUGCUAAUUUUUCAAUAGUAUACUCUAUCAUCGUUUCUAACUGUCUUUUAGAGCCAUUUGGUCUAAUUUAUUUUUGAAUUAAAAUCCAUAAAUAUUUAAAUUUUUGAAUCAUAUUAAGAAUUAUCUGGAGUGUAUGGUCUGAUCUUCAAGUUCUGGCUUGUAAACAAAUUAGAGUUCUGAUAUUUGCCCCGGGUCAAACCCCGAAAUUAAAUAAAACGGCGUCGUUUUGUUUUUUUUUUUUUUUUUUUCUUUUUUACUUCUUCCAAACGUUGCCAUUUCACUUGUCAUUUGCAAGUGACUCCAUUGAUCCUUAGUUGAAACAGAGUUACACCGUAAAUCUCUUCCUCUUCGUUUCUUCGUUUCACCAGGGAACGAGACAGAUAAAAUCCAGCCAUUCUUCGACAUAACAAGAUAUCGAUUAGAAUCCAACGACAUAACUAUAAACCAUGACAUUGCGCUUGAUUUUGCGAAAUACCGAUUAAGAACCAGUAACUUUGAAUCCAAUGACCGUUAAGAGUUUGAAAUUGGUUUCAAAUGACUAAUGAGUUAUCAGAUUUCUUUGCGUCUACAUUUUCCUUGAAGGUUUCUCAGCAGCCAAACAAAUACAAAGCAAAUUGCAGAAGAAACACAUUUUGUUCCAAUGAAAAAUGUACGGAAACAUUUUAAAUAUGGAAAAUUACCUCAAAAUGAAGGCUCGCAAGAGAUUCGAGCAACAAAUUAGAUCAAAGGAACCGGCGCUGAGCAAGAAAGUGAGCUCAAAGAUUCCGAAACACAAACGUAAAUUCACAAAAAUGCAAAUCUAUGAUGAACGCCAAGAUCAAAAUUUUCGAAGAAAGGGAGCUGAAAAAAUAAAUGAAACGUCAAACUAGAUGACAAUGGAUUUGCUUCUUCAAAGGAGACAAUGAAAUUGUUACUAGAGACAGCUAGAGAAAUAGAGAGAGAGAGAGAGAGAGCUUGAAUUGGCUGUACCCCCACCAGAAAGUGGGUAGUGCCUUUUCCACUUGGACUUGAUAUGCGAAUCUGAAAAAAUCUGAACGAAGGACUGACUCAUCCCAGCUCGAAAGCAAACCAAGCUAGGACUGACUGAAAACGUUGCCGUUUGGAGAAGUUAAAAAAAAAAACUAAACAAAACGACGCCGUUUUGUUUAGUUUCGGGGUUUGACCCGGAAUUUGACCCGGGGCAAACAUCAUUUUCCAACAAAUUAUGCAUGGUCGUGUACACGCUUUCCCUAAUUAAGCAUGAGGUUCGUGAUCAAGGCACAACAUUCACUCCCUGCGACCCAACAAUCGCUACAUUGUUUGCCACCUAUAGUGCCAACGAUUUUGCACGGUCCAAUUAUGGUCCCCAAUCGAAAACGUUGCGCAAAUGUUUUCUGGGCAAGAUGAUAAGUAACGCAAGCCUUGAUGCUUGUUAUGGUCUAAGAAAACAAGAGGUUAAUAUAUAUAUAUAUAUAUAUAUAUAUAUAUAUAUAUAUAUAUAUAAAUUGGCAUUGUCAACUUUUGUAUGUUUUAUUCAGAACCCGCUGUGGGUUGACGCUAGCAUGCUUGCGUUAGGAGACGAGGGGACCAAUCUUGGGGCUGAGCUAAAAUAUAAGCUUGUAGAGAUCAUCUUGCUAAUGGUAAUGUUUUCCGAUGCUGGUUUAAUUCAUGGUAUAAAAAGGAGAACAAAAAAGAUUUUUCUAUGCUUUGAAAAUAUUAUAAUUUUUAUUUUAUAAUUUUUAAUAAAAUCUCUCAUUGAUAGCCAAACAAUUAAAAUUUUUGUAAAGCUUUUGUGGACUUUUGAUCGCGUAUGGUGCCAAUGUAUUGCGUGGUCCUAUUAUGGUUCCAAAUGGAGAAAGUUGCACAAGUUUUUUGAGUACCAGAAGAUCAGUAAUGUAAGCCUUGAUGGUUGUUAUGGUCUAAGAAAACAAGAGGCUAAAAAUUCUAUCUGGGAUUUUUAUAACAACAACAAAAUUGGCAAGCCCAUUGACAUUGGUGAAUUGUCAGUUUCAACCUUGGUAAGUGCGAUUCAGAACAUGCUGUGGGGUGAAACGCUUGAAAUAACAAAGAAAUGGAUUUACUAAUAUUGGGGCUGGGCUAAGAUUUAAGCUUGCAGAACUCACGGUGCUAGAGGGAACACCGAAUAUUUUGGAUAUCUUUCCAGUGCUUUCAUGGUUUAAUAUACAAGGUUUUCAGAGAAUAGCAAAGAAGAUUUCUCUAUGGUUUUAAAAUAUUAUCAAUUCUACUGCUGAACGCUAUAGAAACAACGUCUCUAUUGUCAAAAGUGAAGAAGCAGCAGCAGCAGGGAACAAUAUUGAAGGAAGGAAUAAGGACUUGGUGCAGUUACGCUUGGAGCUUCAAGGUAAAGAAGACAAUGCUUCAUCAAUUAGCAGGACGCAAUUUAAGAGCUUGCUCGUGGUAUGUUGCGCAACUAGCCACAGACAGUUACAGAAACUGAGUUUGGCAGAUUACGACCGUUUCUGGUGAUUACAUAAUUAUUUGUGGCUGUUUUUUUUUUUUAAUUGUAAUUUUCUUAACAGGAUAUAAUUUAGGGUGGAACCAACACCACAACUAUAAUGGUGGAAUGGACAAUGGCAUAAUUGAUACAGCAUCCACAAGUAAUAGAGAAUGUACAGGUAGAACUAAAUCGGGCCGUGGCCAUCGACAGCCAUGUUGAAGAAUUUCACCUAGCUAAGUUAAAAUAUUUAGAUGCUGUGGUGAAAGAAACAUUCUGCACUGUAAUAUAAUACAUGAAUCAUAUGUCCUCUAUUGUUUUUUUAUUUUUCUCUUUUUUUCAAUAGCUUAAUCUAUCAUUAAAAUCUUCUGAAAUUCUAAAUUAAUAUACAUUCAACCUAGAGUUCAAGCCAAAGUUUUAUUGAGCAUUAAAAAAAAAAAAAAUUCUACGACUCAAAAUUUUGUGGAGUAUAAAUUAAAAAUUAUGCGCCUACUAAGAGACAAAAAAUAAAUGAUACACAUUAACCAAUCAAAGGCGAACAAGAGAUUAUUAACAAUAACCUAAUAAUAAAAUUAUAAUGAAUAAAAAAGAAAUGGUACCUAGAAACACAUCACAGCCAUUUAAGCAAUCACUUACCCACAAAAUCCAAACAUAUAAACUAUGUGGGGGGGGGGGGGGGGGGGGGGGGUGUCAUGAUACCUUUGGGUUUCAUGAUAAUCAAAAUUGCAAUACCAUUAAAGACUCAAAAAUAAAAAAAAUCAUAGCCAAUAAAAGAGAAAAAAUAACCCACAAAAAAUCAUCAAGAAAAUAAAUUUGAGACUAAGAGAAGAUAUUAAUUAAACCCUGGGUUGCCUUGGAACCACGGCUUUGGCUUCCAUUUUUCAAUUCUUGGCGACAAGUCAUUUCUUGUUUGUUUACAAAGAUGACGGCUGAUUAAUGAAGCUCUAUUAACAAUGAAUAAAUAAAAAAACUGGCGCCUUGAAAAGACUAACGGUCAUAUUUUUCAACUCCGAAUUAGUGCCGUUUGAUGAGUCCUUGCCAAAACAAUCACUAGGCAAAUAACAAUCAUUUUUCAACCAGCAAAACUCAUUCAUUGUAUUUCACCUUAGUCAAGAUUUAAAAAUUGUUUCAAAAUAAACCUAGUGGUUAGAACCCAAGCGUCACAAUUGUGAGGUCAUGGGUUUGAGCCCCCACAACGUAUUGUGGGGGUUAAUUUUCUUCUUCAAUUUGAGUGAAAACAGUUCUCUCCCUUUCGAAAUGUGGGUGGAGUGGACGUCCCUCAAAUAUUAGAGAGGGUUCAAAUUUGGAUUGUACUAUAUAAGAUUUAUAAAUUAGUCCCAGUAAUUAUCUGAUUGUAAAUAUCAAUAUACUAAUCUAAUUAAAUAUGAGUUGUAAUAUGAGCGUUAGUCUCAUGUAAUUAAAAAAAAAAUGUUUCAAAAUAGGAUUCUUAAAAGGUUGGGGAAAUGGCCAUCAAUAUCCCCAACUUUCCAAAAAGAGACACCAAGACCCAUUUUGACCAUAAUACCCUUUACUUCUAUUAUCCCCAAAAAAUUGACUCUAAUGUUUUAUAAUAAAUAAAAAUAUAACAUUAAAAUAAAUGUAAUAGUAUAUACAUUUUAAAAUAGUUUCAAUAUCUAAAAACCAUUUUAAUAUUUUAAAUCCUAUUAUAUAUAUAUUAAAGUAAAUUUUAUAAUAAAUAGAAUCAUAAUAUUGAAAUAAAUGCAUUAAAAUUUAAAUUAUUUUUAAUAUUAUGUAAAAUAAUAAUUUUAUCAUUAUAAGUAUAUGAGAAUUUUUUUAAUUGUAGAAUGUAUUUAAUGCAAAUAUUUAUUUAAAAUCUCUACAAUAAAUAAAAAUAUACUAUUAAAACAAAUCUCUACAAUAUAUACAUACAUACAUAUACAUUGGCCUGGUAUUUUAUUUUUCAUUUUUUAAACUUAUUAAAUCCUCUAACUAUCAUUUGAUUAUUUUUUUCAAUGAUGAAGAGGCCAUUGCCGGAUAAAUUAUUAAAAUCAACUAGUUCUACAAGAAUGUCCCUUUUUAAAGGAAGAUGAUUCUCUCUCUCGAAAUUUUUUAUCUUGUGCUACAAACUAAAAACUUAUGCCAUUUCAUUAACCACAGAGAUCUUUGAGGAAAUGAUGCUUCGCCCCCCCCCCCCCCCCCCCCCCCCCCCCCCCCCCCCCGCGGCGCCAAAAAGUGUCCUUCCAUAUUUUGUGAAGGCUAAUACAUCGAUGAAUCUAGAUUUCUUUAAAUUUUUUGUUUUACUCAAUUCGAGAUAAUAAAUAGUUUAUCUUUAUUAAAUCUUUACUUUAACAAUGAUAGAUAUUCAAUCCAUGCAAAUAUCUAUCAUUGUAUGAGCUGAUUGCGUGGAGGGAGCGGUAAUUGAAAUCUAAUUGAAAACAGCAGAAGGCUGUUCUUGACAGAUCUCAAAUAUAUUACGGACACGUUGGGAGACAUCUCUAUCAUAGAUAUCCCCAUGCAGUGAUAUUUGUCGUGAUCUAAUUUUUAGUAAAUCUGUAAGAGAGAUUGUAACAUCUUUCAAGUUUUUUGGUUUGAUAUUCUAGACGAAAACGGUUUGUCGUUUCUUGAGCAAACGGCUAACCGUUUAAGUCCAGAGAGCAUGUUUGUUGUUCUGGAUAAAACGGCUCACCGUUGUUGCGAAAACGGCUAACCGUUUAACUCAAGAGAGCAUGUUUUAUGUUCUAGAGAAAACGGCUCACCGUUAUUGAGAAAACGGCUAACCGUUUAUUUACAGAGAGCAACGUAUUUGAUAUUCUGGAAUAAAAUGGCUCACCAUUUAUUGAGAAAACGGCUAACUGUUUAUUUCCAGAAAGGCGUCAAUUAGAAAAACGGUUAGCAAGAAUGAAAAUUUCAAUUGACAAUCGAUGCAAAUUCAAACCAAAAGAGUGUCUUCGAAAAAGUACCAUUUCUAAUGGUUGUAUUCUUUCAAAUAAACAUCUUCUUCAUUAAAGAAAUACACACAAUUAGAUUGAUAAUCAGAUUUUGACAGGUUUCUUAUAUGUUCUGGAAAUACAAUCUUAUUUGCUAGAGAUUGUAUUCAGGAUUUGUUAUAUCUUGGGGGUAAUUUGCCAUUAAAACUAUAUAGCAAACCAAGAUUGGUGAGGGCAAAUAAAACCUUAAAGGAAAGUAUGCAAACACGUCUCAAAUCCUAUGAAACUUUCUUUGUUCUUUGCCUCCAUAUUCUUAUUAUUCACUAACAAAAUCCCCAUGCAGUGAUAUUUGUCGUGAUCUAAUUAUUAGAAAAAUCUAUGAUUUCGCUACUGUAAUAAAAUUUGUCACUACUCUACAUUAAUCUAAAUGUCUGAUGAGAUUUGUAAUUGCUUCCGACGGGAAAACAGUUAAUAGGUUGAUUGAAUGUAUGUGGUAAAGAUUCCACGUAUCUCACGACAGAAUGCUGACCACUGGAACCCUAUCUACUUUUACGCGAUUAAUUCACGAGCUUAGGCACGACAAUUGCAAUACAAAUUAUCCCUUCAUCAUAUAUUUCGUUAAAAUUCAUUCUGAAGCACUAAAACUAAACAAUCGAAUAUGGCUUUGAGGGUCGAUGAUGCCAGCAGCAAUGAGAGUGCAAUUAUCACUUGUUUAGUUUCUGUGCUUGCCGUGGCUUAUUUAGCAUGGAAUGUGAAAAAAUCAAGGAAAGCAAAUGCUAAACUGCCACCAGGACCUCGCGGCUUGCCUGUAGUCGGAUACCUCCCAUUUCUCGGGACUACUGACUUGCACAAGAAAUUCACGGAAUUUAUUUUACUAUUAUAUUUAUAUUCAAAAUAAUUUUAAUUAGCUUUUAAAAUGAAUGAUUUUAGGAAAUUAUAAAUAAAGGUAACUAAGAAUUCUCUUAAUGUAAUAUAUUAUUAAUUAGUUUAAAAAUACAAAUUUAUUAAUUAGAGAAAUUAUUAGUGAAUUUAAAUUAAUGAUCUUAAUGAUUUGUUUGUACGAUUGCCCCCAAUCAAAGGUAAUUUUCCUAAAAAUUAUUAGGAAAUUAGAGAAAUUUAAUUUUUUUAGUGGGUUCAAUUGCCCACACACCCCGACUGAAGCAUUUUUUACAAUAUGUACUCCGUUUGUCGGCAGGAAAAUAAAGGUCUUGACACAUGAUCACUUCACUCCUUUAUUUACUUUGCUAACGCAGAUUUUGAGGUAUUAAAACAAAUAAUAAUUGAAUAUGACUUUGUGGGUCGACGACGCCAGCAACGAGGAGACCGCCAAUUAUCACAUUUUAAGUUUGCUGUAAUUGCCGUUGUUUUAUAUUAGUAGAAUAUUAGUGAUAAGAUAAUUGUAGAGUUUUCAUUUUUUUAAUAUUAAAAUCAAGUCAAUUUAUUAUAAUAAAUUUAGUUGAAUUUAAUCGUAUUACCACAUAAAUUGAAUAAUAAUAGAAUUCUCGACAAUAUUUCAAUAUUUUAAUCUCAAGCAUUGGAGUGGCAUUUAUUUGUUAUACGGUCGAUUUUAGAAUUUAUAAAAUUAUUCGUUGCUGAAUUGCACCAUAUGCUGCAUAACCUGAAACUUAAUAAACGGAACGUAGCGUUGGCACCGUUACUCAACAUUCACUGUUACGACUUUGUGACAUUAGAAUUAAAAUCUUUUCCACAUUUAAUUUGUUUACUUCCAACUUAAUAUUUAACAAAAUGUAUGUUAGCAUUGUAUGCCAUAUCAUCUGUAAUUUUGUCAGGAUCGAUCAUUCUAAUUUUUAAGCAGAACUUUUUGUCAAUGGACAAACACCUCAUACAGCUUGUCAGAGGCAUUAGUAUGAUGUAAAAUUGUAAUGGUAUAUCUUGAAUUAUUUUAGAAUAGUGAAUAACUAUUUGGAGCAAUAAAAACAAAUAAGACAGAUGAGAAAAUGGCUAAAAUUAUAUAAGUGACCCAAAAUUUUUUGCUAUUUCCAAGAAAUCCCCAAUCUGAAUGGACCAGAGGGAGGCAAGUUAGAAAUACAUUUCCUUCAUAGACAAUAACAACGAUGAGUGGAUGACAUCAAACCACGUUGGUAUCAAUAUUGAAAUAAAGGUGCAAUUAUUCAGCCAAUGAGCCUUAGUACACAUCAAGAUAUAUAAAAGUCAAGAAAAUGAAAAUUUAUCCCAAUUAAAACUCUUUCUGGCUGCAUUUAGCUGUUUCUGUUUAGGGAUGGCAAUUUAAUCCGGACCCAGCCCGACCCGGAUGAAUCCAGAAAAUUCGGGGUGGAUUCAACCCGUACCGGAGUGAAUAAAAUCUGAUAUUCAAAUUCAAUAUUUUCAACCCGGACGUUUCCGAGUCCGGAUCCGGAUUUGGGUAAACCCGCAUAUCCGGAACCCGGAUCCGGAUAACUAUUUUAAUAUUAAUUUUUAAAUCAUUUUAAAAUAAAAAAAAAUUAGAAAAAAUCAGCCCUAAUGCCCUUCCACAGCCACGGCAGCCAAACCAAACCCAGACAUUUCCUCUCUCUCUCUUUAGCCCUUCUUUUCAACAAAUCAUCAUCGUUGCUCAUCAUCGUUUCGUCGUGUUCAUCUUCAUCUUCAUCAUCAGCUGCCGUUUGUCCAGCUAUGUCACUAGUUUUGGCCGCCGUUUCCGUUUGUGCACCUUCGCAAAUCGGGAUCUCGAUUUGGCCGCCAACACUUCUACCCCCUGGUGUUUUGCUUUGUCCUCGACAACUUCUUUGUUGAUAAAUUGACGGGCACUUAUGAAUGCAUUUGUCUCUGUUUCUUCAUUUACACCUUCCCAGUUGUUUGUUCAUUUGCUUUUUGGAAGGAAAAAAAAAAAAAAUCAGCCACCAUUUAUCCUUCCCCUUUUCUUGACCUAACCCCACAAAGCCCAAUUUGUCAUCAUCAUUCAUUGGCAAAUUUGUUAUCAUCAUGGUUGAGACAUCAUGAUUAUCUUUGAUAAUUGAAUUUGUGUAAUAUGUUACCUUGGAUUUUAUUUCUAAGUAUUUGAUUUUGAAUUAUUUUCCAUUAUUGGUGUUAAUAGAUAGAAGAUUAGAAAGGAAUUCUUCACUGAAUAAAGAGAUGGGAAAUUGCAUCUUUUAGCAAUCAUCCGGGUUAUAAACCCGGAAUCCGGAAACCAGGAUUUUUCCGGGUUUAACCCAGUCCGGACCCGAAUGAAAAAUAUCCGGGUUUACAUCCGGGUCUGGUAUUAAAAUUUAUCGUCCGGAUCCGGAACAGGGAAGACAAAACCCGGACCCGAACCCACAUUUUGCCAUCCCUAUUUCCAUUUGAAGUUAACAACAACGUUUCUUUCGUUUUGUGGGCGACUUGACUGAGCCAGCUGGAUUCUAGUGCUAGUAUGUGAAAAUAGAAGGCUAAUGAUUUCACGUUCACUAGCCCACCUCCCCUCCUCUCGUUUCCUCUGAAUCAAUUUUCACGUGUGGUACCGAUUGAAAAUAUCUCUGACAUUUCGUGGACAUCUCUAUUGAAAAUAUCUCAGACAUUUCACUCAGGCAAACUUAUUAAUAUAAAAAAUCUAUGAUUUUUUCGUCUUAUACUGUAGAAAAAUUUGUCUAUACAUUAAUCUAGAUGUUUGAGGUGGUUUAUACAUCUGUGGUAUAGAUUUAUAGGUUGAUUGAUACGUCUGUGGUAUAGAUUUUAUGUAUUUCAUUAUCAAAUGCUGGCCUUUGGGACCCUAUCUACAUCUAUUUAUAAAACUAACGGGUGCCAGUUAUGCCAUUACAAAUUAUCCCCUCUUCAUACAUUUCCUUAAAAUUCUUCUGAAACACCAAAACUAAAUAAUCGAAUAUGGCUUUGCGGGUCGAUGAUGCCAGCAACAAUGAGGCUGCAAUUAUCACUUGUUUAGUUUCUAUGCUUGCCGUGGUUUAUUUCGUAUGGAAUGUGAACAAAUCAAGGAAAGCAAAUGCUAAACUGCCACCAGGACCUCGCGGUUUGCCUGUAGUCGGAUACCUCCCAUUUCUCGGAACUACUGACUUGCACAAGAAAUUCACGGAAUUAUCCGGAGUUUAUGGUCCGAUCUUCAAGCUCUGGCUCGGAAAUAAAUUAAGUGUCGUGGUGAGCUCACCUUCCCUAGUUAAACAAGUGGUUCGUGAUCAAGAUACAACAUUCGCAGACCGUGACCCGCCGAUCUCAGGACUAGUGACCUCCUUUGGUGGCAAUGAUAUUACAUGGUCCAAUUACGGUCCCGAAUGGAGAAAGUUGCGCAAAUUUUUUGUGGGCAAGAUGAUGAGUAACGCAAGCCUUGAUGCUUGUUAUGCUUUAAGAAAACAUGAGGUUAAAAAUACUAUCAGGGAUUUGUAUAACAACGGCAACAAAAUUGGUAAGCCCAUUGACAUUGGUGAAUUGUCGAUUUCAACAUUGGUAUGUGCUAUGCAGAACAUGCUGUGGGGUGAAGCGCUUGAAUUAAAAGAGAAAGGGACAACUAAUCUUGGGGUUGAGCUAAAAUUUAAGUUUGCAGAACUCAUGGUGCUACUGGGAACACCGAAUAUUUCGGAUAUCUUUCCAAUGCUUUCUUGGCUCGACAUACAAGGUAUAGAGAGGAGAGCAAAGAAGAUUUCACUCUGGUUUGAAAAAAUUAUAAAUUCUACUGUUGAAAAGUAUAGAAGCAAGGACUUUAAUGUUGAAGGUAAAGAAAGAGCAGGGGAAAAUUUUGAAGGAUCAAGGAACAAGAACUUCUUGCAGUUACUAUUGGAGCUUCAAGAAAAUGAAGACGGUUCUUCCUCAAUUAGCAUGAACCAAUUUAAGGCCGUACUCGUGGUAUGUUAAGAAACUAGCCGCAAACAGUUAUACAAGCACAGCUGUAUAUUUUGCAUGAGUGAUAUUUUCAACCUUUUUUUUUUAUAAUUAGAAUUUUAUUGUAACCUUUUGGACAGGAUAUAAUUACGGCUGGAACCGACACCACAACUACGAUGGUGGAAUGGACAAUGGCAGAGUUGAUGCAGCAUCCACAAAUAAUGAAGAAAGUUCAGGAAGAAUUAGCUCAAGUUGUGGGCAUGGACAGUUGUGUUGAAGAAUUUCAUUUGCCUAAAUUGAAAUAUUUAGAUGCUGUGGUGAAAGAAUCGUCUCGUCUGCAUCCUGCAGUGCCUUUAUUACUACCACGCAGAGCAAGCGAGAGUGGCAGCAUUGGUGGCUAUAACAUUCCCAAAGAUACAACUAUUAUGUUGAAUGUUUGGGCAAUCCACAGGGACCCUAAACUUUGGGAUAAUCCCUUAGAAUUUCGACCCGAGAGGUUUCUAGAUGAUGGUAUCGCGAGUAAGUUCGAUUACUCAGGUAACAAUUUUCAGUACUUGCCAUUUGGUUCUGGUAGAAGGAUGUGUGCUGGGAUUCCUCUAGCUGAGAGGAUGCUGAUGUUUGUUUUGGCUUCGUUAUUGCACUCAUUUGAGUGGGAAUUGCCAGCUGGCACAAAGCUAAACUUAUCUGAAAAAUUUGGGAUUGUCAUUAAGAAAAAAGAGCCUUUAGUUGCUAUUCCAACACCAAGACUAUCCAAUUCAGAGCUCUACCAUUAAGACAGAAUGGUUGUGAUGAUUUUGUUAAUUUCCGAAGAUUUGUAUGUUAUGUCAAGUUCAAUCGUAAUAAAAUAUUUCAAAUAAGAGUCCUCCGUUGCUUUUUUUUUUUUUUUCAACCGCAUAAUCUGUCGUCAUGCUUGUAUUUGGGGCUACUUUGGAAUAAUUAUGUUUGAAUUACAAUAUAUAAAUAUUACAUUUUAAAAUUUUAUGAGAUUCUAAAUUUAUACACGUUCAAUAACCCACUUCAUAUAUGUUUAACACAAUUUAUAUCAUACAUUGUAUACCCAUUUGUCAUAAAUUACGCUAUUUUAUAUCUCUAAAUAAUAUUACAUAUUGAUAUUAUAAAAUGUUGUUAACUCACGUGUGUAUAUAUAUAUAGCAAGUCACGUGCAUAUAUUAUUGGUUGUUAUAUGUUUGCUAGUUUGAUAGGAUUUCCUUUCCUUGUGAACUAGGGUAAUUCUUAUGUACAUAUAAAUAUUGAUCAAUAAGAGUGCAGAUGAUGACUGCAGUUUUGCAUCGUAGAAAUUCUUCGUAAAAUAUAUAUGUUUAUCAAAAGGCUAUACCAUUCAAUAUAUAUUGGAAAGAGAACAAAGAAGAUCUUCUUAUGGUUUGAAAAUAUUAUGAAUUCUGCUGUUGAACAGUAUGGAAACAAGGUCUGUUGUUAAAGGUGAAGAAGUCACAGGGAACAAUAUUGAAGGAAGAAAUUUCACGUUUAGUUGCUGAAUUUGCCGCUGUAUUCUAUCGGUAGUAAAAAGAUUAGAGUUUUUAUUUUUCUCUAUUAAUGUUAAGUCAAUUUUCUAUAACAAAUUCGGUUGAGUUUAAUUGUGUUACAAUAUAAAUUGAAUGAUAGUAGAAUUUUCAACGAAUAAUUCAAUAUUUCUAUCUCGAUUGUUGAAGUGCCAUUUAUUUGUUAUACGAUCGAUUUUAAAAUUUAUAAAAUUAUUUGUUACUAAAUUGCAUCAUAUGCUAAAUCACCUGAAACCUAAUUUCAUAACUAACCCUUUAUUUUUAGUUCUCAAGAAAUCUUGUAAGAACAAAAUUCUUUUGUAACAAAACGUUUACAACAAAUUAAUUUGUAACUCAUUCCUGUGCGAGAAUCACUCUCAAUUUCCUUCAAUUGCUGUUUAACAAUCAUCUGCUUAUCAAAAUUCAAGCAUAAUCUUUUUUUUUAAUUUCUUCAUCAUUCUUUUGAAAAAAAAAAUCAGGAUAUGCUGUUAAAUUUUGAAAUAAAUUAUCUCAAAAUAAUUACUAACCAGAAAAAACAAAGGGGUUUAACUAGGUUAUGCAUACCUUUGAAAAUUAUAUGUUGAUCGAUAAGAAUGAUGAUCACGAUUGACGAGUUUAAUUAAAAUAUAUAAGAUUUUAAAAUUAAUCAGGGUUAAAUUGUGAAUUUUAGAAAGAGAGGUUUUGUGAGAAUGUUGAAAGGGUGUUAAUAGUUCCACUCUUUUUAAAAACAACCAUAGUCAUCAUUUUUCCAUGGUUGUUUUUAAAAAGAGUAUUUCUUCUUCCCAUCUCCAUCUUAUUUAGAAAUUUCCCAGAGCCUUUGUUUCCCACCUUUCAUUUUUCUUCUUUCUAAUUUAAUAAUCCACCCUUCUUGUAUUCAAACUAAAAAAUUAAAAUCUGAAAAUUUAAAACCCAAUAUUAUAGUAUUAUAAAAAUAAUUACUCACAUUUUAUCAAACACCUCCAUUCUUCCAAGGCCUUGUUUUAGUAGUAGGCUUUUAUUAUCUCAAUAAAAUUGAAAAAAAAAAUCUCAAUAAUAUUGGAAAAAAACCCUACCCAUAUUUGUAACUUUAAUUUAUUAUUCUCCAUAGACCUACUUUUUAGUUUUGAAUUUUGUUGGAGCCAUAUAUAAACAGAAUAUGUUGAAAUCAGCACCCAAAAAAAAAAAAACUAAUUAUAUAAUUUAUGUUCCCAAGGACAUGGCUGAGUGAUUUUCAAGAAGUUUUGUUUGGCUGGCCACUUAGGUUUAAAUCUUGGUGGAGAUUAAGGGUUAAGAAAUAAAUUUAGACUUUGCACACCCCUUUAACUUUUAAAAAGAAAUGAAAAAAUUAAUUAAUUAAUCUUUAUUUUAUUUAUUAAAUGUCAUAAUCCUAUGCGUAUUUUAUUUGUUAUCUUUCUAUUUAAAAGACGAGGGCAGAUAAAACUGAAAUAAAUUUUUAGCCCUAUCUCCAUAUUUCAAGUUCCAUAGUUAGGUGACCAGCUAAAAAAAAUUAAUUGAAAGCUACUCCAUCAAAUUAAAAAAAUUUAUUUAUUUAAUUUGUGGAGAUGUAGAAAAUCAAACCCCAUACCUUUUCGCAUACACUGAACAUAUUUUAAUACAUGACUAUCAUCCUUUAUCCUAAAUACUACUAUAACUAAUAACAUACAAUUGAAAUAAUUAAUGUUAACACUUGGCUAUAAAUAAAGGUUUUGUGCUUGAAUCUUCACGCAUGACCUUCAUUCCUUUAUUGACUUUGCUAACACAGAUUUUGAGGCAUUAAAACUAAAUAAUAAUUGACUUUGUGGGCCGAGGAUGCCAGCAACAAGGAGACCACAAUUAUCACUUAAGUUACUCUAAUUGCCGUUGUCUUAUAUUCAUAGAAUAUUAGUAAUAAGAUUAUUGCAGAAUUUUUUUAAUAUUAAAAUUAAGUCAAUUUGUUAUAACAAAUUUAGUUGAGUUUAAUCGUGUUACUACAUAAAUUGAAUAAUAAUAGAAUUCUCGACAAAUAUUUCAAUAUUUUUAUCCCAAGCGUUGGAGUGGCAUUUAUUUGUUAUACGAUCGAUUUUAGAACUUAUAAAAUUAUUCGUUACUGAAUUGCACCAUAUGCUGCAUGACCUGAAACUUAAUAAACGGAAUGUAGCGUUGGCACCGUUACUCAACAUACUGUUACGACUUUGUGACAUUAGAAUUAAAAUCUUUUGCACAUUUAAUUUGUUUACUUCAAAAUUAAUAUUUAACAAAAUAUUUUUUUCACAUUAUCAAUGGACAAAACUCCAACGAAAAUAACUACACAAGAAAAAUGUAUGCUAGUAUUGUGUGCCAUAUCAUCUGUAAUUUUGUCAGGAUCGAACACUCUAAUUUUUAAGCAGAACUUUUUAUCAAUGGACAAACACCUCACACAGCUUGUCAGAGGCAUUAUUAUGAUAGAAAACUGUAAUGGUAUAUCUUGAAUUAUUGGUAGAAUAGUUCUUUGGAGCAAUAAAAAUAGAUAAGACAGAUGAGAAAAUUGUCAAUACCCCACCGCAAAAGCAAAAGAAAAAAAGGAAAGGAGACAAAAGAGGAAGAAGAAAAAAAGGAAAGGAGACAAAAGAGGAAGAAGAAAAAGAAAAAAGAACGAAGAAAAAAAUGGUGCCGCGCUGUAUUGGGAAGAAGAAAAAAAUUAAUAAAAUAAUAAUAAAUAAUAAAUAAUAAAUAAUAAAAUAAUAGUGCACAACAAUCAUUUGAUUGCUAUAAAUAAAGGGGCAUUUUCCUCAUUUUAUUCAUCGAAUUCUUCAGUUCCUUUCAAGCGAUUUAAGAGUCUAGUGAUUUGAGAGUUUGGGAGUAUUGUGAUUUUGAGUACUAAGUUAAAAUACUAUAAUACUUGUAACUCAUUUUCACUAGUAAAAUAUUUUUCUUCUGUCUUCGCCCGUAGACGUAGGCUAAAAGCUGAACCACGUAAUUUCUGGUGUCCCUAUGUGAUUAUGUGUCUCAUUAUUUCUCAAUUUUACUUUAGUUACGUGUCUGCUACACCCUUCAAUUUACUAACAAAAAUGGCCAAAAUUAUAUAAGUGACCCAAAUUUUUUUGCUAUUUCCAAGAAAUCCCCAAUCGGAAUAGACCAAACUAGAGGGAGGCAAGUUAGAAAUACGUUUCCUUCAUAAACAAUAACAGCGAUGAGUCGAUGACAUCGAGCCACGUCGGUAUCAAUAUUGAAUUAAAGGUGCAAUUAUUCAGCCAAUGAGCCUUACACAUCAAGAUAAAAGUCAAGAAAAUGAAAAAUUUAUCCUAAUUAAAACACUUUCUGGCUGCAUUUAGCUGUUUCUAUUUGAAGUUAAAAACAACAUUUCUUUCGUUUUGUGGGCAACUCGACUGAGUUCGCUGGCUUCUAGUGCUAGUAUGUGAAAAUAGAAGGCUAAUGAUUUAUUUGUUAUCUUUUGACAAAAAAUGUUAAAGAUAUAAUAGAUUUUCCAUGAUACAAAUGAAAAAUUAUAUCAACAUAACUUCCAAGCUACAGCAGCUAGUGUUUACCAAACACUUUGCUGUAGCUUUUAAGCUACAGCUGCCCAACCUCAAUAGGUUGAUUGAAUUUGUGGGAUAUAGAUUCCACAUAUCUCAUGACCUAUUAAUUAUACAAGUGGUUCUUGAUCAAGAACAACAUUUGCUUCCGACCCAGUAACCCAGCAACUGCUGCACUGGUCGCCACCUAUGGUGCCGACGAUAUUGCAUGGUCCAAUUAUGGCCUUGAAUGGAAAAAGUUGAGCAAAUUAUUUGUGGGCACGAUGAUAAGUAACGCAAGCCUUGAUGCUAGUUAUGGUCGAAGAAAACAAGAGGUUAAGAAUACUAUCAGAGAUAUGCAUAACAACAAAAAGGAAAAAAAAAAAAAAAGGCAUUGGCAAGUCAAUUGAUAUUGCUGAAUUGUCGAUUUCAACUUUGGCAUGUGUAAUUCAGACAUUGCGCGUUGUGGUAUGGCGCUGGCACGCUUGCAUUGCCGAGAGGACAAAUCUUGGGGCUGGGCUAAAAUUUAGGCUUGUAGAACUCAUGGUGCUAAUGGGAACGCCAAAUUUUUUUAACAUAUUUCGGUGCUUUCAUGGUUUAAUUCAAGGUAUAGAAAGGAGUGUUGAGAAUGUCAAAUAAAACGACAUUGAAUGGAAGUUGUCAAAGACAUGAUCCGCACUGAACGGCAAUGACACGGUUGGUAAAGAUUUUUUCAUAAUAUGCGUAUCUAAUUUUUGAAAAAUUGUAACCUCUGCUUCUAUAAAUAUGCUCAAUGUAUAAUGUUUUACUUAAGAAAUGAAAAACUUAAUUCUUUAUGGUAUCAGAGCGAGGCUCGUUGCUCUGUUUGUAACAAAAACAAAGAAAACUAAAUUCUUCCCACAACUAUUUUUCCACCUUUUUUUCUUCCUUAAAAGCAUUCCUAGCAUUACAGAAACCCAUGCCAAUAAAAGAACAAGCCACACAUAUGUAAAAACUUUAGUUUACAAAUCUAUCAACAUCCCCAUAAAUUUUCCCAAAAAGUGAUCUUCAAAAACCAAAAAUACCAUCAAUUUUCGCAUCUUCUAGUAAACAAACUAUAAAAGUUUCGCACUCAAACAGAGCCACACGCGCCUCCACGCGCUUCCCGGAAUCACGGCCAACCACCACGCGCCUCUGUCACCACCAACUCACCCUCAUGCGCUCCAGAUGUUGCAGAAGACGCAAAACGACGUGUCGUUUUCUUCUCUAAAAGUGCAGCAACGUGGAAAUGACUUUUUGUUUUUGCCUUAAAUUGUUUUUCCUCGUUUGAAGCUAUACAACAUUUUUCUUUCUAAACCUGUUUUUUACAAUAAAAAAAGAAAAAAAUGGAGAAAACUCCAACUGAAUCUACUCAUGUUGUCAUUCAAUCUGUUCAACCUGAUGGAGUAUUUAAUGCCGAAAUUAUCCUUACUAAGACAAACUACGAUAUUUGAUCUCAAAUAAUGGAGAUGCAUCUCGCAGAAAGAAAAAAACUCCCAUAUAUUCGUAGCAGCAUAAAUCCAUCUGACAAAUUUUCAAAGAAAUAUGAGAAAUGGUAUAGUGAGAACCAAAAAGUAAAAAGAUGGUUACUCAUAACCAUGUGUCCUGAGAUCAUGAAGCGAUAGUUACAAAUUCCUACAGCCUACGAAAUUUAGAAUGCAUUAUCAAAAGCCUUUUAUAAUGGAAGCGAUGAAAUACAAGUUUUCACUCUAAAUCAGAAGGCGUUCUCUACGAAGCAAAAUGGACAACCACUCUCUAAAUUCUACGGAGAAUUGAUCAAAAUGUUUCAAGAACUUAAUCACCGAGAUAAAGUGGUCAUGAAGGAUCCAGAAGAUGUUAUAAUAUAUAGGAAGUUUGUUGGAAGAUUGAGAGUGCACAUUUUUCUUGCUGGACUAGAUGAAGAAUUUGACCAAGUUUGUGGAGAAAUUCUACGAAAAGAUACUAUCCUAGACUUAAAAGAAUGUUAUUCUCUAAUCCGAAAAGAAGAUGUACGGCAAAGCAAACUAACAAGAAGGUGGACGACUCAGAAACGUCUGCUAUGAUACCACAAGAGAACAAUGUUUUGAAAUUGUUCGAUAUCCUGACUGGUGGGAUACUCGAAGUAAUAACACAAAGCAGAGAUAAAAAACUGCAGUAGCUGAAUCCACAUCCACUACAGAUCUUAGAAAAGAAUCUUCAGCGCAAAUUGCAACCUCUGUCAAUUCAGGUAAGGUCAUUAAAACUCUUACAUUUGUUAUUAAUAGUAUAUGGAUAAUUGAUUAUGGUGCAACUGAUCAUAUGACUUUUGAUUCUUGACAAGUUUCUUAAUUGAAACCAUCUUCACAUAAACAUGUUUCUACUGUAAAUAGAACCACAACCUCAGUUAUUGGGGAAGGAUCUUUACAACUCACAAUUAAAUCAAAUUUAGACUUUGUGUUAAUUGUUCCAUCUUUAAAUUAUAAUCUUUUAUAUGUGUCUCAAAUAACCUCUUACUUAUCAUGUGUUGUAAUGUUUUGGCCCGAUCAUUGCAUGUUUAAGGACAUCCAAAUGAAGGAAACGAUUGGUUAUGAUAUUAAAUAAGGCAACUUGUAUUACCUGGAGAUGACAUCAACAAACACUGAAAAGCUAAGCCCCGCAUUAGUAGCAGACAAUUCCAUGAAAAAAAAGGAAAUAAGAAAUUUGGUUAUGGCAUAGACGAUUAGGGCAUGUGUCAUUUGAUUUCUUAAAAAAAUUGUUUCCUAGUUUGUUUCUGAAAUUUGAUAUUUGUAACUUUAAAUAUGAUGUUUGUGAACUUUCAAAUAGCCAUCGAACUACUUUUCCAUUGUCCUUAAAUAAGAAUCCAAUUCCUUUAAUGGUAGUACAUUCUGAUGUAUAGAGACCAUCUAAAGUUUCUACCAUUGGAAGAGCUCGUUGGUUUGUUACAUUUAUUGAUGAUUGUAGCAGAAUGACAUGGAUUUUUUUAUGAAAUUAAAAUCAUAUGAUGGUGACAACUCUAUUUCAGACACAAAUUUGAGUUCUACAUACUGAUAAUGGAGGCGAGUAUAUGAGCACAACAAUUCAACAGUUUUUGAAAUCACAAUGAACUCACCACCAAACCACUUGUGUGGGGACACUCCAACAAAAUGGCGUUGCUAAACAAAAAAAUAGACAUUUACUAGAAGUUGUUCAAGCAUCACUAAUUUAGGCCCGCAUGCCACUAUUUUAUUGGGGAGAAGCAUUGGCAUCCGUAGCAUACUUGAUCAAUCGGACACCUUCAAUCUUCCUUGGAUUCCAAACUUAUUUUCUAGUUCUAAAUGAAGAAUUAUGUCAUCAAAUGUGUCGAAUUUACCCCCACAUAUGUUUGGUUGUGUUGCCUUCGUUCAUUUGCCAUGACAAGAUAAAUUAUCUCCUCGAGCACUACGUUGUGUGUUUGUAGGGUAUGCCUUACAUCAAAAGGGGUACCGAUGCUAUCAUCCUCUAUUAAGAAAAAAUAUACAUCACCAUGGACAUAAUCUUUCAUGAAGAUAUCAUGUAGUACCCAUCGGAGCUUGAAUUUCAGAGGGAGUAUAAUGAAGAGGAAAUUCAUACUCUUACAUAUCUUUCACCUGAAGAAGAUCAAUCCUCCAUUGAGGUAGUAAACGUUCAAGAUACUGGAAAAGAAAACGACAAUGAUUCUCAGGCUGAGACAAGUGAAGACACAUUUAGGGAGCAAAAUAACUCAGACAUAACCACAAUCGAGAACGAGUCCAUGAAGAGCCACAUGAAGAAAUAUCUAACCAAUCAUCUGCAGAGGAUGAUCCUACCACAAAUCCCAGUCUAAUCAGAAGAAUACUUCCCCAGCAUCAAAAUAGAGGUAUCUCUAAACCCACAUAUAAGACUGACCUCUCUAGUAGAGUCAAAUACCCUAUGAGUCAUUUUGUAUCUAACCAUGGCUUAUCAAAAUCAAAUCAGUCAUUUGUGAAUCAAUUAUCUACUGUGUCUAUUCCUAACAGUGUGCAAUAAGCCUUAAAAUAUCGAAAGUGGAAAGGGCUAUGAAUGACGAAAUGAGAUCUCUUUAAAAAAAAUCAAACAUGGGAACUAAUUGAUCUUCCACCAGGAAAGAAACCAGUGGGUUGCCGAUGGAACUAGUUGAUCAUCCACCUCCAUUCUGACAAGCAAUGUUUAUCAGCAAUAACAAAUGACUGAAGCAUUUUAAUGAGGUUAGUAACGAAAAAGAGUUUAAUUAGAGAAUAUUAUAAGAGAAAUUCUAAUUUUUGAUUUUUAAUAAAUUAAAAUAUCUUAAAAUAUUAUUAGUUGGUGGUGGUUUCAUGUCAGAUUAAGACGUGACACCUUACUAAUGAGGUCGAGACAAUUAGCUUAAAUUAUUUCAAUGCAUUUGAAAUUUCCACUAAUGACUAUAAUUCUUUGUCCUAAUUACUAUGAUAAUUAAUAACAUACAAUUGAAAUAGUUAAUAUUAGCACUUGGCAAUAAAUAAUUAAAUUUCAUUAACACUAAAUAAUAAUUGAAUAUGGCUUUGUACAUCGAUGACGCCAGCAACAAGGGGACCGCGAUUAUCACUCUUUAAGUUGCUUUUAAAAUUGAUUUUAGUAGUGAUAUGAUUAUUGUAGUGUUUUUAUUUUUUAUAUUAAAAUUAAGUGAUUUGUUAUAAUAAACUUAGUUGAGUUUAAUGGUAUUACUACAUAAAUUGAAUAGUUAUCAAAUAUUUUAAUAUUUUUAUGGCAAGCGUUGACGUGGCAUUUAUUUGUUGUAUGAUGGAUUUUAAAAUUUAUAAAAUUAUUUGUUAUUAAAUUACCCCCAGAUGCUACAUCACCUGAAACUUAAUAAAGGUAUGAAGACAUGUGUGUGUGGACUGAAAUGAAGAAUAUGGAAAAGUUGAGAGCUGUUGUGCAGAUUGAGUUCAGUUGAUGGGGUCUAUUAGAUAUUGUCUGCUGACGUGGCAUGAAUUCGUUAUAAUCUGUUAUAACGAGUUCAGUAUAUCAGUAUACAAUAGAGCUGAUGGAUGGUGCCUGUUUUAGAGUCUUUUUUAUAUUCAUUUGUUCAUCAUUUUGCGCAAGAUCUGUUCCAUUGUGAUAUGUGUAAAGUCUUAUGUAAACCCACUUAUGAUUGGAUUAGUUCUUGAUUAAUAACAACGAGUAAAUUUUCCUUCAAGUGUGCUGGUCUGUGCCCCUGUUUUUUGUUCUGAUAUUGUUUCUUUGUUCUGGCAUUUCAUUUCGAUUGUGUUCUUGGUGUUUCUACUCAUCAAGAUUUAUGAGUCUUGUUGAGAUUAAAGACUUAAUAGUCUUAACAAGUGGUAUCAGAGCCUGGUGAAUCUCAGCCAUGUCUCUUUCGAAGCAUGAAAUUGAAAAAUUCACCAUUGGUGGUGAUUUCUCGCUUUCGAAAUUAAAAAUGAGGGCUCUCCUUGUGCAUUAGAGGCUUGAAUUUGCUCUGGAAAAAGAUAAUCUAGAGGCUGCUACAAGUUAUGUGACUGAUGAUAAGAAGAGACAAAUCCAAAACCGAGCUCGUAGCACUCUAGUUUUGAGUCUUGGUGACUCAAUCUUGAGAAAGAUUUCUGAAGAGAAGACAACCUUAGGGAUUUGGAACAAGGUAGAAGCUUUGUGUACAAAGAAGUCGCUAGCUCACAGACUAUUCUUGAAGAAAAAGUUAUACACAUUCUCGAUGAGAGAAGGAGUCACAAUUCAAGAUCACAUUGAUACCUUCAACAAGAUCAUUCUUGAUCUUGAAGGGGUGGAAAAUGUGACAAUAAGUGAUGAAGAUAAAGCCUUCUUCUUGUUGAGUUCCUUACCAAAGUCUUAUGAAGGCUUUGUAGAUACAAUGCUUUAUGGCAGAACAACAUUGACUCUUGAAGAUGUUAAAGCAUCUCUAAGUUCAAAAGAGAUUCAGAAGAACAAUGAGAUUGAAACAAAUAAUGGUGAUGGGCUGAUUGCCAGAUCAGAAAAGAAGAAAGAUCAGAAGAAUAAAAAUCAGGGAAAAUGACAUGGAAAGAAUUAAGAAAAUGCAGACAAGAAGAAAAAGAAGAGAAAAUGCUUCUACUGCCGGAAGGAAGGGCAUUACAUCAGGGAUUGUCUUAAAAAGAAAAAAAAAGAAAGUCAAGAGAAGUCAGGGGAUGCAGCUGUAGCCUCUGAUGAUGCCUCUGAUGGAUAUCACAUUGCUGAUUUACUUGUGGCCUCAAAUAGCAAUACUAAAGGUCAGUGGGUCAUAGACUCUGAGUGCUCUUUUCACUUGUGGCCUGAUAAAACCAUAUUUUACAAAUAUGAAGUUGUUGAUGGUGGUAGAGUCUUAAUGGGAAAUAAUAAUGUGUGUAAUCUUGUUGGUAUUGGUUCUGUGAAGAUCAAGAUGUUUGAUGGAACUGUAAGAGCUCUACAUGAGGUGAGGCAUGCUCCUAGGCUAAAGAGAAAUCUAAUCUCUUUAGGCAUGCUAGACAGCUUAGGGUAUUUCUUUAAAUCAGAAAGUGGUGGUUUAGAGAUAAGAAAGGGGACUGAGAUAGUGAUGAAGGGGGUUAAAGAAAAUGGCUUAUAUGUAUUGUAAGGCUCAUCAGUGCUUCUUCAAAAGGGAAUUUCUGCUCUUUUUGAGGAAGAUAUAACCAAGUUAUGACAUCUUAGACUUGGUCAUAUGAGUGUCAAAGGGAUGUAAGAGCUCAGCAAACAAGGGCUACUUGGUGGGGAUAGAAUCCAGCAACUGGAAUUAUGUGAAAAUUGCAUUUUUGGCAAAGCUCACAGGUCCAAGUUUCACAAGGGGGAGCAUAUGUCUAAGCAAGUUUUGGACUAUGCACAUGCUGACCUUUGGGGGCCUGCUCAAGUCCCAUCCUUGAGUGGUGGCAGGUAUUUCAUAUCACUAAUUGAUGAUUACUCAAGGAAGAUGUGGGUCUACAUACUCAAGACCAAAGAUCAAGCCUAGGAAAAAAUUCAAGGUAUAGAAAUCUUUGGUAGAAAAUCAAUUUGGAUUCAAGCUCAAAUGCUUGAGAACUGAUAAUGGUUUGGAAUUUUGUAGCAAAGAAUUUGAGGAAUAUUACAAAAAAACAUGGCAUAAAAAGGCACAAAACAGUCAGGUUCACCCCCCAGCAGAAUGGCUUGGCUGAAAGGAUGAACAUGACCUUGGUAGAUAAGACCAGAUGUAUGUUGAUAAAUUCAAAGCUUCCAAGAAGCUUUUGGGCAGAAGCUGUCAAUACAACAAGUUGUUUGGUUAACAGAAGCCCAUAUUCUGCAAUUGGCUUCAAAACACCAGAAGAAUUGUGGAAGGAAAAACCUGUAAAUUACCAAAAUCUCAGUGUUUUUGGAUGCCCUGCUUAUCUCCACAUCAAUCAAGGCAAGCUGGAAGCUAGGGCCUUGAAAGGAGUCUUUGUUGGAUAUCCUGAUGGGGUUAAGGGAUACAUAAUCUGGUGUAGAGAGUAAGGGAAGUGUAUAGUCAGCAGGGAUGUUGUGUUUCAUGAAUUUGGAUUGCUAAAAGAAAAUGCAGAGAAUGAUACUAGACUACAAAAUGAUUCAAUAAUUAUCAAACAAUCUGGAACUUCCAAGGUUAAGGUGGAGCUGUUUGGAAAUAAAGACAGUAGAAAAGAGGUAGCUGAUUAUGAAGAGAGGACCACAGCUAAAGUUGAGGAACAUGAGUCAUCAGAGUUGCCACAAGCUGACUUGCAGACUUAUCAGUUAGCAAGAGAUAGAGUUAGAAGAGAAGUCAAAGCACUAGUGAGGUAUGGCUAUGCUGACUUAAUUACUUAUGCAUUGUUGUGUGCUGAUGAUGUGGCAAUUGAAGAGCCUGCUAACUUCUCUGAAGUUAUUGAAAGUGUGCAUUGUGAUAAGUGGCUUGAGGCAAUGCAAGAUGAAAUGGGAUCCCUUCAAAGAAAUCAGACCUGGACACUUGUUCCAAAUCUAGGUAAUAAAAAGUUGAUCAGUUGUAAGUGGAUCUUCAAGAAGAAUGAAGGAAUUCCAGAUGUUGAACCUCCCAAAUAUAAAGCAAGGCUAGUGGCUAGGGGGUUUACACAGAGAAAGAGUGUAGAUUUCAAUGAAAAAUUUUCCCCUGUUCUUAAGCACAUUUCAAUAAGAAUUUUAUUAGUCAUGGUAGCCUUACUUGACUUGGAGCUUGAGCAAAUGGAUGUAAAAACAGCAUUCCUUCAUGGUAAUCUUGAAGAACAGAUAUUGAUGGCACAACCUAAAUGUUUUGAGUGCAAAGGAAAUGAGGAUUAUGUUUGUUUGCUGCAUAAGUCCUUGUAUGGACUCAAGCAAUCCCCACGACAGUGGUACAUAAGAUUUGAUGAUUUUAUGGUCUCAAAAGGCUAUCACAUAAGCAAAUAUGACAGUUGUGUUUACUUUGGUGGAUCAUAUCAAGGUGGAGUUGCUUAUUUGCUUCUGUAUGUUGAAGAUAUGUUAAUUGCAAGAAAAUAUAAGUUGGAGAUAGAGAGGUUGAAGAAAUGAAGGAUCUCGGCAAUGCCAAAAGAAUCCUUGGGAUGAACAUUACAAGGGGCAGAUCUGCUGACACUUUGUUCUUGAGUCAUGAGAAAUAUAUCAAGAAGGUUCUGGAGAGGUUUGAGAUGCAAGACUAUAAACCUGUCCAAACACCACUUGGUCCCCAAUUCAAGUUGACAGCAGCUCAAUCAUCAGAAGAUGAGUCUCAGGUGAGUGAAUUCCCAUAUGCACAGGUUGUAGGGAGCCUGAUGUAUGUAAUGGUAUGCACCAGGUCAGAUAUAGCUUAUGCAGUAAGUGUUGUCAGCAAAUUUCUCAGUUGUCUAGGCAAGGUUCACUGGAAUGUUGUAAAAUGGAUAAUGAGAUAUCUUAAGGGCUCUUUUACUUGUGGUUUGCUGUAUGGGAAGACUAAGAGUGACAUAAGUGAAGUCCUGGGGUUUGUAGACUCUGACUUUGCUGGAGAUCUUGAUAGAAUGAAGUCAACCUCAGGGUAUAUGUUUGUGUUAAACAGUUGCCUGAUUAGCUGGAAGUCAUCACUUCAGUCUGUGGUUGCUUUAUCCUCAACUGAAGCUGAGUUUGUUGCAACUACAGAGGCAGUAAAAGAGGCCAUGUGGCUAAGAGGUUUGCUUAAUGAGUUAUGGUUAAAUCAGAAAAUUGUUCAGGUUUUCUGUGAUAACCAAAGUGUCAUACACCUGGUAAAGAAUCAGAUGUAUCAUGAAAGAACCAAGCACAUUGAUGUGAAGCUCCAGUUUAUCAGAGAUGAGGUUGGAAAAGGAACUAUAAUUGUGUCCAAGAUCUAUACCAGUGUGAAUCCAACUGAUGUUAUUACAAAAGCACUUCCCACUGCAAAAUUUGAAUUCUAUGUGAAUCUAAUGGGCAUCUCGCCCAAACCUAACUAAAUUCAAUAGUGAAUUGUAGUUGAAUGAAGGUUUUUUAGGUGCUGUGUUAUUGAAAGGAUCAACUGAAUCAACUGCAAGGUGGAGAAUGUGAAGAUGUGUGUGUGGACUGAAAUGAAGAAUAUGAAAAAGUUGAGAGCUGUUGUGCAGAUUGACUUCAGUUGAUGGGGUCUAUUAGAUAUUGUCUGCUGACGUGGUAUGAAUUCGUUAUAAUCUGUUAUAACGAGUUCAAUAUAUCAGUAUAUAAUGGAGCUGAUGGAUGGUGCCUGUUUUAGAGUCUUUUUCGUAUUCAUUUGUUCAUCAUUUUGCACAAGAUUUGUUCCAUUGUGAUCUGUGUAAAGUCUUCUGUAAAUCCACUCAUGAUUGGAUUAGUUCUUGAUCAAUAACGAGUAAAUUUUCCUUCAAGUGUGCUGGUCUGUGCCCCUGUUUUUGGUUCUAAUAUUGUUUCUUUGUUUUGGCAUUUCAUUUCGAUUGUGUGCUUGGUGUUUCUACUCAUCAAGAUUUGUGAGUCUUGUUGAGAUUAAAGGCUUAAUAGUCUUAACAAAAGGGAAUGUAGCAUUGCCAUUAAUCAACAUUCACUCUUAUGACUUUAUGACAUUAGAAUUAAAAUCUUUCGUACAUUUAAUUUAUUUGCUUCCAAAUUAAUCUUUAAUAAAUAUUUUUUCACAUUAUCAUCAAUGGACAAAACUCCAACGAAAAUAACUACACGAGAACAAUUUAUGCUAGUAUUAAAUGCCACGAUAUCUAUAACUUUGUCUGGAUCGAUCAUUCUAAUUUUUUCGCAGAACUUUUUGUCAAUGGACAAACACCUCACAGAGCUUGUCAGCCGCAUUAUUACGAUGUAAAAUUGUACCGGAAUAUCUUGAAUUAUUAGUAGAAUAAUGAAGACUAUUUGGGGCAAUAAAAACAAAUAACGCAGAUAAAAAAAUGGCUAAAAUUAUGUAAGUGAGCCCCAAAGUUUUUGCUAUUUCCAGGAAAUCCCAAAUUUGAAUGGACUAGAGGGAGGCACGUAAGAAAUACAUUUUCUUCCUAGACAAUGACAGCUAUGACAUCAAGCCACGGUGGCGUCAGUAUUGAAAUUAAGGUGUAAUUAUUCAGCCAAUGAGCCUUACACAUCAAGAUAAAAGUCAAGAUAAUGAAAAUUUGGCUGUUUCCAUUUGAAGUUAAAAGCAACGUUUCUUUCGUUUUGUGGGCGACUCGACUGAGCACGCCCCAAUAGCUAUAUUUAGGGCGUCAAUUUGAUAUUUGAAUGGACAGGCAAGUAAGAAAUACAUUUCCUUCAUAGACAAUGACAACGAGGACAUCAAGCCACAUCAUUAUAGUUUGUAGCCCAUCUACAUUUAAACGAUUAAUAAACAAGCUUAGGUGUGCCACUGCUAUUAUUAAUUAUCCCCUGAUCAUUAUAGUUUCUGAAACAGUAAAACUAAACGAAAUUGAAUACAUCAACGAGACCGCAAUUAUCACUUGUUUAGUUGCGGUAUUUAACUUAAUUUUAAUAUAAUAUAUUUGUUAGUUAAACUUUUAAUAAUCAAAUAAUUUUGAUUUAAAAAUAAAAUUAUAGAAAUUAUUAAUUAUUAAUUAUUAAAAAUUCACAAUUAAGGGAACGUUCAUCAAACACACAUAGCUAUUGUUUUCUCUAUAUAUUGCAGUGUGUACGAUAUUGAGGGUUGAAGCCCCAAGCAUGCUCUAAAAUCCAGAUAAUAAUUAGAUCCGGGCCAAAUAUUCAUCAUUGUGUCAGCUGAUCAGUCGGUGGACAUCUCUAUUGAAAAUAUCUCUGACAUUUCACUCGACAAACUUAUUAAUAUAAAAAAUCUGUGGUUUUGCCGUCUGAAUAAUGUAGAAAAAUUUGUCUAUGCAUUAAUCUAGAUGUUUGAGGUGAUUUAUACAUCUGUGGUAAAGAUUUAUAGGUUGACUUAGACGUCUGUGGUAUAGAUUUUAUGUAUUUCAUUACAAAAUGCUGGCCGUUAGAACCCUUUCUACAUCUAUUUAUAAGAUUAACGGGUGCCAGCUAUGCCAUUACAAAUUAUCCCCUCAUCAGAUAUUUCGUUAAAAUUCAUUCUGAAACACUAAAACUAAAUAAUCGAAUAUGGCUUUGCGGGUCGAUGAUGCCAGCAGCAAUGAGACUGCAAUUAUCACUUGUUUAGUUUCUGUGCUGGCCGUGGUUUACUUCGCAUGGAAUGUGAAAAAAUCAAGGAAAGCAAAUGCUACACUGCCACCAGGACCUCGCGGCUUGCCUGUAUUCGGAUACCUCCCAUUUCUUGGAACUACUGACUUGCACAAGAAAUUCACGGAAUUAUCCGGAGUUUAUGGUCCGAUCUUCAAGCUUUGGCUUGGAAAUAAAUUAUGUGUAGUGGUGAGCUCACCUUCCCUAAUUAGACAAGUGGUUCGUGAUCAAGAUACAACAUUCGCGAACCGUGACCCACCGAAGGCUGCACUAGUGGUCUCCUAUGGUGGCAAUGAUAUUGCAUGGUCCAAUUACGGUCCCGAAUGGAGAAAGUUGCGCAAAUUUUUUGUGGGCAAGAUGAUGAAUAACGCAAGCCUUGAUGCUUGUUAUGCUCUAAGAAGACAAGAGGUUAAAAAUACUAUCAGGGAUUUGUAUAACAACGACAACAAAAUUGGCAAGCCCAUUGACAUUGGUGAAUUGUCGUUUUCAACAUUGGUAUGUGCUAUACAGAACAUGCUGUGGGGUGAAGCGCUUGAAUUAAAAGAGAAAGGGACCACUAAUCUUAGGGCUGGGCUAAAAUUUAAGCUGGCAGAACUCAUGGUGCUUGCGGGAACACCGAAUAUUUCGGAUGUCUUUCCAAUGCUUUCAUGGCUUGACAUACAAGGUAUAGAGAGGAGAGCAAAGAAGAUUUCACUCUGGCUUGAUAAUGUUAUAAAUUCUACUGUUGAACAGCAUAGAAACAAGGAGUUAACUGUUGAAGGUGAAGAAAGAGCGGGGAAAAAUUUUGAAGGAUCAAGGAACAAGAACUUCUUGCAGUUACUAUUGGAGCUUCAAGAAAAUGAUGACAGUGCUUCCUCAAUUAGCAUGAACCAAUUCAAGGCCGUACUCGCGGUAUGUUAAGCAACUAGCCACGAACAGUUAUACAAGCACAAUUGUAUAUUUGCAUGAGUGAUAUUUUCAACCUUUUUUUUUAAUUAGAAUUUUAUUGUCACCUUUUGGACAGGAUAUAAUUACGGCUGGAACCGACACCACAACUACGAUGGUGGAAUGGACAAUGGCAGAGUUGAUGCAGCAUCCACAAGUAAUGAAGAAAGUUCAGGAAGAAUUAGCUCAAGUUGUGGGCAUGGACAGUUGUGUUGAAGAAUUUCACCUGUCUAGAUUAAUGUAUUUAGAUGCUGUGGUGAAGGAAACAUUUCGUCUGCAUCCUGCAGUGCCUUUAUUACUACCACGUAGGGCAAGCGAGAGUGGCAACAUUGGUGGCUAUACCAUUCCCAAAGAUACAACUCUUAUGUUGAAUGUUUGGGCUAUCCACAGGGACCCUCACCUUUGGGAUAAUCCCUUAGAAUUUCGACCCGAGAGGUUUCUGAAUGUUGGUAUCGAGAGUAAGUUCGAUUACUCAGGUAACAAUUUUCAGUACUUGCCAUUUGGUUCUGGUAGAAGGAUGUGUGCUGGGAUUCCUCUAGCUGAGAGGAUGCUGAUGUUUGUUUUGGCUUCGUUAUUGCACUCAUUCGAGUGGGAAUUGCCAACUGGCACAAAGCUAAACUUAUCAGAAAAAUUUGGGAUUGUCAUUAAGAAAAAAGAGCCUUUGGUUGCUAUUCCAACACCAAGACUAUCCAAUUCAGAGCUCUACCAUUAAGACCAAAUGGUUGUGAUGAUUUUGUUAAUUUCCGAAGAUUUGUAUGUUAUUUCAAGUUCAAUCGUAGUAAAAUAUUUCAAAUAAGAGUCCUCCGUUGCUUUUUUUUUUUUUUUUCAACGGCAUAAUCUGUGGUCAUGCUUGUAUUUGGAGCCACUUUAGAAAAAUUAUGUUUGAAUUACAAUUUAUAAAUAUUACAUUUUAAAAUAUUAUGAGGCUAAAUUUAUACACGUUCAAUAACCCGCUUCAUAUAUAUUUAACACAAUUUAUAUCAUACAUUGUACACCCAUUUAUCAUAAAUUACACUAUUU
rnacentral:lncRNA from 1 species